rnacentral:lncRNA from 1 species
UAUAUAUAUAUAGAGAGAGAGAGAGAGAGAGAGAGAGAGAGAGAGAGAGAGAGAAUUGAGCCAGAAUAUUUUUAGAAGCACCAAUCUCUUGGUGCUUCUAAAUUUCUAAUCCUUGAAUUUACUCCUUAAUUGCUAAUACUUUUUAGAUCAAACACUAUUCCACCUACCACCACCUACCACCAUCAUCUCAACCCUACAUCUCUCCAUCUAAUAGUUAAAAACUCAAAAGCACCACCCCCUUGAUGCUUUUGAAAGUAUUCUAGCUCAACUCUCUCUCUCUCUCUCUCUCUCUCUCUAUAUAUAUAUAUAUAUAGUUUUGCAAUAGUGUAAUCUCAUAUUUGGAUUUGUGUUUCCCUAAAAUUUGCAUCAUAUCUAAGAAACUUAAAAGUUUGUAAAUAUUCUUUGAAUGAAGCUUAUGGUCAAGAUUCCAAUGUGUCAUAUUUACGUAAGCAAAAGGAUGAUUUGAACUCACCGAUGUAGAAAAGGACAAACAGUUUGAAACAGCUGGCAUCAACAAGUUAUAGAAUCAAAUUCAAGCUCGUUACGUCGACAAUGGCCUGCCUUUCAGUAAUCUGACAAGCUCAUAGGUCCUCAUAUGCCGACCGGAGUGAAGACAGAGUUCAAGUGGGGUCAACCCAUCCUAAAAGCAUGUAAGAACAUUAUUCAGUCAACAUUUUUGAAAAGAAACAAAUACAGUUCAUGUCACAUAUUGACUGCAAAUAUUGAUCAACGCCAACAAGAGAAAAGGGAAAUAAUAAUUCGUGGAUGAUCAUACGACUAACAACUGGUUACUCCAAAUAUUACUGUAAACACACUUAGUGACUUACAUUAUUUUUUAAGGUUCUGUCUGCACCUUUUAUUAGUAGAAGUCUCACAAUAUCUGUUCUUUGAGUUUGCACUGCGAGAUGCAAUGGCGUCCAACCACUCUACAAAGAAGAAAAAGAUAUUAUAAGAUUGCUAGUCCACAGAGAGAGAGAGAGAGUCCAAGUUUUGUAUAGAAUUUGCUGGCAUACUUCAUCUGCAAGAUUUACAUCAACAUUGUAUAGCAAAAGAAUCUUUAUAGUCGGACUUGACGCAGUUUGGACAGCAUAAUGCAUCAAUGUAGCUCCAUCCUGUUGCAAGCAAGUAGUAUAAUCAAGUUCCAAGAAAAAACUAACAAAAAGCUAUUAAAUCAAAUGCGAGAUCAACAUGCAUUCACAUAAAACUAUUAUAAGCAUUCUAUCUUGUAAAUGAAUAUUAUAUCUCAAUAAAUGAUUCUUAACCAGUACACAUCUGCCUGUUUUUAUCAAAACCAACACAUGAAAUUUGGAAAGUAAGAAAUGCUAGCAGUUUAUGCUGAGUCAUAUUUUUUAUCAGUUAGUGGUCAAGUGAUCAGCACCAGAAAUUACGGAGAUUCUCAUACAAGCAAGAACAGGAAAACAUGCCAAAGUCACAAGCGGAAAUGUGGAAUCGAUGCAAAAAAAGGUCCCAAACAAACACUCAAUCACAAAUUCUGCAUGCAAACCUACGGAGUAAAAUAUCAAUCACUGAACCACAAAGUCAGUUUGAAGUUCCUCCACUAUAACUAUUAGGCAUACAAGUGGACAGAAUUAUACAUGGAUGAUAGAGAAAUGGCCUAUUUAACAGACUCAAAAAUAUGUUAACAAGAGCAAAUAUAAGAGUAUAAUGUUCGUGAAGAUAUUAUACAUUGAAAAGAAAAAGAAAAAAAUUGUUUGGGGGGGGCGGCAGGGGGAGGGAAUAUCAAGCACUUUAUGUAGAUUUCAAAGUUUCUAAAAGGCUUACCCUAUCACGGACAAAUGGAUUUGCUGAGUUUCUCAAAAGAUAAUUGACAAUGGCUUGUUUGUUGCAAAUUAUUGCUUUAUGUAUUGCUGAUAAACCAUCCUGGAAGAAAUAAAAAACAUUGACAGAAAAUAUAGGCAUUAAACAAAAAGGAACUAGCAUAUUAAAAAGUACUGCUCCAAAGUGCUGAACAAUAAAAUAUAUUUUCUUUUCUCACUGCAAGAAGAGAAAAAGAUCAUCACAAAAUAGGAAGAUAGUAUACCUUGUCAACACCAUUGAUAUCAACAUUGUGUCUGAGAAGCCUGUCCAAAAGAUAAAACUCUCCUGAGGCAGCAAGAGUGUGUAGGGGCAGCCAUUUGCUCUAAAAGAAAGAAAGGUCAUACAAUUGAGAGCAUUACAUCAAAAAACUACAUUAAAAAAAAAGAGAAUAUAAGUCAAUAAAGUAUAGCUAUAUGAGCUUUGGAUGAUGACCAGAAAAACAAAAGAUAAUUAAGAUACAGAUGAUGUGUGAAAGCAAAAAUAAAUUUAACUGCACGCCUUAGGUAACAACUAGCAAUCAUCAAUCUUCACUAGUUUUACUCUAUGACACAGUUAUCUGCGCCUUUUACAUACUACCAUCUGUACCAUCUCAAAAGGCAGAGUCCCCUAUUAUGUCUUCAAUUGAAGCCACUCCUACAAGCAAAGUUUUUCAUUCCUAACUGAUGAAUCUGAUCUUUCCCUAUUUCAGAAAUAUGAUAAAGAAAGGUAAAGCAAUGAAAUCGAUAAGCGAGCAACGGUGGAAAGUUUACUCCAUUAGGUAAUAUGAAAAAGAAAGAUAGAAAAGAAUACUAGCAUUGUAAAGUCGCAAGCCCAGAAUUUGCCUAACGAACAGAGAGAACAGAACAAAGAGAGACUACAAAUGAUAUUGACAACAAUCAAUGCAAAAAUAACUUACAGAAGUUGCAACUUCCAGAUCAGGCAUACGUUUGUUCAAAAGAACCUUCUCCUCAUUUGAAAACAGCUUACGACGACCUAAUCAGUUAGGAAAGAAAAUAAGCUUUUGAUAUUAUGCUUGUUGGAGAUGAGAAACGACUUGCGAUGCAAGUGAAUCAGUAAGGAAAACCCAUUUAAGAUAACAAACAAAUUAAAUAUUCUGGAAGUUUUGAUUAAAGCUAAAGAGCAGAACUUAAAACAAGUGCAGAGAAAUUAAAUAAAGGAAUGUAAUGAAUUCAUAUAGGUGACUAAUUUUCGACAAAAUAUAUGGAUCUGUGUACAAUGCAAAGCCAGUUAAUUUUGCACUAAGAUGUAUAGAAAGCCAUAUAUCAUCUACUAUAGAACAGAAAAGAACAGGAGGCAUCAGCCUAGAUAUAUGGAAUGAGAAAAGAUUAUGUUUUCCUGCAAUAUUGCAACUUAAGAUUGCAAUCUGAACCUAAUUUAACAGCUUACAGCAUCCAGUGUGCAAGGCUCCUGUCACUAGGCUUAUGGAAAAGGUCUGAACCUCGCAUGCAGGGAGGCUGUUCCCAAAAUUUGAACUCUGAUAUUUGCAAUGGAGCCUGGCACCAAACCCCUCCCUCUAUCAUUAAAAAGUAAAACUAUUUUUUAAAAAAAAGUUCUACUUUCUUAAACAGAAAGAUAUGAUGAUAUGGUUCCAUCCACUAUGACUUGGUAAUGUUUUUAUUAGUCAUCCCUACAACCUUUCAAAUGACUGCAGAUGUACAGAAAACACAAAAUGAAGAAUAUAAUGUUUUCUGUUAUCCCCCUACUCUCCAAUUUGUGUAAUUAAUAGCUCCAGUAAAUAUAAUUGUGAGAUUUCGGCGCUCUAAACCUGAACAAAAAGGAAGAAUAGUCAUCAAAUUAGUCACUGUGCCUCUCCAAAAAUUUUGUUUGAUUCACCGCUGGACAUAACUACAUUAUUGACUAAUUUCCUCUGUGGAGCCUCCUCGGAUUCAAUAACACUACUACUCAAGAAACACAUUUGCACUUGAAAGUUCACAAUGAAAGGGAACUAUCAAAAUAACACAAUUAAACAAAGAAAAACCCACUGCAUACCUCUCGGAUCCUUAUCAUCAUCCAACUCGCUUGGCUUAUAGUCUCCGCUGCUAAAGAAAUCAGCGAUGUCCUCCAAACUCCCACCAUCCAACCCCAAUCUAGGGUUCUUCGGAGGGACUCUUCCUCCGGCCUUCGGCGGCCCCAGCACCUCCUUCUCCGCGAGGAACUCCUUCGGGUCAUCAAGCACCACGGGUUUCAGCUGUGCCAGAUUCAUCUCCCUAUACGUCCGAUACUCCGCCAUAUCCGGCACCGUCGGCGGCUUCCUCCGCUCUAUCCGGCUCCCGAACUUCAACUGGUGCGCGAUCUUGCGCUUCUCCUUCUUCGUCAGGUUGAGCUCCUCCACCGCAUCCUUCCACUUCUCCGGCACCAAGUUCUCGGGCUCCGCCGCCGCCGCCGCCAAGGGCGGCUUCCUCCGCCCCCGCCGAGGCCUCUCGGCGGAAUCGCGCCGCUCGUCGGCGGGGAGGAAGGCGUCGGCGUCCUCGAAGGCGCCCUCAUCGAAGACGAGGCAAUCGCCGACGACGACGUCGUCGUCCUCGAAUUCGGGCGCGAUCGAGGGUUCGGGAUCUGGAUUAGGGUGUUGGUGGGGGAGGGAGUAGGGGAAGAAGGUGGAGGCGGGGAGAGGAAGCUUCGAGAAGGGGCGAGAGGAGGGAAGAGAGCGAGAAGGGGAGAAAGGGAUUUGGAUGGGGGUGUUGAGGGGGAGGAGAAGGGACGAGAACGGCGGUGGCAUCUUCGCCUCCCAACGGGUGGAUUUGGUUGAUUUGCUUUGGGCGACUUCGAACCAUCCCGAUUCGCCGUUACCUUUUACGCGCCGUCGACGUGUUUAAUCGUAUUUUAUUUUAUUACCUGGACAUGAUCUACCACGUCACCAAUGCACCGGACCAGUUAAUAUCAACUCACCGUACAACAUUUCUGCGCAGGCUACUCUUGAGGUUGAGGGCAUUUAUUAAUGAGAUUCGGUUUUAAAUAGUAUAUAUAUAUAUAUAUAUAUAUAUAUAUAUAUAUAUAUAUAUAUAUAUAUAUAUAUAUAUAUAUAUAUAUAUAUAUUCGGCUACUAUACUCUUAUGAGUACGAUCGCUUUCGUACUCAUAAGUUAUUUUUGAUGAUAGAGCUUCCGAAUUGACGAUCCAUACCGUUAAACAUUAUGUAGAGUAUUUAAAACUUGUAGAAAUUAAAUUUUAUAAUUUUUCAAUAUCAUUUACCUUACGAUCAAAAGCUUACAAAAUUGACAAUUUUUAACGGCCGGUAUGGAAUAUUUGCUAGUUUAACGGUGUAAAAGAAUCGGAAUAGGUUGAAAUUUUGAUAGAAAAUUAUAUGCACUACCUAAAUAAAGAUCAAUAACUCCGAUCUUAAAUUGAAGAAUCCAAUUAUCCAUUUUUAGAAUAUCGUUCGACUUUGACCGUUCAUUUUAUACCUGCUUGAUGGGAUUUAUAAUAAUUUUGAAAAAUUAUGAAAUUUAUUUUUUUGAAGUUUCAAAUACUCUAAAUCAUAUUUAAUGGUGUGGAUCGUCGAUUCCAAAACCCUAAAAUUGAAAACAACUUAUGAGUACGAAAGGCUCUAUACUCAUAAGAGUAUAGUAGCCUUACUAUAUAUAUAUANAUAUAUAUAUAUAUAUAUAUAUAUAUAUAUAUAUAUAUAUAUAUGUUCGUUUUUAUCAAAAAACUUUUAUUUAAAUUUUAAAAAUAUGCUUUUGAAAUUUUAGUAAAUGGCUCCCUAUUUUGUUUUGGAUGGUGAUUACAAAUUUUAAAUUAAUAUUUUGGUUGAUUAAUGGUUUGAAUUUUAUAUGAAACUUUUAUUAUAGUCAAGAUUUUUUUUUCCUUUUGUAAAAUACUGAACUCGUUGGAGCCGUUUGGUUAGAGCAAAUUACAAACAGCGAAUAAGUCAGAAUAUCGAAAAUUUUGAAUCUUUGUAUUGAUGUGGACUCCAUUUAGCUAUUUUUUCUGAGAGAUUUUCGGUAGCAUAAACGGAUAACUCUACGGAAUAAAAAAAUGAUGUCAAAUUUUAUAAACUUAGAUGCACUGCAAACUCUAAAUUUUAAUUGCCAAACACCUUCCUUUUCCACUACAAAUCAAUUAUCCUACAAAUUUUUUAGAACUACAUAUUAGAUGUUUUAUUGAAAAUUUUUUACUUUAGUAUAGGACUGAUAAUAAUAUAUGUGAACUACCAAUAUAAGAUUCUUGAACGAGAAAUUGAAAUAUUAAUAAAAAUUAUUGAGAGAGGAUUGAGAUAUAUCUCCUUAUUUUAAUCCUAAUUAUUUUGAUGUCAACGGCAAAAGAAAAGGAUAAAAUUGAAGUCAACGUCGUAAGGAAGUCUAAUUGACUGAGAAACAGUAAUUCUUGCAUGGAUAGGGACAUGAAUACACGAAGUGGGCGGGGCCAAUUUGGUCAUUCUUUUUCACUACCUGGACUUAGUGCACCAUGUGAGCCAUGAGCCUACACCGUCCCUUCCCCAUCCAUCACGAUUUUAAAAUUUAUAUUUUUAAAUUUAAAAGCUUUUGAAAAUUUAAAAUUUACUUCGGUUAUUCUUCCACUAAUGAAGUACACCGUCGCCUAAUUAAAAAAUUAUCUCUAUUUUUUUUUAAAGUGCACAUGAAAAUCACAAAAAAAAAUUUAAAAAAAUCAACUACAUCACAAGUAAAACUAAGAUCGCCAAUCAACAUGUAACAACUUGACACGUGGAAUAUAAAACGAUCUUAACCGUACACGUGUAUCCAAGAACUACACUAGUAAUUUAAUUUUUUUUUAAAAGAAAAAAAGGACACAGCGAGAGACAGAGGCCACCUCAUCUCCUAUCGCCUCUCGGCCCUCCUCGCUGCUAUCGAUCCAAGAUUCCAAGCGCUUCUCCUCCGCUUCGUCUUCUUCCUCUGAGGCUCUUCGUCGAACACCUAACGGGGAAGAGAGAGAGAGAGAGAGUAGGAGAGAGGAGCGAUGGAGAGGGCAUAUAAAAAGGGCCGAGGAUUUGGGCCCGGGAUCGUCGAGCUCUAUCAUCGCGAGUUGGGGGGCCUCUCGCCGCGAUCCUUCGCCCAUCGCGUUGGGGCAUCUGAGGUCCAUUCUUUUCCUUUUUAUUCGUCUUUGUUGGUUCCUCCCAAAUCGAUGAUGAUUUUGAGGUGUUAUUCCGAUUUCAUCUGAUCUGUGGGGAUAAUUAUUCGGUUUUAAGCGUUAAAUUGAUUUGGUCGUGAUCAUGUAGUAUAGGGGAGUGGAUUGACCCUUGCUUGCUAAAGAUUAUAAAUUCAUGAUAGUUGAUUAUAAGAAUAUAGGAAUUAGCGGCUGUGUAGUGCGCAUUGUAUGUAGAGUGUUAAAAUGGCGAUUUUUUCAUCUCAAAACAGAAGAAUCUUCGAGCGCUUCAGAACGAUCAUGUAUUAUGUAAGAGAUUCCGAGUCUGAUUUUUAAAAUGAAUGUUAAAAGAAUGUUCAAAAAUCUUGCCUUUGAAUUGCCAAGAAAAUCACACUAAUGUGAAGCAUUGCGCCAUUUUUGGUGUGAUGGUAAUGAUUUUAGGCUUGCGAUUGCAACCCACUAGCAUCUUUUAUUCUCUUCUUUUAGGAAAAAAAAUCAAAAAAUAUUAUGUGUAGGAUGUACAGAUUGCGAAUAAACGUUUGUAGGGAAAAGCCACAUCUUUUGGUUCUGGCAAAGGGCAAGAGUUGAAAGAAAAAUUACUGGAGUAACCAUACCUAAUGAAUUUUUGUGAUUGAAAAAGUACUGAGUGCUGAUAUUUCAUUGUUUGAAGUUUCAAAUGUAGCUUUAAUAUUCAUUAUUAUGCAUGUUCAUUUUAACCGGUCUAACAUAUUUUCACAUGUUCAUUUCAACUCUAUUAUAUUAUUAUAUAUAGCACCAAAAUAGGGUUCAUGCAUAUCGGUGUGCCAAACAUUUUCGUAAUGGAUAUUAAAAUUUCAGGACCUUGUCAUGCGCCUUGGAAUUUAUAGAAAAUUGGACAGGCAUGGCGGCUGUGUGAACACAGUGAGCUUCAAUGCCGAUGGCAAUAUUCUCGCAUCGGGGUCUGAUGACCGGAUGGUGAUGUUAUGGGACUGGGAUGCUGGUGCCGUGAAACUGUCCUUCCAUUCAGGCCACUCGAAUAAUGUUUUUCAAGCUAAAUUCAUGCCUUAUUCAGAUGACCGUACCAUUGUUACUUGUGCUGCUGAUGGGGAGGUAGAAGGAGCUUCUUCUUCUUUCUCAAAGCUUAUUAAUUCUAAGUAGGUGAAUAUGUUUUGAGACCCCACUAUAGACUGUUGCGAAAAUAGAUCCUCAACUUUCUUUUUGAUUGAGCGUCCACUUAAAUUUUGUCUUUUUUUCCCCUUUUUUUGCUUAAGUUAUUUCAGUCAUGUGAAAUUGCAAUUUUGUUAAAUGUAUUAGCUUUACCCUUUUUAAGCUGCCGUAAUUGCGAUCUUCAUAAACAAUUGGCGGCCUGAAGCUGAUGGAGUGGUUAAAUUUAACUCAAAACAGACGGAAGUUAAAGGGGUAUCACUUAAAAAAAGAAAAAAAAGAAAAAGAGAGAGAGAGAGAGAGAGAGAGAGAGAGAGAGAGAGAGAAAGAUAUAGAAAAGGGAAAGCUAGAGGAUCAUCUCACAUGGCCUAUAGUUGUGGGGGACCCCAUAUGUUUUUAUCUUCUGAUUAAUUAAGCUGAUAUCUACUAAUUUUCAUCACACUAGGUGAGAUAUGCCAAAAUACUAGAGAGUGGAAAUGUGGAUACUAAAUUGCUUGGUCAGCAUGAAGGACGGGCUCAUAAGCUGGCUAUUGAGCCUGGAAGCCCUCAUAUAUUUUACAGCUGUGGUGAAGACGGUCUUGUUCAGCACGUAAGCCAUUUCCCACAUCUCUUAGCUUAUGUGUAGUGUUCCCUUGCUAUCUCUUUAACUCAGCAUGAUUUGAUUAACCUGUGUCUCAUGCAGUUUGAUUUGAGGACACAGUCUGCCACAAAGCUAUUUAUAUGCAGAUCUUUUCCUGAUGGAUCAGAUUAUCAACCUGUCGUUCAUCUAAAUGCUAUUGCAAUAGACCCAAGGAACCCCAAUUAUUUUGCAAUUGCAGGAAGAGAUGAAUAUGCUCGAGUUUAUGACAUUCGGAAGUGUAAUUUGGAUGGAUCGACAGAGUGUGGUCAUCCUAUUAACAGCUUCUGCCCACCUCAUCUUAUUGGAAACGGGCAUGUUGGGAUAACUGGUUUAGCAUUCUCGGACCAGAGUGAGUUGCUCUCCUCGUACAAUUAUGAGCACAUUUACCUCUUCACAAAGGAUCGAGGUCUUGGGCCCAACCCAGUUAUUAAAUCACCUAAAUCUGACAGUACUGAUUCGAGUAAGGGGUCGAAGACGGUUUCAGCCGAGUCCGCAGAAAUUGCCGAUUCACAACCUGGCCCUCAGGUGUACAAGGGACAUAGCAAUUGUGAGACCGUGAAGGGUGUGAACUUUCUUGGCCCGAACUGCGAGUAUGUUGCUAGUGGAUCAGACUGUGGACGGUUGUUUAUUUGGAGAAAGAGAGAUGGGAAGCUCUUGCGAGCUAUGGAUGGCGACAAGUACGUGGUCAAUUGUAUUGAGCCUCAUCCUUAUGCCACUGUAAUUGCGAGUAGUGGAAUUGAAAAUGAUGUGAAGAUCUGGACUCCCAAUGCCACAGAGCCUGCCCACCCAGUAAACAUUAAUGAGGUGAUGGCUUUUUGCCUUCUCAGCUUUUAUUUUCUUUGCUAUUCUGGAGAUCUAAACUGUCGUAAUGAAAUAGGAUCAUUUAUUGGAUAUACUAGUCGUCAUAGUACCUAAAACAUAGAUGAUUGUCUUUGGAUGUCCAAGACCUUCCUGAAUUUUUUUUUGCAUUAUUUUGCAGUCCUCUGACAGAUCAGUUUUCAUGGGAAAAGCAUAUUUAGUUGACCUGCAUGAUAUUUGUAUUAUACUAGGUUUUUUCUGCCUUUAAAAUGAAACUUGUGCCACGUAGAUCAUAUAACAGAACUUCUAAUGGAGAUUACCUAAAAGGAAUCUGAGGUCGUGCAGAAGUGGUAUUUCAAAUUUCUAACUUAUCGGCUACACAUCGGUUGAAAAUGGUCCUAACAACUUGGCUUAAUAUAUUACUUCUUUGCACCUGAGACUACGAUUUCGUGGUUACCAAAGUUUGAAAAGUUGUCUCCUUAAUUGAAUAUAUAUAACAUGAUGAGAUAAAUGGUGCUGCCAACUAGAAUAACUAUGUUGAUGGUGCUUACCACUUUUCUUGGUGUAGAUAGUGAAAUGCUCUGACAAUUUUAUCGAUCUUGUUGAUGACGUGACAUUCAAUUGCAACAGUUGAAGCCCCAUGUAAGAAGGAAUGAGUUCGGCCGCGUCAACUUGCCAGAGAACUUGAUAGCUCAGAUGGUAGCACUUCACAGGCGACGAGCAAGUUUGAGACAAGAUGAUGGUGAAGAAACGACCAGCAACGCUGAUCUGGUAAAUCUUUUAUUGCAAUUUACUGUUGGAGAGCAUGAUUCUCCCUCUGAUGAAAGUGGAGACGGUUCCGACAGCCCUGGGGAUUGUAUAGUGAACUGAGCCAUAUAGAAACUUCUGAAAGUUGUACAUAGAAUAAGUCAUCCUUUUAUCAGAAUUAGGAGAUCUAUUUGUCGGUAAGAUGAAUUUUUGAGUUUCUUUUUCUUGGGCUAUGAAGAGGAUAUCUCCCUCACAGAUCGAGCGUUGUAUUGUAGAUCUACAACAAGCAUUUAGUAAAAUUUGGUGAUUGUUGGUGGAGCUUAUCAGUGUUUGCAAUGUUUUUGAUGAAAUAUUUUUUUAUCUAAUUCAACAUUCAACGACCUUUCAUAUGGAAAACAUUUAGAAAUCAGAUGUAGCAAAAUGGUUGGGUACUUGCAUCACAAUUUCAAUCUCAGGUAUCUUAUUCUAUCGUUGAGGUACCAAUUUUACGUCCAUAGGCCAUUUAGCCCAUGCAGUAUGGGCUGUAGGCGUGUUCAGGCCCGUUGGUGGACAAUCUCUUUCGUUUUAAAAUCCAAAAUUGAUUACCAAAUCAACGUAUUGGAAGAGCCCAUCGUAUAAUCCUAAUCUAACUUCGAACCCAAUUUUUUUUAAAAAAAAUCUAAAAACAGAAUAGGGAAAGAUAUUAAAAUUAUUUCAUCGAACAAUUUCUUAUUACAUUUAAUAAAAAUUUUAUUUUAAGUAAUUAUAACUAUUUAAAAAAAAAACUUAAAAAGUUGAAGCGGGGCAAUUCAAAAGAGGAAACCAACCCGACAUUUUCAGUGUUUACGUCUUAUGUUUAGAGACAAUUUAUCAAUCAUAAUAUGUACUAAAUGCAAAAAAAAAAAAAAAAAAAAAAGAAUAAGAAGAAGAAAUUUCAUAAAAAAUAAUUCACCGUCGAUGGAUCUGCGGAGCACCGUGUGUUGACCUCGUGGCAGCACCCGCACACAAUUAUUCACGUCCUAUUCCAUUUCAAUAACAUUUCCAACGACUCCUCUCUCGCGUCUUAAUUAUGGUCUUAUCUUAUUGCAUCCAAAUCCUUAAUUAUUUAUGAAUUUAUAACUUUUGGCUCCUUGGUUAGAGAGAGAAAGCUUUUUCUAAAUUUUAGAGUUUGUAGACGCGUUAUCUUUAGUUGGUACGACGGCGUAGCUCCAUCUCUGAUCUCUCCCACGUGAAAAUUCGUUGGCUUCAAAAAUUAUUAAAAUUUAAAUAGUGUGUGCAAUGAUCUUUGUGGAAUGGAAUUAACACUAUUCAACAGCGUGUCUCAUCAUUUUGGGAAAGACCAAAUUUGUAAGCAAAAGGAUUUCACAAAUUGUAGGGUGAGCUUUGUUACUAUUUUGAGCCGACGCUCUAACUCUAAUUUUAUUUUUAUUUUUAUUUUUUUUUAAGAGAGAGAUAGGUAGCACGCUACCCGCUUCGUUUAUUUCAUUUAGAAAUAAAUUUAGCUAGAAAUGUGAAUCAACUAGGAUUCGAACUUGAGUCUCGAAUACCAAUCACCAAGCCCUUUGCCACUUGCUCCAAAGACGGCCGGUGCUCUAACUUUAAUUUUUAUUACCAACAUUGUGUGCUGGUAAAAGCAAGAGCACUACACGUAAUACCUAUUGUACGAGGAUUUUUUAUUAUUUUUUUUACUGUUUGCUUAAAUUUCUUCGAUGAAGUAAAUAAGAUGGGGCCAUUUUAAACAGUCACUUCUCAAGUAGAAAUUAUUGAUAAUCAUUUGUUAUCCAAAGAUUCGGUUCCCACAAUGUAGAAAAAGAAAACUAGCUCCUUAGACAGAUAUCUAUGAGCUGUCCCGUGCCUAUAUAAGCCUAAAUAAGCCCACCACCCACUUUGCCCCAUAUGUAGCCGUAAAACCACUAGUUAACACAACGAGAGAGAGAGAGAGAGAGAGAGAGAGAGAGAGAGAGAGAGAGAGAGAGAGAGAUCUAGAGAGAGAUGGAGAACAACACUGCAAAAGAUUUGUCGAUCAACCUUAUAACGAGAGAUGGCCGCAGACUCUGCCGGUGCCCGCGCAUCGAAAUGAGCCUUCUCGAGACCGCGGAGGCCAUCGAACAAGCGUUGAGUAGUGAAAACACAGCCUUCGUCGUUCGAGACGAAGGCGAGCGCAGGGCAGUGCGGGUGAAGAUUGUAGUUAGCAAGCAACAACUGAAGCAGAUGGCCCAGCUGAUAGGCUGCGGGCGCGGCGGCACGGAGCAGCUGCUGCAGCUUCUGAGGAGGCUGCAGGUCCAGAGUAAGUUGCUCGACGCCACCGCGAAGGGACGUCGUGAUCGGUGGAGGCCGGCGCUUCAGAGCAUCCCUGAGGAAGUGCGGGAAUUAUAAAGCAAAUCAAACAUGUAUAUGUAGCAUCAUCUUACUACGAGGUUGAUCUAACAACAUUCUUUAUUUUGUGUAGUUCUUGAAUAAAUAGGGAAUUUGAGACAUUUUGAUGUGCUUCAUAUAUAGAUUGUGUGACAUUUAACAUGGAGCCAAAAUGCGAAAAGAAGUAAAAAAAUGUUUCAAAUUGGCAAUUUUGGUUCUUGUAUAUGUAAGCUAAAUAUUUGUAUUUGCAGAACGGAUUUGAGCAGUAAAAAUAAUGAGCGCUUCUCUAAUUUAGAUGAACAUUUUUAUUGGCAUUUUAAUUGUAGGUCCUUGACGAGCACCUUAGUGAACUUGUACCAUAAGAUCGAAUUAAUUGAAUUUGUUAAAGCCAUCCUUGAAUAUAUAGUUUUUUUUUUUUUGUUUUCAAAUUGAUUUUGUUGAUAAUAUAAUGCCGGAGUUGAUCUGAAACCUCUUGAUCAGUAUAAGAAGUAGCUGGUUGAGUUCCUACAUUUGUUUUUAUUUUUUUGAAAGAAAAAAAAAAAUAUGUUAUCCGCCCCGUUUAUUUAUAUUUUUUUAAAAUAUAAAUUUAGCUAAAAAUUAUAGUUCGUAAUUAAACUUUAAAUUUAAAAUUUUAAAUACUAAUCAUUAAAUUUUUUAGCAACAAAUGCUACGAACGGUCCGUGAUCAUUUGUAGGUACAAUUCUCAAUCAUUCUCUCUUUUAAUACCCCAUCCUAAGUACAGUUCAUUUUCUAUCGCAAUUUAGUGGGUAGUAAGGCUACAUCACAGAUGAUGAUUAUUAUUAUUAUUAUUAUUAUUAUUACGUUGUCGCGUAACUGCAACGUCAUGCUGACCUCGUAUUUGCAUCAUCAUAAUCUAACAAAUUGUUAAGAAGAGUUCAAGUAGGUGGCAUUUUUGGUAAUUCUUUAUGAAGCAAAAAAGUUGUCACUUAGUUGGCACAUGAGGCAAUUAUUAUUAUUAUUAUUAUUAUUUUCUGAUUAAGCUUUUUUCUCUUGAAAUUUGCCUUUUCAAAAUAUUUUACUACUUUCAUGUAUUUGACUUUAAUUUGGACAACACUCGAAUCUUCAAAUUUGGUAUUUAGGCACAUUUAUGGGAGUUAAUGGGCGUUCCUCAUGUGCCCAGCUUACCUAUACUAGAUUUAAAUCCUAAUUUUGAAAUGAAUAUUUUGUAUGGUCUUAAUUUUCAAAUAUCUAGCAUUGGGAAUUUGGAGUGCAAUAUAGUUUAGUUACGUAAAAUAUUAAUUUGCUAGCUAAAUUUCUUCGCUUCGGUUGUUGCUUGCGCGUACAAAUAUCUCCUCCCAUGUGCACAGGAGGAAUUCUACACUAUCACACUUGCACUACAUCAUUAAUAAUAAGUCAAUCACAUUCCGUCUUUUCAAACAAAAGUACAAUAAAAAUAUUUUUUUACAAUCAUGCUAAAAGGAGACAUUUGAUUGAUUUGUUACGCAACGUCACCAAUAUACCCGUUGCAUUUUAGAAUUUUUCCAUGUGCAGAAGUUGGCAUCCGGUUAAGUAUUAUAAUUACUAAUUAUAUUUAAAAAAAUUAUUCAAAAGAAAUAUUAAUAGUAAAUUAAUUUUUUUGCUAAAGAAAUCAAUUAUAGAUUAGCUUUUAAUUUAAUUAUAACCACUACGUUAGUGUGAUACAUAAACAACUACAUACGGUGAGAAAGUAUGUGCGAUCAAAAGAUGUACUACUUGUUUCCAUUAAGAUAUCACAUAUCUAAAUUUCGCUAUAUUAUAAUUUUGAGGUUCCUCAAAAUAGAAACAUAUAUAUUUCUUUACAUUUUUAUCAUAAUGGUUUUUCUUUUGACUUACCAGUGUUGGGUCAAUCCUUCAUUAGCUGGACAUAUCAGAGUUGGAUCAAUCCUUCAUUAAUUUGAAAUGUAAGCUAAAGUUGGCAUGAUUCAUCAUAACGGUCGAUCGAUCUAAUUAACUAUUGUCUUAGUUCUAUUCAGUAACCAGACAUUAGAUUAAUUUUUUUAAAAAAAACAUCUUAUAAAUGGUUCUCCGUUUUUCUCAGCUAAUUUAUGUUGCCUAUAGCAGGAUAAAAACUUGGUAUGGGGUGGGGAGGGGGAGUUAAAUUAGUCUUAAUCUUUCUUUUGUUUCCACUAGAGAUUUUGUUAGUAAUUAAGACUACUCUUAUUUCUUUUGUGAGCUAAAUAUGAUAUAUGUCAUGCAAAAAAACAGUAGUUCAUGUUUUGAUCUUCUUUUAUACAUCUCCUAACUAAGGUUCUCUGUUUUUAGAGAGAAAGAUAGCAUACUAUUCGCUCUGUUUAUUUUAUUUAUAAAUAAAUUUAACUAAAAAUAUGAAGCAAUUAGGUUUUGAACUUGAAAUCUCAGGUAUUAACCACCAAAUUUUUUACCACUUAUGCUAAGAACGGUCGGUAACUGAGGUUCCUUCCGUUUACUUUAAAAGCUUAAGUACGGACAAUUAAGUUCUUAAUCAAUAGCAUUAGAUAUGGUAUCUAGUUAGAAUCCUUACACCUACUCUAUGCUUGAGUUCGGCUCAGAUGGCCCAGGCCAAGCGGUGAAGUGCAAAAUUCUUGAGCCAGAUCGUACGUAGAAAAUCAUUUCAAAAUUUUUUUGAGCCUUUAUUUUGGAGCCCCGCCCAACACAUGGACCAUACCCGGUCUGAUCCGACCUAACCUCUAAAAAUUAGGUUCGACGGACAUGUCAACCGAAUCAGACACUUUUUUUUUUCUUUUUUUUUUGAGAGAUAGGUAGCACGCUACUCGCUUCGUUUAUUUCAUUUAGAAAUAAACUUAGCUGGAAAUAUGAAUCAACUAGGAUUCGAACUUGGAUCUCGGGUACCAACCACCAAGUCCUUUAUCACUUGCUCUAGAAACGGUCGGUGGAUCAAACACAUUUGAGUCGGAUUUGCUCAGGCCUACUUGCAAAUAUGAUGACUAUAAACUAUUACAAUUAAGUCCUAUAAUCAAAUUUAGUUAACUAAAUACUAAUAUAUAGCUACUGUAGAAAUAAUAUAAUAGUGUUACGAUUGAUGAUGGGCUAAUAAUUAAAAUAUUAUAUCAUUUUUUACAACAAUAAUACGGUAAUCGUCAAACUUGAUGAGAAAUAUUAGAGUCAGAAAUUAUAUAAUAAAUUAAAAUUUGAAUAGGGAAGUAUCACCUAAUUAAUAGUUUGAGGAUCAAAUAUGCAAUUCACCUCUGCUCAUAAUAAAAAUUAUGGACAAAUAAUAAAAAUUACAAUUUACUUUCUUUCUAAUUUUUAUUAUUUGUCCAUAAUAAAAAUUACCAAGAAAGUAAAUAGAAAUUUUUCUAAAAAAAAUAAUAAUAAAUAGUAAUGGGCAUCGAGCCGCUUUAUUACAGAAGAGAACAAAAUAUAAAGAAAAUACCAAAACUUGCCAAAGAGCCAAUGGCAUAUACCCGGUGAACGUUAAUUAAUUAGUUUCCAGACUGACUGUCCCUAGAGUAAGUGGUAAAAAAUUUAGUGGUUGGUAUUCGAAACUUAAGUUCGAAUCCUAAUUGAUUCAUAUUUUCAACUAAAUUUAUUUCUAAAUGAAAUAAACAAAGCGAAUAGCGUGCUAUCUAUCUCUUUCCAAAAUAAUAAUAAUAAUUAUUAUUAUUAUUAUUAGUUCCCAGAUAAUGAUACGCUCCGGACAUAAAAUAUUACAAACCGAAAAAACGAAAACCAUAAUAAGCUAUCUAAUGUUACGUACUCUUUCGUGCCAUUCUUUCCGAGAGAGCUCAUGGAUUCCUAAUUACAAAACCAAAACAUAUAUUUAUAAAAAAAAAAAGAAAAAGAAAGAGAGCAUACAACAUCGAUCAGUUUAUUAAUUAGCUGGAAAUUUAAAGCGACGGAGACAGUUGUGAUCCCGGUGAUCACACUGUGGAGUGGUGUUCGGUCGUAAAUUUUUUCUUUUUUUUCUUCGAUCUCACACCUCUUCCUCGUUGAUCUCUCCGGACAUCUCCUCGAGCGACUUUCCCUUCGACUCCGGCACGAGGAAGGUGAAGGCGAGGCCGCAGAAGCUGCAGGCGGCGAGCAGGAAGAGCGAGUCGCGCACGCCGAUCCCCGGGGGGUAGCCGCGGUCGGUCUUCGCCGGGUCCCGGCUCUGCGCCAGGUAGAGGAACCCGAACGAGCCGACGAUCGCCCCGAGCUUCCCCGACGCCGCCGAGAUCCCGUGGCACGUGGCGCGGAGCCUCGCGGGGAAUAUCUCGGCGGGCACGAUGAACGUGGUGCUGUUGGGCCCGAAGUUGGCGAAGAAGAAGGUGAAGGCGUACAUGACGACGAAGCCGGUGUGGUUGCCCUCGGUGGUCCAGUGGUGGUACGGCACGGCGAGGCCGAGCAUGAACGCCGUCAUCAUGAAGAAGCCGACGACCUGGAUCGUGAACCGGCCGAGGAUGUCGAUGAGGCCAACGGUGAACCAGUAGCCCGGGACGGUGCCGCAGAGGGCGAUGAGCGUCUGCGCGCGCCCGAUGUAGUAGAGCUCUUCCAGCGCGUUCAUCGUCGCGGCCUCCGGGAUCCAGCCGAUGGCGCUGAAGAUGUCCUUCUGGAAGAGGUUCUGCGAGUAGUAGGCGACGUCAAGCAGCAGCCACGUGCUGGCCGUGCCGACCAGGUGGAGCCCGUGCCGCCGGACGAACUCCCUCGAGAAUAGCCCGAAGUCUUUGCCGCCGUCUGCCCGCACCGCACCGACGACGGCAGCGGCGGCGGCGGUAGUCUUCGGUUGUCGGUCGUUGUCGACGUCGACCUGCAGCACCUUCGCCAUGUCGGCGGCGGCACGCUCGGCGUUCUUCGCGACGAGCGCGGUGUACCGCGCGGUCUCGGGCAUCUUCAUCCGCCAGUAGUAGGUCAUGGCGGCUGGGACGGAGCCGAACAUGAGGAUGAGGCGCCAGACGUAGUCGGCCUGUGGCACGGUGGAGCCCGCUGGGUCGUCGGCGUAGGCGGGGGCGGGGAAUCUGCGCUUGAAGGCGUAGGAGACGACUAUGGCCGACAUCCCCCCGGCGAGGAUGCCGAAGCCCUGCAUGGCGAAGACGGCGGCGAUGAAGGCGCCGCGGGUGCGCUUGUUGGCGUACUCGGACAUGAUGGUGGCAGAGAGCGGGUAGUCGCCGCCGAUGCCGAAGCCGAGCCAGAAGCGGAAGAAGCAGAGCGUGGACAUGACGGUGGAGGGGGAGCGGCCGAAGGAGAGGCCGGAGGCGGCGGAGCAGAGGAUCAUGAGGAGGAGGGUCAUGCCGUAGACGCUCUUGCGGCCGAGCUUGUCGCCGAGCCAGCCGAAGAAGAGCUGGCCCGAGAGGGUGCCGACGAAGGCGACGCCAUUGACGGCGGAGGAGACGCGAGGGGGGAGAUUGCCCGGGGACGGCGAGCCCGGGACGUAGUAGUAGACGCGGCCGAUGAGCUUGGUGACGAGGGAGAUGCAGAAGAGGUCGUAGGCGUCGGUGAAGAAGCCCAUGCCGGCGAUGACGAUCGCCGUGAAGUGGUACCACUGCGUCUUCGCCACGUCCAGGGCGUUCAGCACCUGCAUCUGAUCCCCGGCCAUCUUUCUCAAUCUCUCUCUUUCUUCUCUUCUGCACCUGCACCUGCUCCUAUAUAUACAGUAAUUAAUGAUCUUGUGAAUUUCGCUAACUCAACUUCACUACCUCAUAUAAGUGUGUCUGAAAAAUAAGAACCAAUUUGGCGAGGUAAUAAUAAUAUGAUAAUUGUAUAAGAUGUUGAUUUUGGAGGAGGAGAGGAGGAAGUUGUUGAGAAAUAAGAGGAGUUCAGUUAGUUAUGAAGUGAAAUAUUGAUUGGUCAAUUUUAAAUGGGCGAAAAUAUAUACAGACCCCUCCACUGUUAGGCGUUCUUAAAUAGAGUCCUGUCACGUUUUAAUUAUUAAAAGUUAAUAACAAAAAAAUAUUAUUAUAUUUGAUAAAUUUUUGAAGUUAAUUAAGUAAAAAGACUCAAAAAAAAAGAAAAUUAUUUUACAAGUUGAUGAGUUCUCAAUAAAAAAAUAGUUAAGGGGGUGUAUCAUUUUACCUGUUGAAUGUUUCAGUCGGAGUUUUGGAGAAAUUAUCGCACGUACUGAGCGGACACACACCUGACCAAUUCAAACUUAAAUUAACAAAAAAAAAAAAAAGGAAUCUAAAUCUAAGUUAUUAUAUAUGAUAUAUAUGAUAUAUCUUAAAUCUUAAUUAUAAGUUUUUUGCUUUUUGCGUAGUGAAUAAUAAAUUCAUUAACAUUCCCUCCCUUUUUUUACUAUCCAAUACCUAGAAAGACCUUAAAAAAUAACAAAGUUUUAUAUAUAAUUAUUCGAAAUAAUAAGGUUAAGAGUUCCAAACUUAAAAUGAACAGAUGUAGAAGCGUCUCUAUAUAUAUUGGACCCGAGACUUGGUCCAGAUUUUCUUUAAAAAAUAUUUAAUUUCAAUGUAGUUUAUUGUAAUACUUAAUAAAGUGUUAUUUGAACAUUACUAUUAAAUGAGUAAGCUGUAUGCCACUAAUUUUUAAUCAGCUUAAUACUUGAUAAUUUUUCAAAAUAUUUAUUAGUCUUUUAAGCAUAAAUUUUUUAGAUAUUAUAGGUUGAUUCUCCAAAAUUACAAUUUAAUUUUAAAAUAUUAAGUGUGAUGUAUAAAUUAAACAGAUACAUCGGGUGCACGAAAUAAUUUCUUGCCAAUAUGUGUAUAUAUAUACACACAUAUAAAAAAAGUAAUACCAUGCAUGGGUUAAUUAAUUCCAAGUGUUGAUGUGAUUACAACGUGAACAAUAGAAGUUAUAUUGUCGAAAAAAAAAAGUACGCAAAUCACAAAAUGCAUGGUAUGGGUAUCAUCUCUCGGAAGCUACUCAUGCAAACCAUUUAAUAGAAUAAAUCAAAUCUAAAUUUGAGAUCAACAAUCACAAAAGUGAACACACAAACAAAAACGUUUAAAGUUGGAGGAAUAUUAAAAAAGGAGUGAACAGUUGGGCUUCACCUGAUCACCUCUAUCUUCUUUGAAAACUAUUGAAAAAAUGCCAUAGUACGUAGAAGGAUUGAACACACCAAGGAGAUGAGAAAGAGUAGUAUAGUUUACAAGAGAGAUCUAAAAAUUUGGAGAACUCGAGUAUUACCCGAAAAGAGGAGGUUAUGUUUAUGUUUAAAAAGGCUAUAAAAGGGAAUAUUCGCUCCUUUAACGGCUCUCCUGCAUGAGCCCACAGUUUAUUUUUUAUCAUUAUGUAUGUGGUUUUGGAUUGUGUUCAUUAUUCAUGGGGGUUGUUCGGUCAAAAGCGGGUCCGCUCUGAGGGGGUGCAACAGAAUGGGCCGCGCGAGGCGCCGCACUUUGUUCGAGAGGAUCGGCCAAUUCGGGUUCGGAUUGGGGAAUAUGAAUCAAACCAUUGUUCCCUAACUUUUCUCUAUUUUUUAUUUUAGUUUUUAAUUCCUUUUAUCAGGUUCCUAACUUUAAUAUUUUAUUGUAGUUAAAUUCCAAUCAUUUAAAUUUCUCUGUUUUUAUUUUUUGAUGGAAUGAGACCUUUAGUUAAUUUUAAUACUGACUUUUUAAAAUUUUUAGAAGAAUUUGAUGGCAUGUCUGACUUAAUGCCAAAUACGUUCUGUGAAACCGACAUGCUGAAAUGUUUGGAGUACAAUAUUGAGAAUUGUGAAAUUCGGCUUGACGAAAUGAGUGUGCGUAUUGGAAAAGAAGUUAGGAUCAAAGCGAAAAAAUGAGUAGAGGUUAGGGAUCAAUGGUCCGAUUAAUUCUAAAGGCUAAAAGUUUGAUUGAAACAGAAAAUUUUAAAUCAAAAUAUUUAAUUCGAAAACUUUUCAGAUCAAAAUCAAAUCGUCGAAAGCCAUAACCGAAAACCAAACCAGAUCAAAAUUGUUGAGUUUAAUUAGGCUUGGUGGGGCCUGCGCACCUCCUUGGUUCGGAUGCGGUCCUGGCCCAAAUGUGAUUCAACGAAGGCCUAUGGACGGGUCCACUGUGUACUACUCUUUACGGGCCCAAUCAACCGAGUCCAACACCCGGGCUUCGUUAGUCAAAUUCGGCGCCGGUGCCGUAGCGGAGCCGGCCGAUGAGAAGUUUCUUUCCCUUCCAAAUUAAACCAUCCCAAUAAAAUUAAAACAAAACCCACCACCUCUCUCUCUCUCUUUCUCUCUCUCUCUCUCUCUCUUUCUCUCUCUCUCUCUCUCUCUCUCUCUCCCCAUGGCUUCUCUCUACCGGUAAGCAUCAACUCCUCAUCCUCAUCAUCUUCUUUUUUUUUCUUUUUCUUUUUUAAUAAUUAACGAAGCAUAUAUGGAUGUCGAUUCGAUUCGAUUCGAUUCAGGUGCGGCGAGUGCGGGGCGGAGCUGAACCUGAGCGGGGCCCACCUCUACCCGCCGGGCACGUACUUCGAGGCCGGGGACAAGGGCACGCUCUCCUUCUCGUGGAUCGACGAGUCCAAGUUCCGGUUCGCGAGGGAGAGCCGGUUCGUCCCCUUCUUCGAGACGGUGAACUACUGGGGCGUCCACCGCAACCGCACCCGCAUACUCUGCGACGCGUGCGGCCGCCUCCUCGGCCACGUCUACGACGACGGCCCCCCGCUCAUGCAGGGCCACGGCCAGUUAGGGUUCGGUCCGAGCCAGGCCAUUCCGCGCCGCCCCAGGUACCGCUUCAAGAUCAAGGCCCUCAACGCUUCUCCUCAUUCAUAACAAGCGCUUAUCUUAUCAUAUACUGGGAAACUUGGUUUCUCAUAUAUUUGAAUGUGAUGAUUAUCGGUUUUAGCGGAAUCUGCGAACAUAACAAAUGAAAUGCUUUGGGGCUGCUUUUCGCACAUUCUUCUCUUUGGUUUUUAUGUGAAUACAGAUUCAUUCUGAUGAUUAGUGAUAAUACAAGUUCCAAGCUUGGCAUUUGAGAAUUUGAGGUAGUGUAACAAAGUUUCUGUACAAUUGAGUCAUAACGUCUUCAAGACCUUUCUGCGCAAGCUGAGAAUUACUGCAAACACAUGUAGAUUUUUGCUAGAUCAAAACUAAAUUUCGACAACUUAAAGAGUAGGCCACGUCUGAUGCCGGUUAGCAAGUAAUUGAUUUGGGGCUUUUCGUGGUGACGGAACUUGGCUGAUCUAAGGAAUUGUAAAAAUUGCGACUUGGUCGCCUCAUCUACAAAAGGAGGGUCAAUAAUGAGGAGUCAGAGAAUUACAGUAAGGGCGAGGAAUCUUCUAAGCACUAGCAGAAAACAAUGAAUGAAACUAUAAUUGAGUUGGGACGAUUAGCAGAAUUUGUAAAUAUCACAAAACAUGAGAUCCGGUGAACUUACUUUUAAGAUCUGUUUUAAUGUAACUACUACUUUUGUGUUGAUAUUUUCCUUACUAGUUCAGCAAUGUGAAGGCAUGCGCAUGACGGAUACGAAUUUUACAGUUGAUUUAUUUAAUAUUAUAUCGGGUAGGUCUCUUGUUGAACAUACUAUAAAUGCGCAGUUAAACUUUCCAUUGAACUCUUUUGUGAGAUUGAUUGUUUAAUAGCCUAUCUUUGUUGCCGCAAAGUUACUCGUGAUUUCCAAAUAUGUUUGUAAAAUUUUCUGCAUUUUUCUUUGCAACUAUCAUUUGAUAGAUUUGAAGUUUUAGCCAAUGUGAGAUUAUGGCUAAUGCGAAUCAUCAAGUUAAUAUUUUUAGCAAAAGCAUUUCUAGUUUUUGAUACUACUUAGAUGUUAAUGGUUUAUACAAAGGUUGAAUCUAGUUGUGAUUUGUGAAGCAGUGGAAUUAGGGGGGGCCUGUGGAGGGGUUGGAAUGGAGCUUUGUUCGUCCCCACUACAGUAGGUUUUGUGAAAGAGAAUUCCAUCUAUUUUGACUACUUGGAUUAAAGCAUCUUUUACCACGGGCGAUUCCUGUGUUCUUAAAUUCAUUAAAAAUAAUUUUCUGUGAUUAAAAUUGUAGUAAUAUUCCUAAUGAAUGAAGCAGGUAGCGUGCUAUUUUUUUCUAAAAAAAAAAAUUAUAGUAAUAUUUUUUUUGUGCAGCAUCUGUAAUUAUUUUGAUUGAUACCAAUUCUACAGUAACUCACCUGUUCAGAGAAGCUUUUCUUCAUAUAGAGAGCUUUUCAAGGAAGAUUUGCAUUGUACCUGACAAAUUACCUGAUGUUGUACGUUUGCUAAUGAAAAAACUGCUAUCUCAUGUUAGACGAUUUCACUUGAAUAGUUUUGGAAAAUAGCAGUUUUUAUACGCUCUUUUAUUGGUGAAGCAAAGCUGUAGCUCACAACAUGCAAUCCAUUGAGCUCUGCUGGUUUUUCAUUUUAACUCGAGCUUGCUCGAACUCGCUCAUUCAUCAAAUAAGCAGCCAACGAAGAUUCAUGGGGCAGCAUUUUGAGUUUUCGGAUUUCUUUUUUUGUGUUGUUUUGAUGAAAAACUACUAUCAGACCGGUAUGAUAGCAGAGAUAUCAAACGGAUCCGGAUUUUGAUUUGCUACAUCCUCACUGUCACUGUCAGAUACUGCUGCCCACAUCUUCGCCCUCCUCGCCAACCGUGGUGAUUCCGCAUCUGGUGACGUUGUCUGUGCCUAUCCGGGCUCAACGAUCUAUAUCUUGCUACUGCGCACUAUCUAAAAGCCGCACACUGAGAAACCCUCAUGGGGAUUUCAUAGAUUUAGCCCCAUCUGGCAGAUCUGACAAUAGCUUUUUACUUUUUCCGGCUCAACACAUCUUGUUUAACUAAUCCCGUAAUGGAAGAAACGUUUGAAACUUCUCUAUGGGAAAUGAGAAACUUUUUUAAAAUUUAUACAAAAUAGAAGAAUAUUGUAUAUCGGGUGUGGAUCAUGCAAAGCUGAAUCCGACUCCAAAUUCUAGUUGGUGUUGUUUUUUUGUACUCAUAAUUGCACCGCUGUAGCUCGGGUCUCAAAGUGUAAUGUGGGCUAAUACGGAACGGGCGAUGUUCACCCGGGCCGAAAAUGGGUCGGAGGUACCGCCCGGCCCCGAAUCCGGACCGUGGCCUCGCAAUAGGGGGAAAAUGGAACGAACACGUAUCGAGUUGAACGAAACCAUGGCCGCUUACUCUUCUCUCUCCCGUCGAACUCUCCACGGAACCCUCGCGGUCGUGCCCAAAUUCCCCCUCCGAUCCCUCCACGAAGGCCCCGACACCAUCGACGAGCUCCUGGAUCGCCACCUCGUGAAGAAGAAGAAGAAGACGACGACGAGCAACGGCGACGGCGGGGACGACGACGACGACGAGGAGCUCGCGCUGCGGCAGCGGCGGCUCACGAGCACGCGGCGCGAGGCGCUGGCGCUCUACCGCGACAUCCUGCGCGCGACGCGCUUCUUCGCGUGGCCCGACGCGCGCGGCGUGCCGUGGCGCGACGUGCUCCGCGCCAACGCGCGCCGCGAGUUCGAGGAGGCGCGCUUCGAGCGCGACCCCGAGGUCGUCGCCAAGCUCCUCAUCGGCGGCCGCGACGCCGUUCAGAAGGCCCUCGACAGGCUCGUCGACGCCAGCAAGAAGAUGGUCGACGCCGAGGCCCGAGAUCGGAGCGGAGGUGGAACGUGAAAUCGAAACCCUAAAACGAGCGAAGGAGUGGUGGAAGGGCGAGAUCCCUAAAAAAUUCCCCCCUUUUUUUUUUUUGCGUUUUUUGGGGCGAAGUUGUUGUUUUUGUAGACGUUUUUUAUGUGAUGGAAUAAUAUCAAAUGUGUAGAAAUUUGUUUGUUCAUACUUUGAUUGGUUGGGUGAUUAUAUUUUUUUUGGAUGGAUGGGUGAGUAAUUGGUAUAAUUCCUGGUAGUAGUAGCUUUUCUGAUAUGAGCAUAUAGCACUAGAUUUAUGUCUAUGAAAAAAUAGCAUCUUUGCUAUUUAUAUAUCAAGGUUUUUGUCUUGUUUUUUUUUGUGUAAUUGUUCUGUAUAUUGUAAAUGUUUCUCUUUAUAGUUCCCUUCUUUUAAAAUUCUUAGGCACAACAUUCUUAUGCCUCAAUAUAGUUACUAACCCAUUUGCAACUUCAGCAUACUUUCAUUUAUUGUAGAAGUAGAUAUCAGAGAAAGUUCUGAUUUAAACCAAGUUUGAAUAUAAACUCACUCUAGCAGACCAUGUACAACUUAAACAGCUUCCCAUUUUAGAAUUCGACCUUGCAUUCCUGGGAUACUUUUUUCCCUUUUUCACUUCUACCAUGACAAUCCCAAACAAAAUCAAUUCCUUGGUUGUGGCCGCAAAAGCAAUAGAGUGCUGCAUGAUGCAAGUAUUGUUUAUCAUACUUGCUCUAUGUUUAACAAUAUCAGGAUGUACAGAGGUGCUCACAACUUGCUUUCUCUAUUGCAGAAGCCACUCUGUUUCUUCUUUCUGCAGUUUGCCUGAAUAUCAUAUAUCUUUUCAUCAGUAGCAUCUCUUGUAUAUUCAGACUCAUUACUGAUAUGCUUCUAGCAUCAUCUUCAUACUUUUUAUCGCUGUCGCUGUUACAAUCACCAGUAAUCGCCACAACAACACGAACCCUCGGAGAAGUGAUGAUAAACUCUUGUAUCCCCAACAAUAAUCUCCCUUCCUGAGGAUUCGGAUAUCAACUUAAGCGCGUGGUGGCAAUGAUUGCAUAUCCUCACAUUCUUCUUGACUAGUAUGGGAGUUCCAAUUUCAGUGGAUAUCAAACCAAACACAACUGCAAGCCUUAAACUGUGCUUAUUAGCCAAUGUUGCCUUCUUUCCUCCAGCUCGCAUUGGAUCAAACACCUCCUUGCCAUUCCCUGCAGUUUCCCCUAUCAAUCUUGAUAAAAUAUCGGACACUUCGUGUAUCUUAUUACUCUGGACGUGCGAUCUAUCCUCGUUGACGAAAGUAUGUGUCUUAUUCUGAAGCUCAACUAGGCUUUUAGCGGUCGUCUUUUUCAACCCUUUCUCCUUCAUCGAAGAUCUUACCCUCUCUACAUCCUCCCACCUCCCGGCGUCUGCAUACAUACUGGAUAGCAGGACGUAGCAGCCCGUGUUAUCAUGCUCCAAUUGAAAUAUGCGCUCAGCAGCGUAUUCCGCCAUUUCUAUGUUAUCAUUGUUCCUACUUGCUGUUAACAGAGACCCCCAUAUUCGUGCUGUUGGGGCCAACGGCAUGCUCUCUAUAAACCCUAACGUCUCUUUAAGAUCUUUGGUGCGGCCUAGGAGAUCGACCAUGCAUCCAUAGUGCUCGAUUUGGGGUGUUAUACUGUAUUCUUGUUCCAUGGAAUUGAAGUACAUCCACCCUUCCUCUACCAAUCCAGAUACACUGCAAGCAGUUAGUACCGACACGAAGCUACUGUCGUUUGGCUGCAACCCACUCAAUUUCAUAGCAGCGAACAAGUCAAGUGCGGUCCUUCCAUGCCCGUGAAUUCCAUAUCCCAUAAUAACCGUAUUCCACGAUAUUGUAUCAUUGCACACGAUUCUGUCGAACACCUGCCUCGCACUCCUAAGAUCACCGCAUUGUGCGUACAUAUGUAUGAUUGAAUUCAGCAGCAGAGUAUUGUCCCCAUAACCUGAACGAACAACAUAACUAUGUAUUUGCUUCCCAUGCCGAAGUGAUUCUAUCUCUCCAUAAGCAGGUAUUAUGGUUGACAUCGUAAAGACGUCUGGUUUUAGAGGCUCGUUCUGUAAGUCGAUGAAUAGUUGCAAGGAUUCUCCAAACCUCUCAUUCUGUACAUAAGCCGCAAUCAUGGUGUUCCAUGAUACCAAACUCUUUUCCGGCAUCUCAUUAAAUAGUAUUUCCGCCGAUUUAACUUUCCCGCAUUUUCCAUACAUCUCUGUUAACGCAGUCCCGAGAACCAGGUGAGGAAGGAACCCUCUUCUUAUUGAAAACCCAUGAAUGGUUUCUCCACGAGACAAGCUCUCCAUUUGAGCACAAGCAUUUAGCAAAUUCACCAUCGUGACUGUGUCUGGAUCAGUUUUCUCCUCCCACAUCUCUCUCAUGCAAUCAAAUGCUUCGUCGGGUUGAUCGUUCAGAGAGUACCCGCCGACGAGAGAAUUCCAUGCGACAACAUUUCUCAGAGGCAUACCGUCGAACAAUCUCCGGGAAUAAAUCAUGUUACCACAUUUGCAGUACAUAUCAAGAAGAGAAGUUUGGACUUUGAUAUCAUCUUCGAGCUCGUGCCUCACCGCAUGCCCAUGGAUUUCCCUCCCUUGCUUAGAUAACAACUCCAUAGAACACGCCGCGAGAGCACCCAUGAUCCCAAUCCUAUCAUGCUUAAUCCCUAGAGCUUCAUUCAACUCCCUAAAGCACGAUAACGCCGCCGCCGCCUCUCCAUUCAAAACAUAGCCAUCGAUCAUCGAGUUCCACGAUACACGGUCUCUCACCGGCAUUUCCUCGAACACCCUCUUUGCAUCACUAAUAAGCCCAAACCUCGAGUACAUGGCAAUGAGGGAAUUGCAAAUAAAAAGAUCUGAAUCCAAUCCGAUCUUGAGUACCCUCCCAUGGGCUUUUAAACCGUCAAAGCGCCCCGACAAGACGGUGCAGGAUUUGAAGACGAAGGGGAAGGUGAAGUUAUCCGGUCGGACGUUCUCGACGUGCAUCGCGUAGUAAAAUUCGAGAGCUUCUUCGUAGAGCUCGGCAUCGGCGUAGCCUCUGAUCAUGAGGUUCCACAAAAAGGCAUCAUGUUUCUUCUUCUUUGUGCCGCGGAAAAGCGACACGGCUUCGUCCAUGCGACCGGAUUGGAUGUAGGAGAGAAGGGUUCGCGCGACGAAGGAAUUGUUGGUUUGUUUGGAUAAUGUUUUCGGUGUGGAUGAGAUGUUGGUUUGGGAAGUGUUGGUGGAGUUGUUGUAGAAGCACGGGAGAGAAGCUGUGGCCAUUGCCACUACAUACUAUAAACAUACACACACUAGAGAAGAGCUUUCAUAGCUCUGUAGAGUGAGUGAGUGUUUAUAUAUAGGUAUUCAUUGCUUUUGUAAUUUUGGAUGCAUUAUCCACAGGGGGUGCUGCAAUACACAGCCAUACAGUUUUUGCAGGGAUAUAAAUAGUUUGGUUCUUAGGUCGGAUACUAUGGAGAAGCGAAACUGAAAUCCAAAAGUUAUUAUCUUUUCUUCUUUUUUGUUUUUUUAAUCAGGGGCUUGGUCUGCAGCUAUCUAAUUUCCCUGUCAUUUUUAAAAUAUCAGUGGUUUAUGAAAUUUAAUAAUUUAUCAGUUUCGAUUCCAAAUAGAUUCCUUUUAGUUUAUUAGCGCAUAGCAGUUAGCUUUUCUUUGUUAUAAUAAUAAAAUAAAAUAGAAGUUUCGGAAUGCUUCAAAGUAUUUUGAGAAAUCGUAGCCGCCCAAUCGAAAUUUUAUUUUAUAUAUAUGAGAUAUCACUUUUUCCACACAAAUUUAAGUAAAUUCACCAAUUACAUAAAUAAAGGCACCACAUUGAUACUCAGAAAACACCAAAGUAUGCAGUGCAAUUUCCAUAGAGAGCAGGGGAGUUGAAAAUGAAACAAGACUUUUGUGGAAGGUACGCGUUGCUCCCAUUCUUCGCAUGAUCAUCAAUGGAUUUGAUGGCUGGUUGAUUUAGAUAAGCAUACUUGCUUUUAGUCCACCUGCACCCACCCGAGAAGAAAAUUCAAAUGAAAAAAAACGCUUUUUUUUAAGUCUAUUUGUAGACAUUAUUAAACAAUGAUUACUCAGAUAUAAGAUACAUGAUGAUCUACAGAGAAAUAACUUAUCAGGAACAUUUCCCUGUGUUUAAGGUGUUUUGUACGUUACUUUAAUUAUGCCACUAGAUGCUCAAGCGGAUUCAUUUAUCUAGAAGUCUUGUCUCAAGCAUUUUGGUUAGAUAAUGAAAGCAAAGACUUUUCUUUUUUACUUUUUGUGAGGGACACACCAUCCUCCAACUGAAGAAAUUAAGAGUCAUAAUAUUUUGAAGCAUUUGUGAGUAUCAUGAAAACCAAUUAUUUUAAAAACUGUUCACGACGGAUCACCGGUUCAACCAAUGGUUUGAUCACCGGAUUGAAUGAUGUCACUAUAAUAACAUAAUGUUUAAUUAUUAUUUUUUAUAUUAUAUAUAAUGAAAUAAAAAAUAUAUACUAAAUAUAACAUUUUAUAUUAUUUUUAAAUAUUAUUAUAUUUUAUAUAAUUAAAAAUAUGUUCAAAUUGUAGAUUUUAUUGAAAAAAAAAAAAAAAAAUCUGACCAGUUUGGUCUGAGUUGGUCAAACCGGAUUUUAAACCAGUUCCAGUGUUAUGAAUCGGUUUGGGCACUGGAUCACGAUCCAACCAGGCAGAUCGAUCCGGGUUAAACCAAGCAUAGUACUCAUUACGAACUUUCUUGAAGACUUUGUAACCAUUAAUAAUGUUUAAAAAAACGUGACGGCACACAAAAGACUAAUUAAUAAAAAGCAUCUUUGAAGUGGUCAAUACAUGAUUAUCCUGAUGUCAGUUCCUGUUGUACCUAGUACGUACGUUAGCUAUUUAAAUUAAGUAGAACAUGAAGUAGAACACUUGAUUAAUAUAGUUUAGAAUAAUGGCAAGAUGUAGGGAAUUAACCUACCAGUCCUUGAUCCCAAUUCUCAGCUCCUUGUUGUUGUCGUCGCCGUUGUCCCCCUCCUUUCCUUCCUCCUCAUUCUUCCCGCCGUCAAUGAUCUCUCUCAGCAACUCCUCGAAUCGCCUGAAAUCUUCUUCCUGCUCUCAUCAUCCUCAAAGAAUUGCAUACGAAAUUAAUCAUGUUAUCUUAUAUAAGAUGAUCCAUCAACAUAUAGAUCUAUAUGCUGAAUAAAGAAACGUGAUACAGGUAAGACACCUUGAACAAAAUUGCAGAUAAAAAGCCUAAUCAAUUGCAUAUGAUACAGUAGAAUCAAAGAAACCUUGGAUCCACUAGAGAUCACUAUAGAUCAGAAAAAACUGAGAGCGAUAAUCUUGCCUUGAGAGCCUUAGCUCUGAUUCUAGCAGCGGCCUUUUGCGCGGCGAGAAGGUGUUCCUCCUCCUCCAUCUUCUUCCUCCGCCAGAAGCGAUUGAUCUCCUCCUUUGUUAUGCUCUUGACAACAACCAUCUUUCGUGUCGAUGUCGGCAGCGUUGAUGGGCUCAAUAUCUUCUUUGUCGCGCCUUCUCCCUUCCUUUGCGCCAUCAUUAUUUCCUCUGUUUGCUGUUUGCAACCUCUCCUCCCUCUUUUAAUUCUUUUCCUUGAGUGCAAGAAAACCUAUAUAUAGAUAUAUAUAUAUGAAGCCACUGCUAUACAAACCUAACGUCCCGAUCGACAGAGACUUUGGGAGGCUUCCCCUCUCAGACUUCUUGUAGUCUUCUCCUAUCUUUCUUUUCUUUUUAGUUUUGUCCUCCCUUAUGUAUUGCACACUCUUGUGCUUAUCUUCCAAGUUUGGUCAUCAUAUAUUAGGCCACCAUGACAAACUGGGGCCUACCACUAAUGUCCUGAGCCGGUGGGCGGUCCACUGAAGCUAUUAAUCUGGUAUAAUAGUACAAUACCAUCUGAUAUGAUAAUUCACACGCAAAUAGUGGUAAUGGGACAUAAAUGGUUUUCUACAGCUAACUUUUUGCCACUGUUGAGAGAUGUUGAUAUUAUUAUAGCCUGCUUAAUUUGAAACUUUUCUAUUGGGGAGAGAAAUGCUACAAUUUUGCAAUAAAUACGUACCAGAGGAAAAUGAAAAACUCACCACUUUACCAUAUGCUUUCGAAGAGAAUUAUACACCCUCUAUUCCUCUCCAAGUAAUUACUUAAAUAGAAGAACGUUUUAGUUAAACUUGCAAGCGAUAUUUACAGGAGUAAAUGAAUAAAGAAGAUAACCAUUGAGAGAGAUAUCAAGAAUACGAAGAAUAUUGAUGGGAACACGACCCAUUCGUCGCAAACAUAAACAACUGUAAUUCCAUUACAAUCUAGUGGACAUCAUGUGGUGGUGAGAAUCAUUUCGUACCAAACUUUAUGCCACAACAAACAGAUAAUGCUUCCGAUAAAAGAUUUUGAGUGUUGAAAAUGUUUCAUUAUAAAAGAAAGUUUCAGAAAGAAGAAGAAGAAGAACUGUAUAUACUUAUUAUACUACAUAUUCUUUGUCAGAUGAACAGAAAUUUUGCCAGCAUACAUUUUCUUCUGAGCCGUGUAGCUUCAAAGAAACAUACAGUUUGACUGCAAUUCUUCCUCACGGGAAGAAUAUGUUUUUAAUUGAUUUGGCUGCUUCUAAUAAUAAUGACAUUAAUGUUGAGUACCACUGACGGAUGUAGAAAAGAAUCAACAGUACCCUCCAAACAAAGCUUCCAACAUCAUUGUAUGCCUUUUUUCCUCUUGCUAGCCUACAAAAGAAAAAAAAUUGUCGCGCAUUAGAGAGGAUCAUAAAAGCAGAAAAGAUGGCAAACUAUAGGAAAAGUAUUUGUAACAUUAGGCACACAAAAAAGAUGGCUGCUUUUGUAACAAAACAUGGAUUAUGAAUUUACAAAAGACUUUUACUUCUUUCAUCCAUGACAAAACCACAUGCCUUCAUUCUAGAAGACGACAGCAGUAUCAGAAACUUAAAUUUAAUCCGGAAUCUCGACUACACAGCUAGUUUACUUGUAAUUCCAGGAGGCAAAAGAAAUCCACACCAGUGUCUGUCCAUCCAAAUGCAUCUUUAGUAUUCAGCAGGUCAAAAACAAUAAAAACCAUUUAGUUUUAAUUCAGUUAUGAUGGCAAACAACAUUGAGUAACAUACAUAUGGAACCCACUUUUCUUCCCCAAACAUGCACCCACUUAAGAUCCUGCUUUAUGCCUCUAAUGUCCACUUCUGUGUACUUCAGGCAACUAAAGACAUUUAACAGUUUGUGCAGGCUUCCGUGAAAAUUGGUAGUACACAAAUGUUAGAUCUAGAGGAGUCCAAAACGUGAUGAGAACAACAUACAUACAGACGGUGCGAAAGAGAAGCAAAUAAAAUGACCAUACGAAAUAGGAAAAGUAAGAGUAUUAACUAAACAUGUUAUUUUACCUCUUGAAGUUUCUUCAAUAUCAUAGCUUCGUACUCAUUAAAGCCAGCUCCGACAAUGUUGCUGACUUUUGGUUCACUUGUUUCAGCAGUCUGUGCAGAGAAACUAUCUGAAGUGCCUGCAGUAGUCACAAGAGGAAGAACAAGCAAGGGAUUUGAAAGACUCCCGCUCAUGCUGUGUGUAGCUGCUUCCUGACAAAAAGAGAAAAGAAACCAAAUAUAACAGUAAUAAGCAAAUCUGAAUAGGGUUAUGCAUGGGAUUGAAACUGCAUAUAAACAGAAGAAAGUAUAUUCAGUGCAUAAAGCAACCAAAAACAUCAAAAAUAUGUAAUGAGACAAUUUUUCUUGCCAUUGUACCCAUUGUCAAUAUUCAGGGUAUCACUAUGGAUAAAUCAAUUAUGCAAGCUAAAUUUGGAACGUUGUUGUCUGUGCUAAAGCAACUACCACAAAUCAUCAAUUAAAUUUCAAUCGCAUGACUCCACAUAAGCUGAAUUUGAAGCUAAAAUCCAUUCAUAAGAGAAGUUCAACAAUUAACAGAGCUACAAACAAGUGAACUGAACAAUUCUUCCGCCCACAUGGAUUGCAUAAAGAUGUCUGACUUAAGUUCAACGGAACUUCAUUUUAGCCUUUUUGAGUAACAACAAGCAAUUAGGACCAAAAUCAAUAGGUAUGAGGGUCUAGGCCUCAAAAUAGGCAGAAAUAGUGACGGUAAAGAUCACAUGAUUAUCAGCCAAUCCUUCCUGAAAUGUGUGACCCAGCUGUGAAUAGAUCUUCCUACACAAAAAGAAAGCAAAUGGUAGACUAAAUUUCCUAUAAUAGCCUCCCAAGUCCAGCACUUGACCACAUUUAUAGAGCAUGUGGAGUGAAUCCAGGAAUUGCAGAUGAGAUGAGAUGAGGCUAAUAUUGCUAGACGGAAGCGGAAUGCAGCUACGAGGUCUUCAAGUAAAGUCUUAGGUUCAGCAUAUAAGAGGCUAGAUGUGGAAUAUCUUAAUGAAACUAUUUUGUGCAAAUCUGUGCUGAGAGGAACUAGCAGUGACAAUGUAGAAGAAAAGAGAAAAGAGUGAAGAAAGAACAGUGCGAGCAACAAACCAAAGUUUUGCUGAUUUGUCUUGUUACCGGCAGAAUUUGCUUUUGCCAAAAGCAGCUUAAAGAAAGGAAACAAGAGGGAUUGAGAAGAAAUAGACUACGAAAUGAUGGGGAACCUUUGACCAUGAAAAAUAAGGGGAACUUGCAAGAGGAACUGAAGGAGCCGGGGGCGGGGGGGGAGGGGGGAUGUUAAGAACUACGAAAUACUGGCAUGUUAUCUUCUCAUCUUCUACUGCAAAUUGAAGUCAGCUUCAGUCUUUUAUAGCCACUGGAACACUUUCUUUUUGGAAACUAAUAUGAUACUCGAGACAAUGCCAAAUCAUCACAAUAUCCCCUCCUUACGGUAAAGGAAUUGAUCCUAGUCUUGGGAACCAGAGAUAAAGAGAUAUUCUAAAUCUUCAAUAUUUUCUCUUAUUGGUAAGCAGAUCACCCCUCUUUUUAUAAUCUUUCAAUAGUUAUAAAUCUCAACCUAGGUUCAGAACAUUCUCCUGUCACUUGUUUAUGAUAUCAAAUCUGUAUAAUUCAAUGAAGUAAGAAGAGAUCAACAAUUAUGAGAUAAGCACUCCAAAUGAGGAUGACAGAUGGCAUGCAAAGGAUAGUAAGUGACAAUAUAAAUAUUCCAUAUUAUAGGCAUUAAAAAAAAACUAAUGGAACAGAAAGAGAUUCUUGUCCCAAACAUACUAAAAGGAUAUUUCUCGCUAGUUCAAAUACUGAGAUGUUUAAGAUGUUUACGAGCUUUCUAAAAGUUGCGCCUAGAUGACAAUUCUUGCAAAUAUGAGAUUUUUUUUUUAAAUGCUUUUCAUGUCCCCCUACACAUUAAAUAUGCUAGAAUGGAUAUUCCGAUUGUUUUUGUAGUUGUAAAAAGCUGUUUUCUUUUGUUUGUUAAUACCAUUCUCUCCAAGGUCUCAAACUUUUCCAGAACUAAGAAAGCAUGGCAAACUUACCACGGCAUCUUUGGAAGACAUCACGACGAUGGCCGAGGCCUUGCUUUUAGAUUUCUUCGAUCUAAUUACAAUAUCUUCGACCUCUCCGAACCUCUCAAAGAUCUCUUUCAACUUGGCCGCAGUGUAAUCACCCAAACUCCUCUCCCAGGAGACCUUCAACAUCUUCUCCUUCUCCUCCGAGCCCUCUCGCUUUUCCUGUCCAGAUGUCUAGCAAAAAUUGAUGCAGCGAAUUAGCACAUGAAUUAACUAGCACGCACUACAAACUUAGAUACAGCGAACCCUAAACCUAAUCUUACCGAGGCGGAAGCGGGGGUGGAUUUAUUGGCCUUCCUGGCCAGGAAUUCUUCGAGCUCGCGCUGCAGCUGGGCGGCGACCUUCUUCUCGCGCAACUCGGCGAGCUCGGCGGGGUCGGGGGCGCCGUCGCGAGCGGCGGCGGCGCGCUCCCGCUCGUCGAGGUCGGCGGCGAGCUUGCGGCGCUUGGUGUCGCGCGCCGAGUCGCGGAGGGCGCGGUCGCGGCGGGCGCGGAGGCGCGCGUCGAAGGAGCGGCGCGCGGCCUCGUCCCUGAGGACGUCGUAGGAGGCGCGGAGGCGCUGGAAAUCGGCGGUGGCGCUGGGGUCGUCGGGGCGCUUGUCGGGGUGGCGCACGCGGGAUUGGCCCUUGUAGGCCUUGUCUAUCUGAUCUAGGGUUAGCCUCGCCCCCUCCUCGCCCGAGGGGAGGCGGAGUACCUCGUAGUGGUCGAUCUCCUCCUCCACCGCUGCGCCGACGCCCCCGCUCGCCAUUAGAGAGGGGGAGUGGAGCUACGCUGCUCUAUGCGACUAGGGUUUUUUGAGGAGACGCGAGAGGAGGAAGGAAGGGAGAGGUCGGAAGAGCGCGCGCGGAGACGUGACAGUUCGAGCCCUUCUGAUCCUUCAGGAGUGGCCGACUAAGAAAAUUAACAAAAUAAUUAAAAUAAAUAAAUUAAGACCACUUUGUAAAAUAAUUUAAUUUCAAGGAGAUUUUUCUUUGGCCCAAUUUCGUUCCUCGGUUGACUCCGCACACCAACAAAAAUUGCAUAGAAUUUUUUUUUUGAAAAUGCUGUAAUUAUUGCAUUUAAUUUUAGAAUUUAUUUAGAUACAUUAAUAUGUUUCUAUAAAAUAAAAGUAUAUUAUUGUCUGUGACAUAUGAAUUCUAAUAUUUUGUUUACUCUCCAGGAAUUAUUUUUAUUUAUAAAUUUAUAAAUUUUUAUUUAUAUUUUGAUAUUCUACUAAAAAUAUAGAAAUAUCUCAAUGUAAAUAUAAAUACACAUUUUCAAAAAGCAGGACACUACAUAGGAAAUUCUGGAGAAUCUCUACAGAUAAUUCCAAAAUAGUAAUUUUUUUUUAUAUAUAUACGAUAAUGAUAAUUAAAUUGAAUUCUUUUUAUAAUAAAAAAAUAUUCAACUUAAAAAGGUGGAGGACUAAACUGAAAUUUGAGUAAAAUUUCAGGUCUAGUAGUACAUUGUACUCCACGACCACGGUAUCUGCUGCGUUGCCAAACGCAGUAAAUAAAUACAACGCAACAACUCCCUCGUCGCAUUCAUUUCACCCUCCGCUUCUCUCCCCCAAAUUUAAAAUUCAGAAACGAAACCCCCUUCUCCCUCUUUCUACCCCACGCAAGCGAGAGAGAGAGCGAUCACACUCUUCGUAACCGAUCGGAGGUACUCGAUCUUGCAUAAAUGGAGCGAGAGGAGCCGAUCCUCCUUGCUAUCUUCGUCGUUCUCCAUGGCGAGGAGCAUCCGAUACCCUCGUCUCCUCCCGAGCAAGAGGUUGUUGCGAUCGAUCGCGAGGAGGGUUCGCCAAUCGCGGCCUCUCCCUCUCGGGACAAUUUUGCGCUAUGCGAUCGUUUCCACGACAAUUUUGAUCGUGGCGGUGGUACUCUGGAUGAUCAUCUCCGUUGUGCUCUUCCUCUUUCGCGACCAUCGUCUCGAUCCUUAUGAAGAAUCUCUUCUCACCUAUCAGAAGUAAGAUCGUCUCGUUUUCCGUUUGUUUUUGUGUGUACAAGGUGUUUGUAUGUGAAGUUUUUUGUGUUUCUUGAUGCAGCGAAGUGAAGGAUGAGGUGCUUGGGGAGAGAGGGGAGCCGUGGUCGGAGGUGCUCUCGUGGAAGCCGAGGGUUUUCAUGUAUCAUAAUUUCUUGGUACGAGAAUCCUUCCCAUUUCGUAUCAUCCUCUUCUUUUUGUUGUGAUUUUAAUUAUUAGGGAUGCGGAUUUAUGUAUUGAAAUUGUUGGGGCCUGUUCGGAUGCCUGGUCCAUCCUGUUCUGUUACUCAAAGAUUUUGCAAUAAUUGGUAGAUUAAGAGUGUGAUUAUAUAUAUAUUCAUGGUAUUUUCUAGGAGUAAGAUAAAUCACUCAUUGGUGGAAUGCAUUUUUCUGAAAAAAAAAACUCCACUGCUAGGAUCUUGCAAUGGACUAAAAACAUAUUCAUAGGUUGUAAUCGCAAAAGAAUAAUCCCCAUAGGCCCUGUUUGGAUGCGUGAGCAUCCUAUUUGCUAUAUUUCUUUGAUUUACUCAAGAAGCGUAUAGUAUUUGAUAGAUAAGGAGUGUGAUUAAAUAUUUAAAAUGAAAACCAUAUUCUGUCUUUGAGUAAUUUUUUUGGAAUAAGAUAAAUCACAUUGUAGGUAAAAUAUACUAUCAUAUCAAAUCAUGGAUGUUGAGAUCUUUUGAGAAACAAAAUAAAAAAACACGUAGCUUCCAAUCACGCAAGAAAAUGUUCAUACCAAAUAACUUAUUAUUGGAUAGCUUAUUUCGGCAUCAAAACAGAGCCAUAAUGUAUGAGUUCUCACUGGAUAAUUUGUUCUAACAUCCAAGCAGGCCCUUAUGGUAGAAGAUAAUGCUGCUUGCCUACUGGAUUCAAAUCCAACUACUAAACGUGGAAUGAUGCCUAAAAUUUUUUUAAAGUGCAACAAGCCUCCAAAAUUUGUAAAGAUGGAUCAUCCAAAUAUGAUUAUAAUUAUACUUAUAUUGAAUGUUUUUUAAUCAGUCUAAGGAGGAAUGUGAGUACCUAACUAAUCUAGCGGAGCCUCAUCUGGUGAGGUCUGCGGUUAUCAAUAGAAGCAACGGAAAGCCAAGGAACACCAGGUCUACACUCUUACCUUGCUACUUAAUUUACAAUUUUCAACCAUUUUCACAUUAAUCUGUGUAUCCAGUUUCCGCACUAGCUCAAGCAUGUUCUUUAAAAGAGGUCAGUACAAAACAAUUCGAGCUAUUGAGAAAAGAAUCGCAGAUUUUGCCUUCAUACCUACAGGUACGGUUCUUGGUAAUACUUAUUUUACAUGGAUUAUUAGCCAUUGAAAUCAGUACUUUUUUUGCAUACUCAUUAUGAAGCUCGCUUAGGUCUUGUUUUGUAGCUUGGCAGCAUGACCUCUCCAUAUGCAUAGUAUCUUUGUUUUUAAAAGGAAAGAAAAGGAAAGUCAAAAGAAGUUACUACUAAUUUUUCAUUAUUUAUUGCCAAACAAACCUCAAAGAUGUAUAAAUUUGCAAGCAAUCCACCAUCCACCAACGCAUAGUGUUUGUGAAUAAAAAAAAAAAAAAAACAGCAGUAUUAAACUAUGCCUUACCUUAUCAAAUUUGAGUAGAAAAACAUUCCUUAUUACAUCUAUAGGGGUCAUAGGACAAAAGACAUAAAAUUUAAAGAAGGGCCUCCAAGUAUUGAGGGGAAUAAGAGGAAGUUAUAUGUUUUACUCUUUUUUUCAAGGAUUUAAAUGCCGUGCCAUGUGGUCGUGUCGAAAACCUGCUUGCACGGUAUGGCACCCUUACUAUGCCAAUUCAUGCUGGUCACAAAGAAAAACCUGUGUGCUAAUACACAAUCGCGUGAAUAUUUAUUUUCUUUGGCUCCAAUUUAUUCUAAUUGCUUAUUAUAUAUCUUUAUCGAAUUGUUUACACUUUAUUGAGAUAACUACUUGCUAAUCUUAAAGAUAAGAGGGUUUUGAGCCGUGCCAUCGGCGUGCUAUCAGCAUGGUGUAGUAUCGCGCCGAUAUGUUAUUAGCACGGUAUGGCCUGAUGGAUAUGGCCUAUGCCAAUGGAUACUUAAAUCCUUGCUUUUCUUUUUUACCACUUUUCUCUCCUAAAGUGCCAAGGUUGUUCUUCUGUUUAGUUGUGUUAAGGUUCAUGUUUAACAUAGAAGGCUAAAAUUGUUGCUCUAUUUGUUGUGUGUGAUUCCUCAAAUGCAUUGUUGAACACAUCAAAAUAUUCAAACCAAUAUCUUUUUGUGCUGGGUACGGCCUCUUUUUACUUUUUUCCCUAGGAUUUCCACUGGUUUGAUUUUCUUUUUGUCAUAUUCCUCUGUAACUUCCUUUUUCCAUGUUGUUCUACAUGCUUUCACUUUAUUCUUAUUUAACCUCUACUGGCUCCUUGUUGUCGGGCAAAAAUUUUAUGGACACCAUGUCCAAUUUUUUUUUUUUUUUGAGACUCUUGGUGGGCGCCGCAUGGCACCCCAGCCACGCGGGCCACCGUCCUGCUGCUCUGCCUCUUUGGAGAGCAGCGGGUUUUUUUUGGUGCGCCCGUUGUACCAUUUUUACUUCAAAAUUUUAAUUUUAAUUUUAAUUUAAUAUAAUAGAUAUAUAUUUUAUUAUAUUUAAAAAAUAUAUGUAAAAAAUAAUUUUAAAUCUUAAAUUCUAAAUUAUUUUUGUAUAUUUUUAAAAUAUCAUAAUAUAUAUAUAAUUAAAUUAUAAUGAAAAAAUAAAAAAUAAAAUUUUAAAACAAAACUAGUGCACCGGGUGCACCAAAAAAAAUCCAACUGCUCUCCCUGUUGGGAGAGCAACAGGGAGAGCAACAGGACCGAUGGGCCCGCGUGGCUCGGGUGCCACGCGGCGCCCAUCCAGAGUGUCCUCAAAAAAAGUUUUUUGGACAUGGUGUCCAUAAAAUUUUUGCCUCUUGUUGUCCUUUCCUUUCCUCCACUAGUUUGAUCCAUCUGUAAACAAUUCCUUAAAUGCUUUAUUAUGUCCCAUUGUCACUGUUAGUUACGGUCUUGAUCGUUGUAAUCCAAUCCAUGAUCAUAACUAAAGUGACGCGAGUAAUUUAAGGCUUCUGCUAUUAUAUUAGGAACCAAACAAGAAAAUGAAACACUGAAUCUUUGAGAAUAAAGAUGCAAACUGGGCUGGUGAAUUGUUUCUAAUAUUCUCAUAUGAUUCAUGCUGAUGUGCCAAUGUUAUGUUAAUGAGAUUUUCUGUUAUUUGGUUUAAGUUGCUUAUUUGCUUCUUUUUCCACUGUUUUUUUUAUGCUUUACCAAACUCGUUGGUGCUAAUUUCAUACAGAACAUGGGGAGGGGCUUCAAGUUGCUCACUAUAAAGCUGGAGAAAGAUAUGCGGCUCACCACGAUUACUUUUCUGAUAAAUUUAGCAUCAGGAAGGGAGGUCAGAGAAUAGCAACCUUUCUUAUGUAUCUGUAUGUGUUUGGCUUCUUAAAAUUCAUUUAGCUUUGUUCAAACCACCUUUGAUCUGAAACCAUUUUGACUUAGCUUUUGUGUUUUGUUUUUCUCCUUUGGGAGGUACUGAUACAGUUCAGAUGUUGAAAAGGGUGGUGAGACAGUAUUUCCUUAUGCCAAAGUAAACACCAGCUCUUUACCAUGGUAUAAUGAGCUAUCUGCAUGUGGAAAGAGGGGCCUUGCUAUUAAACCCAAGAUGGGAGAUGCCAUUCUUUUCUGGAGCCUAAGACCUGAUGGCGCACCAGAUCCAUUAAGUAUGCAUGGUCAGCUUCCUACCCUUGGACCUGGUUUUACCUUUCUGGCUGUAGAUCGCAUAUAACUUAUAAAAUAAAAUAAAAAAAUUUCUCUACUCUUGCUGUAAGCAUAUAAUAUAAUUAUAAGUCCGGCUACUAUACUCUUAUGAAUACAAUCGUCUUCGUAUUCAUAAGUCGUUUUCGAUGAUAGAGUUCCUGAAUCAACGAUCCAUACCGUUAAACAUUAUUUAGAGCAUUUAAAACUUCUGAAAAUCAAAUUUUAUAAUUUUUCGACAUCAUUUACCUUACGAUCAAAAGGUAACAAAAAUAACAAUUUUUAAUGGCCGGUAUGGGAUACUUGCUAGUUUAACGGUGUAAAAGAAUUGGAAUAGGUUGAAUUUUUGAUAGAAAAUUCUAUUCGCUACCUAAAUAAAGAUUAAUAACUCUAAUCUUAAAUUGAAGGAUCCGAUCAUUCAUUUUUAGAAUGUCGUUCGAUUUUGACCGUUCAUUUUAUGCUCGCUUGAUGGGCUUUAUUGUGAUUUCAAAAAAUUAUGAAAUUUAUUUUUUAGAAAUUCCAAAUACUUUAGAUCAUAUUUAACGAAGUAGAUUAUUGAUUCAAAAGUCCCAUCAUCGAAAACAACUUAUGAGUACGAAGGGCUCUAUACUCAUAAGAGUAUAGUAGCCCUACUCUCUCUCUCUCUCUCUCUCUCUCUCUCUCUCUCUCUCUCUCUCUAUAUAUAUAUAUAUAUAUAUAUAUUUGCUGUAUUAUUGAGUGGAUACUUCAUUGUGCUAUCUGCAGAAGGGUGCCCUGUAAUUGAAGGGAAUAAGUGGGCAUGUACAAAGUGGAUGCAUGUUGAGUUCUUCAGAUCUGGACAAUAAAGGUACUCAUCACUUGGUUGGCCAUUGUGCAUUUGUGUUCGACUUUUCUUGUUUUUUUUUGGUUUAACCAGUGCCAUAUAAAUAUAUUAGGGCUUCCGUCUUUUUUUUUUUUUAUAAUCUUUGUUCAGGCAUCUCACAAAGCUUCUCAUUUUAAGAUGAUUUCUCACGGCCUUUGUAAACCUUCUAUCAAUUUUGAUGUCUCGGAGAGUGUUGAUCAAAUAAGAUUACUCCAUAUGUUAAGGUGUUAUCAUACUGAAAAAUAAUGCAUGAAAUUCUUGCCUAGUUUCCAAUGAAAGAGAUAGCACGGCUGUCUUUGUUACUGAUGUUAAUAUUUCUAACUUUUGUUUCUCACUUUCUCUUUAAUAAUCAUAUUAUUUUUAUUUAGGCUAUUAUGUUUUGUGAGCUCCAAUAUCAUAUAAUAUUGUAGAAGUUUUAGAUGACUCAGAUGUAAGAACAAGGUCUUCACUGUGAUUGUUUGAAAAUGAUCUACAUUAAAUGGAAAUGUUGAUGUAAAUUAUUGGCAGAGGGGAAAUGUAAAGCAUUUUCAGGUUUUUUUUAUUUUUUGGCCCUUUAAAGCAUGAAAUUGUAUCCAUCUGGGCUGCGCAUUCCUGAACUAAGCCUAAAUCAUAGUUCUGUUUGGACAAUUAUGUUGCAUAAGUACCACUACCAGCAGGAUGGAUCACCAAAACAAUAUGCUUCACAGUUCACAGUGUCAAAUCUUUAUCGCUAUUCUGACGUUAAUGCCUAGAGAUGCCUCUUUCCCUUAAAUAAGGCAGGUGUUCUGUAUGAAUGAUUUCCAUCUCAUACCGUAAAAUAUUGUGGGGAUUACCACCUUCCUUUAUUGAUCUAUGUUUGGCAGGAGAGCGACAAGUUAUAGAUUGUCUUGGUAUUGUUUAAUUCGAAGUUGUAGUUUAUAAUUGUCUGGUUAGUAGUUUAUGAUUGCAUUAGGUCAUAUUCAUUUCAGAUGUGACACUUUCUGUGCGAGCGAGGUUUUACAACUUACCACAACUGGUGAUGCUGCAGGGUUUCCUUUUUUUAUUGUGAUAAUUUUAUCUGCCUCCAAUAUUGCACUAAUCACCCAAUUAAAAGAAACAGCCACAAAAUCAGCAUACUGGUAGUAUAUCAUUACUCCGUGACAUAUGCUCGCUCACUGUUGGUAGCUUUACAUGGUUUUGCAAUUUUCUUCGUCUCUCUUUUUACAGGAGGAUUUGAUGACUAACCGUAUAUAGCUUCAAGCAAGAGCAGACGACUAGCGUAAGGAAAUUCACAAUCAUUAUGGGGAUUUUUUGUUUCACAAUCAGUCUGGAGAUUUUUGAUUUAAGUGCAGCAGCAGAGGUUGAAUUUUACAAAAUAUUGGGAGUUCUGGUAAAUCUUUACUCCUAUGUUUUAUGGAAACCUUUGGGUUUUUGGCUCAGAUAGUGUUAGGAUUUAUAAAGUCUCAUCUUUUUGUCAAACAUGUGGAGUAGAUGACCAUAGCUAAACCAGUUUGAGAAUUCAUGAUCAAUUGGCAAGAACCCUUUAGAGCACUUUAUUGAACUUUUCUUGGUACUUCGUAGAAUCACUGAUAAUGAAAAUCAUCUAAGGAAAUCAAAAGUUUUAGAACUUGUUUAAUUUGUGAAGCACAUUUGAGGUACUGAUUGUGGAUCAAUUUUGAGCAGUUGAAGUAAUGGUAGAGGGCUAGCAAAUUGGACUACUCUAAAAUCCAUAUGUUUCAUCAAAUUCGCAAUGGUGAUAAAGUUGGCUUAUGGAUGUACCUCUAAAUAAUGACAAAUAUUUGAUUUUCUUUGUUAUGUUAACAUUCUGUUAAAACUCAUUUAGCUUAUUAUAAACUCAUAAACUACUGCUAUCCAGGUUUAAAUUUAUGAAAUUUAAUUUGCUUUCCAUCUUUCCAUAUCUACUGGUUUCGGAAUGUUAAUGUUUAAUAAAACGUAAUUUCAGAAAUAAAACUUUUCAUUGUGCUAACAUCUGCCUAUAAAUGCUGUGGAGGCAUGGCUCGUGCUUGGUUUCCAGGCGCAAAUUUUAUUGCAAGAGCUCAAGCUAUGGUAGCAGUGACAUUAAGACAGACUUGCCAUGAAUUCAAGGCAUAUCUACUGUUUUGUAUGGUUUACCCAGGUAAACAUUUUAGACUAAUACAAACCUCACUUUAUUCUCAUCUAAAUUUAUCAUUUUUUUUUCCAAUAUUUAAACUUAAAGGAAUGUCUAAACACUAUGAUGUGUUGGUGUACCAUUUGCACUUUCUUUUGAAUGUAUUAAGUUGCAUAUUUCUCUCGUUACAAUACCCUCCUAAUCAGAAAAUUUCAGUAUAAUCUUAUUUAACCUGAGAGAUAUUUAUCAUAGUCAAAAAAGUAAGCAUCAAAACUGUGUAAAAGGAUGUUUUAUCAUAUCACAAUUUUAUACUUUCUAUCAACCAUUUAUUCUCUAUGUAGACUGUUGAACUCGUCAUACUGUUGAAAUAGUAUGCACGACUAAAUUGUUCUAAAUGGCGUGAAAUUAUCAGAUUCUUCUAACCGGCCAAGGGAGACAUCAUUGACAACAAGCAUUCUCCCAUUUCUCAACGAAAUGUUAAGUGUGAAGAUGCUAUGACAUAUAACAUGAAAACAAUAAACCACAUGAACACACAAGUGGCCACAUAAGAAUUAAUGGGGAUGAACGCAUAGCGCUCUGUACGCGACAGCGCCAAAUUUCUCAUAAGCAUCCUUGGCAAAAUUUGAGAUGAAUGGAACCACUGAUCUCAAUAAAUAAUCACACUCAAAAGUAUUGCGCAAAAGUAUGUUUCCCGGGGAUGCUCCAUUUUAUUUCUUGGGCAGGUUUAUAGAGAAAAACCCAAGACCACAAAAGCAGAAAUUGCGCCUCCGGCACAAGAAUGAGAAGUUUGGAGAAAUAAAACAUGAUCUUAAAUAAAAUAUCACAAUUAUUCUUUACCUUCCUGUUUGAAUAAUCAGUCUAAUGCUUGGCAUCUAUCAAAUUCCGAAUGACAAAUGGGAGAAUUCCGCCAUGGUUGUAAUAUGCUAACUCCACCUGAUUUAACAAAAGCCAAACCAACAAAUCAAAGAACGGAUCAUUUUGAAGCAAGCAAAAGUAAAACACUAUGAAAGGAAUGAUUUAUUUUACCUCUGUAUCAAAGCGGACGGUGCAUGUGAAAGACUUGCCAUCAUCUGUCGCAACCGUGACACUUUGACCAGGUUUGAUGUCACUCACAUCAGUUGGAAGGUUGAUCGUGUACCGCUCAUGGCCAGUUAAGCCAAGGGUCUCUGCAUCUUCCCCGGGCUUGAAGCAUAGGGGAAUUAUUCCCAUGCCUACGAGAUUGCUGCGGUGGAUCCUCUCAAAGCUCUUGGCAAUCACUGCUUUCACCCCCUGCAAUAAAACCAUUUGAAAGACUUUGGCUUAAUGCGAAUGCUUGGGCAAGGGCAGAUUAUAGAGCAGUAGUCAUUACCAGUAACAUUGGGCCCUUUGCUGCCCAGUCCCGAGAGCUUCCGCUUCCGUACUCUGCACCCGCUAAUAUGACUGUGUCAUGACACUCGCUUUUGUACCUCUGUUCACAAAGUACAUAACAGUCAGUUUUCCUACAAAAUGAUAACGGGACUAACCAGUGUAAGAGUAUAGAUUCUGCCGAACAUGAAGAGGAAUAGUUGUUCUGGUUGAACCCACAGUUGUUCUUGAAUGAACUACAAUUUCAGCCAGCUGCUGGAAUUGUGCUGCACUACAAUCCCUACUUUAUCUCCAGUUACCACCAUAUUCAUUACAGUUAUGACAACUUGUAAUUAUAGUUAUAUCCCAUCACGUUAAACGAGAGGGAAAAAAAAAUAUUUCGGUCUUUUUUUUCCUUGAGUUUUGAGAAAUUUACCGUGGCGGCAUCAAACACUGAAAGUUUCUCCCCUGACGGAAUAUGAAUUGUCUUAGGCCCGACUUCUCCCUUUAAGAGCUUAUUUACGAGGCGGAUGUUCGCAAAUGUUCCCCUCGCCAUCACCUCAUCGUUGCCCCGACGGCUCCCAUACGAGUUGAAGUCCUUCCUUUCAACACCAUGCUCCAUUAAAUACUUUGCGGCCGGGCUGUCCUUGUGGAUGCUCCCAGCAGGAGAUAUAUGAUCCGUCGUAAUACUGUCGCCAAAGUUUAGCAAACAGUAAGCAUCCUUCACAGGGUGAGGGCCUGGAGGAGACAUUGUCAUGCCCUUGAAAUAAGGAGGCUCGUGAAUGUAUGUUGAUGUUGGGUCCCAUGAAUAGAGAGUAUUUGCUGAGACCGAGAGUUGAUUCCACAUAGAAUUGCCUUUGGUGAUUGCCUCAUACGUGUUCCUAAACAUGUCAGGGAGCACACUGGAUUGCACAACCUGGAAGGAAGUUUAAGAGGGGUGAGUGUGAAACAGUAUGAAGCACAUUUUGCCAGAGACUAGUAAGAAGCAUAACCUUUCAAAAAUCAAAAAAAAAAAAAGAAAAGAAAAGAAAAAAGAAACGUAGUUGCAUGGAUCACCUCUGCUAUCUCUUCAUUGGAAGGCCAAAUGUCCCUGAAGUAAACUUCCUUUCCAUCCUUUCCAAUCCCUAUAGGUUGUGUCUCAAAGUCAAUGUUAACCUGUCAGAUAAAUCUUCGUGAGAACAGGAAGAAAAGAAUUAAACAGACAAGAACCCUGAAAAGCUGUAAAAAUCCCUCUCAUUUAUAAUUCAUGAUUCUGUCACAGAAUUAAAUGCUAUCAGAAAUCAAUCAUCACUUGGGUUUUAAUUGUCACUGCUGUCCUCUUUGACUGAACAAACAUGAAAUUUUACUCUGCCUAUGUAUAUUUUUGUCAAAUUUAUAAGACGCCAAAUCACAGUUAUACUUUGUCAGAUAUUGCAGAGUCACUGGUGUUUAAAACCACCAUUUUCCUACAGGUUUUCAGCUAGCAAUGUGGAAGGAUACAGUCUAUAUAAACAGGUAUCCCACGGCAUUUCUAAACAAGAACCUGCUCUAUAAAAUUCUUCCAUGCAUUACCUAACAAUCUGAGAAUUCCAUUCACAAUUAAAAUUCACCAUCCUAAAAUACUUGCUGUUUAGAAGAAGUGAAUAAGGAUGACCAAGUCAGAGCCAAAGGCCCAAGGUUGCUAAGUACAAUAUAGUGAGAGUAGGAGAACUAGAAGAAGACGGGACUUUAAAGAGGACAACAAGAGAUCUAAGUGAAUUUAGACUUUAGAGAUUUGUUGGCUAGUCUACAGAAAUUAAAAUCCAUUAAAUGGCAGGGUAAACUGCCAUUCCAAAGAUAUUAUUGCAACACAUUGAGAUCAUCCAGACUCUCUCCAACCUCUGGUGCCUAUAAAGGCAAGUGCUUGGUUCAUUGCAAAAUUCGAGCUAACAAUACUGUACAGCAAUAAACUUUUGACACCUCAUUUUAUUACUUUAAUAAUAGACUUUGCCAGCUAUAGACCCAUAGAGAACAACGUGAAAUUUGAAUUCUUAUCCAUCUUAUGUAUACAUAUCCUACUACUUUUUUUUAUUGCUAAAGCAAUACAAACAUGAAGAAACAAGAUUGAUAUGAAUCCACAACCUACUAACCAGAUAACUUAGACUGAAUGUAAAUGCCAACAUACCAAGCCAGUUGCACAAAGAAAACUUUAAUGAUGGUCUCAUACCGUGCCAGCAAGAGCAUAGGCCACCACAAGAGGAGGAGAAGCUAGAUAAUUAGCUCUAGUAAAAGGAUGAACACGCCCCUCAAAGUUCCUAUUUCCAGACAAGACAGCUGCAGCAACAAUGUCUGGAGAACACACCAUGUUUAGAAGCAAAGAAGAAUGAAAAGGUUAUUCGGAAAAUCAGUCAGUUAACAAUGAGAAUGAUUACCAUUCUCAGAGAUCGCAGCUGAUACUGAUUCAUCAAGGUCUCCAGAAUUCCCAAUGCAGGUUGUGCACCCAUAACCAACAAUAUGGAAACCAAGCUGGUUUAAGUACUUCUGCAAACCACUGAAAGAUAUGCAAAGCUAUAAGGAUAGAGAAUACAAGAUUCAAAAUAUGAGCCAUCAUUCUGCCAUUCAACGAAGAUACCUCUUCUCCAAGUACUUGGUGACAACUCCAGAUCCUGGAGCAAGGCUAGUCUUAAUCCAUGGCUUCACCUGAUUAAAAAUGACAGAAAACCAUAUGUACUGAUAAUCACAAGUAGACAUUUGAAAGUUGAUGUACUGAUAAUCAUAUGUCUAUCAUCGAAGAUGAUGGUUUUACAAACAGAAACUUAUACCAACACGUAAAAACUAAACUACGAAGGUAACUUGUGUAAGAAAACUGCACAAAAAUGCUGGAGGAAUUUGACAAGAAGCUCGUUCUAUUCGUCAUGUGGUAAGUAUUUACCAUCGGAAACAUCCUUUUACAUUCUCCACCUUUCAAUAACGGCUGUGAUGCAUCAUGCAGUGUAGCCACUAAAAAAUUAUGUACAUAUUACAAAAUGUGGCUUGCUGUGCUGUUAACAAGUUAAAUCAUAGAGGAAAAAAUGAUUACCACUUCACCAGUAGUUGCCAGCCAUACAGUGUAAACAUUGUGAAAACAAAGGCCAAAUGUGCAAAUAGAUUGUGGUAAUAUUCUAGCGUAUGAUUAUGUGUGAGUGUAAAGAUUAAUAUCACAUAUUUCCAUUAUGCAGGUCCCAUUAAUGCCAGUACUGAGGUGUCUACCAAACAGUUUCCCAGGAUAGUUUUAAAAACUAAUACUGAGGGUUUCACUGUGCAGUACAUUGAAAACCAUCUAAUGUGUGUAGAUUGGUUGGUUGCUCUCUAAUAUCAGAAUAGCUAUGUACUCAGUUGAAAUAAAGAUAGAAGAAAUGCAAAUUCUGUUCCUGACAAAUGCAUUUUUCCAGCUGAUUCAAGUCGCAAAAGUAUUUAGGAAAACAAAAUGUCAUAUUUGAAAUUAAGUGGGGAGGAUAUUCAACCUCAAGGCCUAGUUCGCAGGCCUUCUUUGCGACCAAAGCAGCUCCAAGCAUUACACUAGGAUUUGAAGUGUUUGUGCAACUGGUUAUUGCUGCAAUUACAACAUCACCAUGCUUUAUCUGAGCAGGCGUCCCAUGGAAUGAAAAAUCAGCAACUUUAUUUUGAGUCUCCUUUGGAACAGCAAAACCCUGUAAGUUUUCACGUUAGAUGCAUGUUACAAGACAUACAGAUAAUUUUCAUUCAUUAAAAUGCUUCAAAUAAGAUUAUUCUAUAAAAUGAGCAGGUUCAAAAGGAAAUCAUGGAUAGUCUAAAGUGCUGUAUUUCUCAUGUAUUUGUACAAAAAUAUAUCUUUUAAGAUAAAAGCAAAAUUUUGUAAGAGUGAUGCCUGUCAUGCUUAUCAGUCUGAAUAUUCCAGCAGCAAGAAACAGUGUCCAGAAAAACAGAACAAGGGUCAAGAUGUUUGGAGAAUUAGUAUUAACGGGAGCAAGAAUUACUAACAAAUUCAAUCACAAUAAAUUUCCAUAACUGUAAGAUGAAAAAGAGAAUCAGUAAAUGAUUCAUGACAGACAUGCAACACAGACCAUUUCAGUUGUAAAGACUGACCACUUCAUGUUGAAGGUGCCAUCAGGAGGAGAAUACAACAAAAAAAUAAAAAAAACCUCAAAAUACAAGCAAUUCCACAGACAACUUUGUCUGUACAAUGAAUAUGUGCAAAGACUAGUUUUUUUCACCACUUGUUUUCAAAGGCAAAAUAUAUUCAUGAAGCAAAGGCUGGGUGUAUAUCAGCGUACCUUAAACCCUACGUUGUUAUCCAAGCAUGAUUGCCAAUCCUUUUUCAUUUCCUUCAAGGGAACUCGGUCAUGGGGCCUGCCAAGAAGUUAAUCUUUCUUUCUUUAAUUAAAAAGGUGAAAACGAGUAAAAUCUGGAAGCCAGAUGAAAUUACAUACUGGUGCAUGCUAAGAGCAAGGAAAAAGAAAUGUAAAUUCCACAUAGAUUACCUUUUGGGUCCUGAUACACAUGGUUCGACAUCUUCCAGGUUCAGUUCUAAAUAAGAUGAGUACACUCUUUCCGUCUGGGGCUGAGUUCAGGUCAAACUCAGUCAAAAAGAUGCAGCGGAAAGAACCUUAAUGAUCAUAGUUGUCGAAUUAUCAGCUUAAUAUUUAAAACAUGAAUAUACCUGGCUGUAGUCAACAAACAUUUUAUUGGCCCGCAAAUACGACUCUAUCAUGGCCACCUAAAAAACAAAGCGAGAAACAAUCCUCAAGAUAGGCUAAAACUAGAAAAGCAAUCAUGAUUGCUAGUGAUAACUUACAUUUUCAUCGCUUCUGCCAGUGAGUUUCAGGUAUUGCAAUGUAACAUGAUCCACUGGGAAAAAACCCAUAGUUGCUCCAUAUUCCGGUGACAUAUUUGCUAUAGUAGCACGAUCUGCCAGUGAUAGUUCACUCAUGCCUUUCCCUGGUAUCAGAAAGCAAACACAAUAUGACUGGUUCUUGGCACACUGAAUGAUUAAAUUGUCCAAUGGAAUAGUAUAAUUCCAAAAGCAUAUUAUGGUAUUUGGAACAAACGUCAAGAGAGUAGGAAUUACCAUAGAACUCCACAAACUUCCCUACAACACCGUGCUUCCGAAGCAUCUGAGUUACUGUCAAAACCAGGUCAGUGGCUGUAACACCAUUUUUCAACUUUCCUGAUAAUUUGAAACCAACAACUCCAGGCAGAACCAUGCUCAUUGGCUGCAUGUGGAUGAGAUAGUAAUGUUAUGACAAAUUGACGUAGCUGAGGAGUCGUAUCCUAAUGAUUUCGGACAUCAAACACUGCAUGACAAGCUUAUUCCAACUAGCAGCUAUUAUCCUGAUAUUAUUGUGGGUAAGAAUAUAGAGGAAAGUAAAACUAAAAAACCACAACUUAAAUCAUGAAAAUAAGGUGAACUUGUUGGGAUAGAGAGGCCCAUUAAAGGCAACGCUGUUUGCCAGUUUGUUUCAUUUCCUGUCUUGUAGAUAAUUCAAGCUGAAUUGGUGGAAAACAAGGGUAUAGUACAAUAACCAAUAUUUAUGAUAAUUGACAGCAAAACAAAAUAUUUGGCUUCAAAACUUAUUCACCUACAGGUGUUUAUAUACUAUUUGCACUUUCUUACUAAAACAAUAUAUAAAUAAAUAAUUGAAAAUUUCCACACUCCACACAAUCAUGGAGUGUAUGAACCAUGAUCACCAGGGCACAAAAAAAAGACAUUUACUUAUACAGGUAGUCAAGGUUUAUGACUGUUUGUCUCAAUUCCCAAGCUCAGAUCAAUUAUAUGCAUCAGUUUAUCAAAUUAGACCAAGAUAAGCUUAGGGCAAAGUGGAAUCAAUUGCUUUCUGCAUUGUGGCAAAUGGUUGCAGACCAAGAAUUAAUCAACAGAAUUAAACUUCAAUUAUCAUGCUUAGACCUGUUAGGCAAAAGUGAAACAGUUAUGGCAAUUUGACUUCAGAAGAUGACCGCUAAAUAGCUUAAAGAGGUUAUUCACCUGGCCAAGCAUUGCAGCUUCUGCUUCUAUUCCACCGACUCCCCAGCCAGCAACACCUAGUCCAUCCACCAUGGUUGUAUGCGAGUCUGUUCCGACGACACUAUCAGGGUAAAGGAUCCCGCUACUAUUAAACACCACUCGAGCAAGAUACUCUAGGUUCACCUACAAAACACAUUUGAUGGUUACCAUACUUAUGUGAGGAUUGCUGUAUCAUUAUUUUAUAACAACUCGAUCACUGAAAUAUAAAACUGAAACCGACCAUACAGAAUCGACAAAAAUCCAGAUACCUGGUGGACAAUACCAGACCCUGGUGGAACAACAAGCAUGUUAUGAAAUGCACUAGAUCCCCACUUCAAAAAUCCAAAUCUUUCCUUGUUGCGAUGAAACUCAAGUUCCAUAUUUGCCUGAACUGCAUUUUCUGAUCUUGCCACAUCAACCUGCACUGAGUGAUCUAUGACAAGAUCCACAGGGACCUGCAUGCAAAUAAUUUAAAUUCUGACAGUUUGUCCGCUAAGAGAGAUAGAUCAUCAAAAGCGGAAAAAAAAAAAAAUAGAAGUGCAUUGUUAUUUCUCUCUUCUUUUAAUUAUACGUCGCUAACACUGGAGCAUAAAUUUAUCUUAAUUCUGCAAUUUCCCUAAACCUUGGAGAAAUAGUUAUUAGUCGAGUGAUCUAUCACUUGCCCAGAUUAGGAGCUGAAAAUGGGUCAAGAAUAGGCAAGACUUAGCAAGACUUAACAAGACAUCACAUAGCUAGUAAUAUUUUAGCUCAUUUUAGCAGCCAACUCAAUUUGAAAUGUCAGCCUAUUAUAGGAUGAGAGGAAUAUUUUCAAACUGUAGUCAAGAGGCCAGCACGCAACUCAAGCUGACUUGAGGGAAAAUAUCUUCAAGAAGCAAGAAAACAAAUGCUUCUGAGGUAAUAUACUGGACUUUCUCAGUGAACUAAUACUACAAACAUGAUACAUCCACUUACCAAAGGAUUGAUUUUGUUUGAAUCACUGCCAAGUUUGUUCAUAGCAUCUCUCAUGCACGCAAGAUCGACAACAGCUGGGACGCCAGUAAAAUCCUGAAAAGGAGAUAAAAGAUGAAAAUAAAGCAGUUUAUUAAAUUAAUGAGCAUUUUAGAAGCCCAAAAACAACCUCCCUUGAAUGAUGCAAUAGUUCUCUACUUCUCUGUAAGGAAUCUUUGAGAAACUAACUAAUAAAUGCCACACUUUAUGAAUUAAUGAAACAAAGAGGCGAAGCAUCUACAGUGAUUUAAUGACAGUAACAGAUACAUCUUCACUUUCUCAAGGGGUAACAAAUAGUGAAUAAAUAGUUAAGUGGUCUUUCCAAUGAAUAAUCAUAAAUAAAUAGUUCAGGGUUAUAAUAAAAUUCCAAAAUCCCUGUCAUUGUCUCUGACCCAAAACUGAAAAAAAAAAAAAAAAAAAAAAAAAAAAAAAAAAAAACCGCAGUUCAUUUUCUUGAAGCAAUGAAACAAUAGGAAGAGGACGGUGGAAUUCAUUUUCUUGAAAGGGCAGAAAAAAGAACUCCGUUAAAGAAACCUAGUGAUGGCAAUUAAUCAAGUAGAAAAUAUUAAUAAGGUUGACUUCGGAAAAAAGCAAAAUAAAAUGGUAAAGAUAAAGAAAUAAAAGUCAAAUAUGAGGGUUUUGUGGAGAGGAAAGAGACCUGCAGAAGGACCCGAGCGGGUUUGAAGGGGAUCUCGACCUGCUUUGGGGAAGUGUUCUCCCAAUCCAAGAUCUUCUCCACAUCCUUCCCCGUCACCUGGAAAUCAUCGCAGUUCCUGAUUGCCGAUUCCAAGAGGAUCCUUAUAGAAUAAGGCAGCCGAUCUGAAGCACCACAAUAUACGCGAAGUUUGAUCGAGGAUUUUGAUUAAACAUCCAAUAUUCCAAACUAAAUUCACCAAGACCCUUACCAAUCCUGGGAUCGUCAAGCGCAGGUAAGCUGUAGUACUUCCCGAAAUCGCCUCCUCCGGGCUUCGAGAGCGUCGACAAGAUGCUAUCGUACGAGUUCCGAGUAGCUACCAACGAGGGAAACGAGAGAUCAGACCCCAAUUAGGGCGAAAACAGAUCCAAGAACAGCUUGAAGAGGCGAGAAAACGUACCCACGGAGGCGAAGCGCCUCUCGAAGCGCUCCGCGACGGCGGCGGAAGAGCGGAUCGCGGCGCGGUGGCUGAUCGGCGAGCGCCAGUCGCCGAUGCGGGAGGCGAAGGAGGAGGAGAACGACGGCGUUGACGGCGGAGGAGACGACGGAGGAGAUCUGGGGUUAGGGUUUUGGGGAAGCGGGGACGACGAGGAGGAGGGAGAUGAGGAGGAUAAGAACAAGGGGGAGGGCCUACCAAUGGCGGAGAGGGAGGAGGAGAGGCGCGAGGAGCGAUUCAAGGCGCCCGUGAUCAGAGUCAUGGUGCGGCGCUAUUUAAAGGAUGGGGACGUCGGGAUCGGGAAUAGCGAGGGGGAGGAAUAAACAAUGGGAAUAAGAACGGGGAAUAGCAGAGGCGCGGGGGAAUAAAGAGAGGGGAAUGGGGAAUAGGAUGGUCGGAGGUGGCGGAAGGAGAUGGUGGGGAUUGAGAAGUGUGUUUGUACUUUGUAUCGGGCGUAGGGAGGAGGAAGGAGAGGGUUUUUAUUUUUUUAAUAUAUAGAAGCGGAGAGUAAGGCGUGGAAAUGACGCGUGGUGAAUGCGCGCCUCACGGGGCCCUUUUGAUGGAUUUAUCCAUGGACCCGGUCUACGGGGUUGUGCAUAGGCCGGAACGGUAAAAUGCAACAAGCAAUGGGACUAAGCAGGUUAUUAUGUAAGAUAAUAAUAAUAAUUAUAGUAGCCGGACUCUAAUAAUAAUAAUAAUAAUAAUAAUAAUAAUAAUAAUAAUAAUAACACACCUUCUAAUUUGGAUGAUGUAUUAAGAUCUUAUUGUCUCAUUAGAAGUUUCAAAAGAAGCGUCUUAAUAUGUUUUAUUUAAUUCUAUAAUUGGCAAAUGAUGAAUUAUAUAUGGUAAAAUUAUUAUGCUAGAAGUAUGUUUUUAAAAGAACAACCUUAUAUGCUUAUAUACAUGUUAAUUAAACAUCAAAUCAGGAUCCUUAAUGUUCCAACCAUUCACAAAUUUUAUGUAAAAAUGUAUAAAACUUAUCUUAUUACAAGCCAUUUUGAUUCAAUUAUUAAUCUUUUAAUUUGAUUUUAAUACUAAAUCUUUUAACUUGUUUGAUUAAAUAAUUUGAUGACUUUUCGGAUACAAAUUAAAAUUAAUUGUUUAAUUUAAUAAAUUUAUAUUUACAUAAAUUGUAUAUAAUCUACUAACUAAAUUUGUAAAGAUAUACGACACAUUUAAAUUUUAAAGUUAAAGACUCACUAAUUCAUUCAAAUCAAACAAAUUAAAAUAUCAAAGUAAAAAAAUCAGAGUUUUCAAGAUUAGAUAUCAAAUUCAAAUGGGUGAUAGUUGAGAUAAAUUUUAUACAUUUUCACUUAAGUUUUAUCGAGUAAAGUAGAAGAAUACAUAUAUAACUUUUUCUUUAAAAAAAAAGAAAAUUAUUCAUGCUAUAAAAUUAAACUAAAAUGCUAUCAUGUGUUAUUGAAUUAUAAUAAAUACUUUAUGGUAGGAUUGUUUGUUACAUUUCAAUAUAAUUUCCUACCAAAUAGAUGAUUUAAACACUUAGGACUCAAAUUAUUCGGCGAAAAAAAAAGUUAAGUACACAUAAAUUAUAUAUUAACUGGAUAUACAAUACGGCAUUAUUUAUGAAAAUAAAAAAAAUAAUUUUAUUAUAUUUUUUUAGCAAGAUACUCAAUUUUUCCGAAAAACUCAAAAGGACAAGAAUCUAGUCGAAGUAAAUAAAUAAUAAUAAUAAUAAAUUACUGGUCUAUAGACUAAGUCCAGAGAAUUAUUCGCAUGGGUUUCGAGAUGGUCAGAGUGCGCCGCCCUGUGGAAAUCCCAAUUCUCAAAAGAACCAAUGGACGUGCGUUAGGUGACACGUGGGGACCACCUAAGGAAUGGUCGCGUCGUGAAAUGUCGGUGUGGGGCCCACCGAUGUCUGACGUGGCUUUUAUACACGAUGAUGUGGGGGUGUUUGGUGUUUGGUGGACCGUGCCCGAUUCUACGGUUUUCUUGGAACGUAUUGGCGAAUGGGAAGCGGAUUAGUUCCCAAAUUAAGUCUUACUUUUUUUAUUUUGCAUGAGCGGAUUCAUUACAAUCCAGGUAGUACAAUUUAUUUACAUUUUUCGAUUGAGGAUUACGAGGUAUUCUACGGAAAAUUUGUACCUAAUCAAUUUUAAUAUAUGUGAAGUAGUAACGAUUUAAUAGUACUUUUUUUAACCCUUUUAUUUUGAGUUGUCACAGUUAGAUAUUUAGAAAUAGAAGUCUGGAGGUUUUGUUGUACAAAGUUAAUUACUUGAGUUUCUAUGCAUUGAAAGGAGAUGUUCUAUUUCCAAGCUAUUUUGAAGCAAUUUCACCAUCGCAAAAGCUAUUGAAAAAAUCAUAAUAUUUUACUGACUUAUUUAAAGAGUAUUUCUACAUAAAUAUCGAUGUGGCUGAUAAGACUUUUAAAAACUAGACAUUAUUAUAGAUGUUAUUUUUUUGGCUUAAGCGCUUGUGUGAAAAUAAGAGCAAUAUUUUCUUUACAUUCUAUUAAUGUAAACCUUACACCGUAACUUCUUAGUUAUCUUUAUUAGAUCACUUUUUUUUACUAUUUAUUUUUUUAACUGAAUUUAAAAAAAGUUGGCUCAAUCCUCAUAUGCAAUAUGUAUAAGGGAUUUACAUACAGCAUUUUUUAUAUCGAAAGAUAUGAAAUCUCAACUUCAUACCCUAACCUCAUAGAUUAGGGGCAGUAUGCAAGCUCAAAUCCUUCCCUUACAUUCUAUACUGAUGAUAAUAUCAAUUUCCGACUUUUGCUGCUGAUAGAAACAUAUGCUCGUAUAGACUUCCAUAAAUGUUAUAAGUUUGUAUGCGACUUUCACGCAUUUAAAUCACCCUAAAUGUUGCCCACAAGUUCAUCGAAGCUCACACUAGCAAAUACAAUUUUUACAUUGCAAAAAAUAAAAUAAAAUAAAAUAAAAGUAAAGACCUUUCAAGUUUCGACACGACAAUUUGGUUGAUUGCUAAUCAAACUGCUACUACGUACUAUCAGUGAUCGUGUCCUAUUAAAUUAAAUUCGGUGUAUUUCAUGAUCCAUGUGCCUCAUUCCUACUUGCUAUCUUCAAAGGAAGAAGACCAUGUUGUCACUUGGACACACGUGGCAUUUUAUCGAGAUUAAAAAAGGUGAUCAUUUACGUUUCAAAGUAGUAAAGAAGGUUUAACAUGUCGGGGUCGAUAACGGUAAAAAUUUCAUCAUACUUUUGCUACAGUAAACUUCCUUCGUAUGAACCACGCCACAAAUCUUAUUUAAGAUAUAAACCACAAUGGAAUCUUCUUUUUUGGACAUCAUAUUUUCAGUUUUUCUUGGGUUGCAUUUUUUUGGAUUUUAAGAAAUUCGAUUUCAUAUUAUAGGGUGUGGGAACUUUAGAUAGUUAUAUAUAUAAAAAAUAUAAUUAUAAAACUAAACUCUUAACCCGACUUAGAUAUUUUGGGUGGUGGCAAGACCUAAGAGAUUAAGAGAGUUAAGAGUGUUAGGAGGAAAGUAAUUCUAGGAUGGAUGACCCCUUGAGAAAUUAGAACGUCACAGUUGAUAUCAGAGCCAAUUACCAGCCGAAAGUGUAAGAUAAGUCUUGCCAGAGCUAGCAUUAUACAGCGGGAAAAACGAGUCUCACAUCGCCUGAUACUUAUGAGUAUGAACCUGACGAAAACGUCAUGGCUUAAAGGGGACAAGAUUGUGAGACCCUAGAUAGUCAUAUAUAUAUAUAUAUAUAUAUAUAUAUAUAUAGUCUGGCUAUGGUGCUUGUAAAAGCACCAAGCACUUGGUACUUGUAAAUUUUUUACCGUUAGAUCUACGUCUUUAAUCAUUUUCAACCGUUAGAUUAUACUAUUCAACUAACUACCCACUCAAGCCUAGGGGGCCCACAUCAUCCUAACCGCACAUCUCUUAAUCCAAGGGCCCAAAACUUACAAGUACCAAUGACUUGAUACUUUUAAAAGCAUAGGAGCUCAAUUCUAUAUAUAUAUAUAUAUAUAUAUAUAGAGUUGGACUGGGCUACUAUUAGUAGCAAAAUCACAUUGUUGCUACUAGUUUUUUAGCCUUUGGAUCAACUCUUUUCAUUAUUUCUAACCAUUGGAUUAAAUACUAUAACCCAGUGGGGACCACUCAACCCUAGGGGGACCACUCAACUAUAACCGACUCAUAUCAUCUCGACCUUACAAUUUUUCAUCCAAGGGUUAAAAACUUAAUAGCAAAAAGAAUGUUUUACUAUUAAUAGUAUUCCAGCCUAAUUCUAUAUAUAUAUAUAUAUAUAUAUAUAUAUAUAUAUAUAUAUAUAAUAAAGUUAAACUCUUAAUCCGGCUUAAGCAUUUGGACGGUGGUAAAGCGCAAGAGAUUAAAAAAGUUAAGUAUGUUAGGAGUUGUCUGCUGAAUAAGUAUGUCAUACACAGUAAUUAUUAUUAGUUAGCUUCAAUGUAUCUAAUAAAAAAAACAAGUGAGAAAAAUUACUAUUAAUCGCCAAGAAAUGUGUCUGGUGGAUAAGUACAUCAUACACAACAUAAAGGUAUGCAGAAACUAUGAAAAUUGUUGAAUAAAAAUGAAUUAUACGAGUUUAGACUAAUUUAUUCUUUUGGUGAUUCCCAUGCAAUGGAAGUUUACUAUUUACUAAUACUACACUUCCAAAUAAAUUUUACAACACUAUACAAAAAUAACAUAUAUAACAGUAUUUAAUUGUUAAAAGGGAAUUAAUUAAUCACAAAGAUAUAAUAAGUAUGAUUUGUAAUUUCGAGGUUGAAAUCUAACUAGGAAUUAAUUAAUCACAAAGAUAUAAUAAGUAUGAUUUGUAAUUUCGAGGUUGAAAUCUAACUAGGAAUUAAUUAAUCACAAAGAUAUAAUAAGUAUGAUUUGUAAUUUCGAGGUUGAAAUCUAACUAGUAAAUUGUAUAAUUUGUAAAGUAUUGUAAGAUUUGUUCAUAAUUUUUAUUUUUUUUUGAGAGAUAGGUAGCACACUACCUGCUUCGUUUAUUUCAUUUAGAAAUAAACUUAGCUAAAAAUGUGAAUCAACUAUGAUUCAAACUUGGGUCUCGGAUACCAACCACCAAGCCCUUUGCCACUCGCUCUAGGGACGGUCGGUUUGUUCAUAAUUUUUUUUUUAUUAUUAUUUGAGUCAAACGAAUGUAUAUCCAUGUGUGGCUUCUAGGGUAUUAAAAGGAUCCAACCCUUAUGCACUCAGGCUUAGUUUGGUUCGGGUAUAAGUAAAAAUUAUUUUAUUUCAGAGAUAAAUACAAGUUUAAGUAUAAGUGAGAAAUAGAGAAAUUUUACGUUUGGAUGAAAAUUAGGUUGUUCCUAGAAAUAAAAAAAAAUAGCGUUUGGAUAAAUAAUAUAGAAUAAGAAGAAUAAUGUAUAGUUAUAAAUUAAAAAUAAUGAUAUUACUCCUCUCAUUAUAUUUAAAAUUUUAAAUUUUAAAUUUUACAUUUAUAAUUUGAAAUUUAAAUUUUUUACUUUUAAAUUUAAAAUUUUGAAUUUAAAAUUUAAGUUUAAAAUUUAAAUUUCAAAUUUUUAAUUUUAAAUUUAAAAUCAAAUUUAAAAUUGAAAGAUAUAAAAUAUCAAAUUUAAAAUUUUAAAUAUUAAAAUAUCAAAAUUAAAAUUUAAACUUUAUAAUUUAUAAUUUUAAAAUUUUAAAUUUUAAUUUUAAAACUAUAAAUUUAAAUUUUAAAAAAUUAAAUUCUAAUUUAAAACAUAUUUUCCUCUCUCUCUCUAUCAAGGGAACAAGGGGUAAGAACAAGCUAGUUGUUAGGAUUUGGUUAGAUUUGUAGUUGAAUCAUAGUUGGAUAAGAAUUAAUAUUUAAAUCUGUUAGAGAUAAAUUAAGAUUUAAAUAUUAAUUAGAGUAUGAUUUAAUUAGAUUAGGAUAAAUAUUUAAAUCUAUUGGAGAUAGAUCAAUUAAGAUUUAAAUAUUUAUUGGAGUAGAAAUCCUAAAUAUAUUAGGAUUGGGUUACGUUUUGGUGGAGCUUUAUAAAUAGCUCUUGAUGAGUUUGUUUUUUGAGGUGAGUACGGUUGAGAGCCCAGAGGUGCCGUACCAGAAAGAGAAAAAGAGAGAGUUAUUGAGUAUACCUAGUGCACGGGUGCGCGUGGAUGAUUAUCUUCUUUAUGGGUUUAUAGAAGACGAGAGAAGGGUAGAAGAGAUUCAAGAAAGAGGGCUCGAGUUGUAGCUACCCUGUACAGAAGAGGAGUCAGGUGUAAUCUUCUCUUAUUUAAUGAAUCUUAUUUUGGUAUCAAGAUCCGGUACCGAGGUGAGUAUCGGAUUCCCAACAAUUGGUAUCAGAGUUGAAGGUUAUCAAUCCGAGGGAGAGAUCGACGAAGUUGGCCACAAAAUUCGAAAUCGAGAAGUUCGACGACAAGAACAAUUUCGGAUUGUGGCAAAUUAAAGUACGAGCAAUCCUCGUACAGCAAGAAUUGUACGAGACGUUGAACGGGAAUGAGGCGAAGCCGACGGACGUCACGGACGCGGCAUGGAUGAAGAUGGAGCGAAAGGCGUUGAGUACGCUUUAUCUAUCAUUAGCAGAUGAGGUUCUUUACAACGUAGCCAGCGAGACGACACCGGCGAAGUUGUGGAAGAAAUUAUAAGAUCUGUACAUGACCAAAUCCUUGACGAACUGAUUGUAUCUGAAGCAGCGACUGUUUACGCUGCGGAUGCAGGAACCGGCGAGCCUACAUGAGCAUCUAAACGAGUUCAACAAGGUGGUGGCCCAGUUGACCAGCAUCGGAGUCAAUCUGGAUGACGAAGACAAGGCGUUGAUUCUACUAUCUUUGCUACCGACGACAUAUGAGCAUCUGGUGACCACGUUGCUUUAUGGCAAGGAGUCCAUAAGCGUGAAGGCGGUCACGGCGGCGCUUCUCUCGAACGAGAUGCGGAAGAUGACUCAGGAGUCUGGCACGCAAAGUCGGGAUGUAGGACUGGUGUGAGCGCAAAAAAGGAGGCGAAAAUAUCCGCGACCGGAUAUCGACAAAAGAAACAGCUAUCUGAGGUAGAGUGCUUUUACUGUCACAGGAAAGGGCAUAUCAAGCGCAAUUGUCGAAAACUUCAGGAUCAUCUGAAAGAGUUAAAGCGACAGAAGGAGCAAACUGUCGUGAACCAGGAUGAGACGGUAUCAGCGACGGCGCAGGCAGCAAAGUCGGAGAUGAUCGAUUCUAAUGUGCUGUAUGCAGCGACCGGAGAUGCUAAAAUUUCGGAUGAUGCGUGGGUGCUCGUUCGGCGUGUUCCUUUCACGUAUGCCCGGAGAAGGAGUCUUUUGCCACCUAUAAGGCGAUCAAAAGUGGAAAGGCUCUAAUGGGGAACGGGACGGCGUGCAAAGUUUUGGGAGUCGGCACGGUAAAGAUCCGAAUGCACGAUGGGGUCGUGAGGACGUUGAUAGGUGUGCGGCACGUUCUUGGAUUAAAGUAGAAUUUGAUCUCGUUAGGCGCGUUGGACUCGAAGGGUUGCAAUAUUUCGACUUCAGGUGGAGCUAUGAGGGUCCGAAAGCGAGAUCAGAUCGUGUGCGAGGUGAACAAGCGUGGGAACUUAUACGUUCUGAACGGGAGCACGGUCAGAACGAAAGCGAGAUCGGGUCGUGUGCGAGGCGAACAAACGUGGGAACUUGUACGUUCUGAACGGGAGCACAGACAGAAACGGGAGCGAAGACGGUUUGGGUUCCGAAAGUUCGCGGAGGUGCAGUGGUUCGAGACGGAGCGACGAAUGCGGCGACAUCGAGCGAAUGAGACAAACUCAAGGUGAAGCUUGCAUAGUGAGCUCGACGUAGCAGUUGAAAAUUACAAAUCCAACCAAGGUGGAGAUUGUUAGGAUUUGGUUAGAUUUGUAGUUGAAUCAUAGUUGGAUAAGAAUUAAUAUUUAAAUCUGUUAGAGAUAAAUUAAGAUUUAAAUAUUAAUUAGAGUAUAAAUCUAAUUAGAUUAGGAUAAAUAUUUAAAUCUAUUGGAGAUAGAUCAAUUAAGAUUUAAAUAUUUAUUGAAGUAGAAAUCCUAAAUAUAUUAGGAUUGGGGUACGUUUUUGUGGAGCUUUAUAAAUAGCUCUUGAUGAGUUUGUUUUUUAAGGUGAGUACGGUUGAGAGCCUGGAGGUGCCGUACCAGAGAGAGAAAAAGAGAGAGUUAUUGAGUACACCUAGUGCACGGGUGCGCGUGGAUGAUUAUCUUCUUUAUGGGUUUAUAGAAGACGAGAGAAGGAUAGAAGAGAUUCAAGAAAGAGGACUCGGGUUGUAGCUACUCUGUACAGAAGAGGAGUCAGGUGUAAUCUUCUCUUAUUUAAUGAAUCUUAUUUUAUCUGCAUAUUUUUCUCUUUUAUAAUUGUAUCAGCUUUUGCUGAGGAGACAGGUUUAUGGUAAAAAUUCGAUUUGACGCUUCCGUUGCGGAAUCCCAACAAUCGGUACUGGAUCCACAGCAGUCAGUAUCGGAGCAGGUUGCGGAUUCACAAGAUCCGGUACCGGGGCGAGUACCGGAUUCCCAACACUUGCUCCCACCCACCCCAUACAGGGUUAUACCGGUAUAAUCCGGUAUAGGGUGGGAACAAUAGUUUCCACCCAUACAAGAGGGGGGAAUAAGAUCUUAUUCCUUCUCUUGUAUCUAAUCUAAACGGUGUGUCAGUGUCAGAAUUUUGAUUUCUUUUUCCUACCACGCCAUCGAUGAUAGUGAUAUAAUGUCUAAAUUAAUGGUAAUCCUUGCCACUCAUUCUUAAAAGAUCGUGGGAGAGAAAGAUAAUUUCGAUACUAAAUCAUUAAAAAUGAAGUUUAUUUUAAAAAGUACAAUAAAAAAGAUGUGGUUGGAGCAUCUGUUAUAUAUAUAUAUAUAUAUAUAUAUAUAUAUAUAUAUAUAUAUAUAUAUAUAUAUGUUAUUCUAUGUCAAAGCAUAGAGGAGAAAGUUUGCUUUGCUUCUCCUACAUUAUUAUACUUAUUUGAUCACAAUAUUUUUAUGAGGGGGUAUCAAGUACAUAUCAACAAGCCGGAUCAUCUGGUCCCCAACUUGGGCUUUGAGUAUUUGAUAUUUGGGGCAAUUUCAAAUAUGCCCCUCAAAAUUAUAAAAAUAUCACUUACUCCUCAAAGUUAUCUUCUUUUUUUUUUUUUAAGAGAGAUAGAUAGCACGCUACUCGCUUCGUUUAUUUUAUUUAGAAAUAAAUUUAGCUAAAAAUAUGAAUCAACUAGGAUUUAAACUUGAGUCUCGGAUACUAAUCACCAAAACCUUUACCGCUUGCUCUAGGAACGAUUGGCCCUCAAAAAUAUCAAUAUCAAUAUUACCCUUACCCUUAUAAUUCUAUAUGUUAUAUCACAAAUGCCCUUUUGGUUAGUUUUUUUAAAGUUCACAUUACAAAUUGACCUACAACCCUUAUAAUAGUAAAUAAAAUAUCACUAAUUUAUAGCUUUAGUUUAAUUUAUGUCACUUAGAAUAGGUUUUUUAUUUACCAGACACAACAUAGUCCGUAUAAAAAUAAUCAAAUUAAACUAUAAAAAUAUAGUUUUGAAAUAAAAAUAUAAUAUGAUAAAUCAAAUAUAAAAUAGAAAACUAUCAAACUAUAUAUAACAUAAUAUAAAGAUUUAAAAAGUAAACAAAGUAAGCUAUAAAAAGACAAAUAUGAAAAAAAAAAACUCAUAGUAAGAUAAAUAAAUCUAACAAAAUGAAGAAUUUUCAAACUACAUUUACAAGAAUAUAAAAAAUCUUGAAAUAAAUCUAACAAAAAAUAUCUAAUUCUUUCAUUUGUAAAUAAACAAAUAAAAUAAAUAUAUACUAAUUAAACGAAAUAAAAUAAAGACAUAUUAAACUAGUCAAAAUGAAGACAUAUUAAAAUAAUUAAAUUAAACUAGAAAAAUACUUAUAACAAACACAUAUUAUCUUGCUAAUAAAAUAUGUAUUAUAAUAGUUGUAAGGGUGAGAGGGGUAAAAUAGGUAUUUUAGCCAUAUUUUUUUUGAAAUAAUAGGUACUAUGAAUAGUUUUAAUAAUUUUACUACAUUUGAAGGACAUUUUUGAUAUUAACAACUUUUGCAGAAUAUCUAUUUAAUUAAGGGUGGGUGAGAGGUACCUAUAAAAUUAACACUUGAUAUUUUAUGCUGUCGAUUGACGUGACCUUAUUAUUUAUGAAGGGUGAAAAUGCAAAAUUCGAAUCUCUGUGGGUCGAUUUGUUUGUAUUUGAUGCUUGAGCUUGGCCCAGUAAGAGCCAAAUUUAUCAGGGACCUGGCCCAAAGUUACUGUUUAAGAAUGUGGAUUGCUAAACAUGUGUUGGUACACCAAAAAGCCCCACAUAGGUUGAGGUCUCAACAUCAUAAUUGGUGAUUUAAGUGAAAAUUUAUUUCACAUUUUUUUCAUUAUCAUGUUCGGAUAUACAUUACUUCAUGAUUUAUAAUAAAUAAAAUAAAAUAAAAUGACUUAACCUAACAUUUGAUGGUUGAUAUUUGAGAUCCUAAAUUUAAAGUCUAAUUAUUCUAUAUUUUCAGAUUGUCUAAUUUUUCAAACUUGUUCAAUAUAAAUGCUAGCUUUUUAUUGCAAUAAACUUUGAAAAACCAAAAUCAAUUGAGGUAUACUCUUUUCAGGGUAAGAAAGCUAUGACCUUUUUUUAUCAUAGCAAAUGUUUUAAUAAAUUUUUUGUUGGAAAUGUUUUCGACCAUAGCAAAAAUUAUUUCCUCUUUCCUCCUUCUAUUUUGCACCUUUUUCGUCCCACUGUAGGAUUAUUGCUUGAUAAAAUAUUUUCUGAACAUAAUUGUCAAAAAAAAUAUUUUUCUGGACAUUGUUGCGUAAAAUAUGCUAGUCAAAUUCUUCUUAAUAUAUUCUCUCUAAAANAUAUUUUAAUUUUUUUAAAUAUUUUCUGAACAUAAUUGUCAAAAAAAAUAUUUUUCUGGACAUUGUUGCGUAAAAUAUGCUAGUCAAAUUCUUCUUAAUAUAUUCUCUCUAAAAUUAGAGCUUAAAAGUUGAAAGCACGGCAAAACUCAAAACAUUUUUUUAAAAAAUUACCAAUUAAUUAUCUCGUACAAAAAAUAUUUAAAAAAAUUAAAAUAUGUGGAAGUAAAAAAGAAUAUAUCUUAUAUCAAAAACAUAUUAACAAAUAAGUAUAAUAAUUAACAGUACAUGUUGACAAGACAUAGCACUUGCUAUGUCAUAUCACCGGCAAAUGAUCAGAGCGACCUGUAGCUACUGCGCUUGAAAUGGAAGAAACCUAAAAUGUUGAUAGUCGUGUAAGGUGACGUGGCGACGCUAACUAAUCAAAUUAUUCAUUCAUCAUUUUAUUAUAAUUAUUUUUUAAAUAAUUUACUAUAAUAUUUUUCUAAAAGUGAUGUGGAUACUGUAGAUUAGAGAUGCAAACGGAUUAAAUCCGGAGCGAGAGAGUUUUUCCACCUCGCACCUCCCGCUCCAUUUUUUGUCGGGCGGAUUUAGGGCGAGCUAUUUUUUAUGCUAAUUUUUGCACCUAUUUAUCGUUCUAUUCGGAGCGGAUCAGAAUGACAGCUGAUUUUUGGCAGAUUUUAAACAAAUUGAAAGAAGAGAAGAGUCCCCCGUCUUCCAUUCCAUUUACUUAGCAGAUCGGAACGAAUUUGAAGUGAAUUAUAAUUUUCUAUAUUUUUUAUUCUCAUUUAUUAUCCCAUUAGGAGCGGAUCGGAUCCGAGCUCCACCAACACUGAUGCAUUUGCAUCCCUACUGUAGACUUUAUUCUUGAAACCUUGGUUGCAACAGGAUCAAACAGGAGGUGAUAACACUCUCGGGACCAGGAAUUAGUGCCCAACCUCGGUUCCUUAACCUGCUCAGCACUUUCAACAAACGCCGCCCACGGAAAUAUCACGCCAACGACUAAUAAAAGCGCGUCUCCCCACCACGAAUAAACUCACGACUCGCUCCAUGCUACAUUUAAUGCAGCGGUUGGUUGGCGUUUCCUUACUCUCCUUCGCUUUCCCCUUCAACCCCCUACCUCUUUCCUUUCUCUCUCUCUUAGCAAUUACUCUCUCUUAGCAAUUAAGCAUUCUUCUUUAUUUAUGUCUCCAAAUUAAAUAUUUUCCCCAAUUCCUUGCUCUGUUCGCGGAUUUUUUAGAUGGAUUUCUCCACGAAUUAUCUCAAGUGGGUUGUGAGGGAAACAUGGAAAUAUGGAUUCAUGGCUUAUGGGAUGAUCGGAACGGUGAUUUGUGUCGUAGCCACUUGCUUCUUUGCCAUAGGUUUGUGCUUUAUCUUAUAUACUAUUUCUUAACACUAUUUUUGAAUUUUAGUAGUUUGAGAAUCGGUUCUAAUGCAUCCUGAGUUCAAUUACUUAACAUUUUUUGUCGGUGCGCUUGACAUGUUUUAUCAAGAGAAAAUGGUUUUCCACCGAACUGCUUGUUGUGAGAUCGAGUUAUCGAAUUGAUCUAUAUGUGAUUUGAGAAAAAAGCUUUCCACCGAACUGUUUGUUGUGAGAUCGAGUUAUCGAAUUGAUCUAUGUGAUUCGCUCUUAAUGGUUUUAGUGGGCUCGAUCGUCGGAGCGGUGACGGGGGCCGUGAUCGGCUCCGGAACGGAGAGCGGGAUGCUGCGGGGGGCCGGCGUCGGAGCCAUCUCCGGUGCGGUGUUCUCGAUCGAGGCCGUCGAGUCGUCUCGUGAUCGUUGGAACUCCAAUGGAUUGGGAGUGUGGAGCAUUCUCUACUUGGUGAGUUUCAAAGAUUGCAACAUCUCUAUUCAGAUGCAAAUUCUUCUAAUAAAAGAAAACACAGCCUAAUAUCUUUCUUUACAGAGUUAUAUUAUUAUAAUGGAAAGAUUUAUUUGGCUUAGAUUAUAUUUGAAUUUGAUUUUUGCAGAUGGAUAUCAUCUAUAGCUUAUUGAGUGGGAGACUAGUAAGAGAAAAGGUCGACCCGGCUAUGCAGAGUGCGGUUUCGAGUCAGGUACUCACCCUUCCUCACUUUUCAUCUUAGGGCUGCGGUCGGAUUGACGUAAUUUCAAUUCGGUUAUGGGCCAAGUUCAGUGAGUCUAAACGCAUUCAUUUAGUCGCCAAUCGUGAGGGGGCCAAGAAGUUCCACCGUAUAGCUGUGGAUUCAAUUUAUUGAGAACAGCUUUCGUUUGAAAGUGAAUUGGUCCAAAGUUGCUUUUAAUAGGAAGAUCCGUUUGUCGCCCAUGGCUAGGCGACUGAUCUGCUCUGAUUAUUAUGCUUUUACCAAGCAUGGGUUAUGGCCAAAUUACAAUUCCGUCAAUCCAAACCGCUAAUUUUAUUUAUAAGGGAGUUGCGUAAUGCGAUUCAACUAUGUAUUAUUACAAAUUAGGGCAAUUAGCUUACUCUGCAAUUGAACUGUGUAUUAUUACAGAUUAGCGCAAUUAGCUCGCCCUUCGUUGAAUCUACCGAUUUCUUCGAUACCGGCUUUGUGAGUGGCAUGCCAAAGGACUCCAUUGAAGAGCUUCCGAAAGUGAAAAUUACAAAAGAAGACAUGGUUGAUAAAACAGGGGAGAAUAUCUGCUGUUCUGUGUGCUUGCAGGUAAUAUUUCUCAAAAUUUUAGCAUCGUUGAAUGAUUAAUCUAUGGAAUCUGAAAUUCACGUCUCAUGAGCAUUCUUUUUUCUCCCCCUUUCUCAGGACCUUCAGAUUGGAGACUUGGCGAGGAAAUUGCCGAAUUGCGUGCAUAUGUUUCAUUCGCGGUGCAUCGAUAGUUGGCUCAUUAGGCAUGGUUCUUGCCCUCUUUGCCGUCGGGAUGUCUAAUUUUUCAUUUCUUCUUUUUUUUUUUUUGGCGGAUUAUAUGAGAGUGUUUGAUGUAUAGUAUAUAAGCUAUUGUAGAACAUUUAGAUCAUCUUUAUUCAUUGAUACACGCACUUUUUCAGUCCCCUUCACGAGGCUAAGUAGACCAUGGUACAUUGUGGAGCUCUGCAUAUAUAAUGUUUGUACGCCGCUCCUACAUUCGUUGGCUUUAGCAUCAGCUGGGACAGUAUCUAAUUAAUGUUGGGUGUAAGUAGUGUCAAAAUUGAGCCACUUUGUUAGUUGCAGCAUGUCGAACAAACCAAUAAUAAGCAUUCACAUUUUCAUGUCCUUGGGUGCUGCUCCUGCAGCUUAUCAGGGAGGCCAAUCUAGAAAACAAGGACACAAAGUGGCGGCCUGGUAACGGACUAUUUGGAAAAUUGGGCUAGUUUUGUUCAGAGAAUAGCUAUGACUAUUUUUUUUCUUUUUUCUUUUAGAACAUUUUCACUGGGCCAGUGUCUUCUAUCAUAUUUAUAACUAAAAAUUUAAAUUAGAGCUUUAAUUUUUUUUGAAAAUUUGAAUCUUAUUUCAAGGCUUAGUGUUUAGUUCUUCUGUCGGCGCACCCUCGAUCAACUUGUUUUUUUUUUUUUUUUUUGAGAGAGAUAGAUAGUACGCUAGCUGUUUCGUUUAUUUUAUUUACAAAUAAAUUUAGUUGGAAAUACAAAUUAACUAGUAUUAGAACAAGUUGAGGUGACCGACCGUUUCUAGAGUAAGUGACAAAGCGUUCCUAGAGUAAGUGAUAAAGGAUUUGGUGGUCAUGUAUCCGAGGUCCCUCAACUCGUUCAAUUAACAUCAGCAAGCUUCAACUGCUUUUCAGCAUAUAAAUUAAAGUAUCUUGUUAACUAUCAACGGGCAACGGCAUUGGUGACAAAGCCAUUAAAUUAAGAGUAAAGCUUGCAUACUUUUCAAAUCUUGUCACUCUCCAUUUUUUCACAGUGGUCGAUGUGGAUUAACCACAGCCAAUAAUAUGACCGGCUAUAUAAGCUUUCCAUUUCCAUUCGGUACCAGUCAUCUUGUUAGGACAUUUUGUCCUCUACAAAAGCCACGUUCACAUACAAAAAAAAAUAAUUAACAUGUACUAAGACCCCUCAACCAUAGGAUAUUUGAGAAGACCUCUAAAUUUUAUAGUUUUUAAGAUUUAGACUCUUUUAAUUUUCAAUUUUUAAAGCUGAGCAAUUUUAAUUAAAUUAAUUAUAAACUUUAUCAAAUGCAUUAAUAGUUUCAUAAAAUUUAACAAUUAAAAUAAAAGUAGACUAAUAGUUAAUAUCUUUAGAAAAUCAUCAAUUUUAGGCUAAAUUGCACUAUUAGUUUUCAAAUUAUGAGGUGUGUGACAGUUUGUUUUUGUUUCUCGAACUUUAAUUUAUUCUAAUUUUUUGCUCAAACUUUCUUAAUUAUUGUAAUCUAACUCCCAUAAUGCAACUUAGCUAAUUAAAUAAUAACCUAUCAUUGAUGUGAUAAUGAUGCAUGUAAUAGUAUUAUGGUUUAUGGUUGAUGACAAUCAUAUAAUUAAGUUAUUGCCACAUUAGCUACACAUUAUUAUUCAGCUAAUAAAAUUGCAUUAUAGGAUUUGCUUGCAACAAUAUAAAAAAUUCGCACCAUAAAUUAUAAUAAAUUAAAGUUUGAGGAUUAAAGUGCCACGCACCUCAUCAUUUGAGGACUAAAAGUGCUAUCUAGUCUUAAAUUUAAUAAUAAUUCUAAUAAACUAACUAGAAGAACUCAAAAGUAAAAAAUUAAAAUUAAAAUUUGGUGAUCCCUCAAUCCAUAAAGUUAAGACGGGAUUUUGUGAACGAUCUGUGGUUGAGGGGUCUACUUUCAUUUUUACAAAUUCCUAGCUAGUAGUAAAAUCUCCAAAUUUGAUAUUAUUGACUGAACCGAGUGUAUCAUGAAUAUUGCGCAUCAUGCAUAAUCUGAAGCUUUCAGUUCGAUCACAUGAUUUUACUCCAUCAAUUCAAUUUUAAUCCACAUAGUACGCAAUUUUGGAUGGUUCGAUUAUAAUUAUUGCAUAAUUUGUAUUCAUGAAGGACGGUUCACGAAAAUAAUCGAUGCACUAGAUCUAAGAAAAAAAUAUGAUCCUUUUUUUUUUUUUUUUUACCGGUUUCACCCGUUGAUACCUUGAAGUGGGCCCAAACAAGUCAACUACUGUUUCCUGUAAUUCCUCAAUGGCGCGGUUUGCACUGACCUUAAUUAAUUUAACGCGUUAUUUGUUAGUAUGGUAGAAGCAAUUUCAAUAUUUUUUUUAUAUUAUUAUAAAAUGAUAGUUGUAAUUAUCAUCGAAAAACACAAUUCUUUUGUAUAUAAAAAAAAUUAUAAACACUUUUGAAAAUUUUUAAAUAUUAUAUAAUAUAAAUAUGAUGUUUUAGCCACCAUUUUGUUAAACUGGUCAUAAGCCUGAUCCCGGCCCAUUAUCAGUCCAGCAAAAUCAUCAAAUGUUGUAGUCUAACUACAAGGUCAACGGUCACAAUCCAACGUAGCCCACUUGUCACAUCAAACUAAUUUCCAUAUUAAUUUGCUCAAUAAAUAACGGGGCCCCACUUUGCUAAAUUUCCUCCUCCGAUUCUUCGCAUCAUCACAUGUGAGGCACCAGUGCGUUAACUUUCCACGAACGGCUGAGAUUUGACGAGCGGAGGAGAAAGCUUCAAUGGCGCGGCACACAUGCAUGGGGCGCGCGUGACCAUGACUAAACUCGCGGACGCGACAAGUGUCCGGUGCGCAGCUUACACGCGUGAACAGUUCCUGUAGCAAAAUUUGUUCGAAAUUUGUGAUGCCGUAGACUCAAUCAGGUCCACGGACUACUGGAAAUUUUUGAUAUGGAAAGACACAGUACAUUAGAAAUAGUAAUACAUAAUAAAAGAGAAAUUCGGGGUAUCCAUGCAAACGAGAAAAGGGAGAUCGAGGUGUAAAUGUAAUUGAGCAAAAUGUAACACACAAAAAAUUUCAAACAAGCAACGAAAAUGCUAACUAAACAAGAUAAUAAAUUGACCAAUUAUAAAUGUAAAUGGGGAGAUUAAUUAAAAACUAUGGGGACUAAAUAAAUGCUGCUCAGCGAGAAGAUAAUGUAAUAGAAAACAAUUCAGAAAUAAUCUUUAAUGACAACUUUUCAAUCGGAGGGAGCGUCGGUUAUCGGAGGAGGAGGAGGAGGGGGGAGGAGUCGAGCCCUACAGAGGGGGCAGAGGGGGUGCGAUGCGAGCCAUCGGUCGGCGCAGCUGCGGUGGAAGGCGUGGCGGCAGCCGGGGAGGACGCGCGCCGCCUGCCCGGCCUCGAUGUCGUCCAGGCAGACCGCGCACUCCGCGCCGCCUUCCCCCACUGACGCCCCGUCCCCGGCGCCGCCGAGCCGCCCCAGCUCCGCCUCCGUCAACCCCUUCUCCCCCGGCGCUGCUGCCGCCGCGUCCGCUGCCGCUGCUCCUGCUGCUGCUGCCGCGGUGGGGGAGCGGAUCGCCGCGUACCACAGAAGGCACAGGUACAGCGCGAACACCAGGCUCAUCCCCGCGCACACCAGGAACAGUCCCAGGAAGAGAAUCCAUAGCAUUCUCUUCUUCUUUUAUUUUGGUCUCUCCUCCUUCUAUUCCUCUCUCUACUCCACGUUGUAUAUAUAUGGAAUAGUAGUAGUAGUGUAAGUACCUGGUUAUAGAAAGGGUGGGGUGGUGGUGGAAUCUAUGUAGAAGAUUCUCUUUCGGAGUUCGGGGCCCGGGAGCGGACGGUGGAGAUUUGAACACAGUUGGAGCUCUGAGUGCUACUUACACCUGUCUCUUUUAAUACUUCUUUUUUUUUAAGUCCAAACAAGAAACUACUGUGUGGACCAAGGACCAUAGAUUGAUAAAUGGGAGUAUCAAAAACACAAAAUAUGCAGGUGUUUAAUUUUAAACAUAAAUUGGAUAGUUUGAGAGUAUACUGCACAUCCUCAAAUAAAAUUCAAAAGGACUUUAAUAUUUUGAUUAUUUUUGUUUCAAAAUAUUGGUAAAAAUCACUAAUGGAGAAGCAUAUGCAAAAUAUUUUUUAGUAAUUACUAAUUAUUGCGAUGAUAAAAUGACUUUGCAAAUUUUUUUAGAUUUUUUGAAGUUUCAAAAUGAAUGUUCUAGGACAACAUAUAUAAUUCUAAAAUUAUGCCUUAAAAAGCUCUAUUGAUUAAAAAUGCAAUAUUUAAUGAUUUUUUUUCACACAACGAUUAAUAGAUUUUUGUAUGCCAUUAGUUUUUGCACCUAUUUAAUAUAUUAGUGAUAGAUUCCUAUAGAUCAAAAGCUUUUCAUGCUACUUAAAAUUAGAGUUUCCAAUCCUCAAAUCUAAACAAGUGUUAUUGGCUUAGCUCAACAGUUAUUAUUUGGGUAUCUAAAGUCCGGAUUUUAUUUUUCUUAUUUAGUUGACUAUAUAUUUAUUUUUUUAGAAAUAAAUUUAACUGAAAAUGUGAAUGAAGUAGAAUUCGAAUUUGGAAUCUCGGUACCAACCAUCAACUCCUUUGUCACUUGCGCUAGAAACGGUCGGUAUUAGAUUAUAAAAAUUAAUUAUAAUAAUUUUAAAAAUUUAAACUAAAAUGGAAAGACUCUGGUCUAUAGCUCGUGGUCCAUACAAAUAUGCAAGUAUUCUAUGUGGGAGGUAGGAGUCGAAGGGUCGAAGCGCGUGUAAUUAGUGCGGGGCCCGCGCUGUUCUGUAACGCAAGCUCGGCGAGGCGGGACACGUGGCGGUGCGGCCGCUUCUCUGCUUGGUGUUCAAGAAAGGAAGAGUCGCAGAUAUUUUACGGGUUGCCACGUAGGCGCAUUUGGUGGGUCCCGCGUUCGGUGGCCCUAUUCCGACGUAUGGGGUACAGUUCCGAAGUUCCGCAACUGUACCGCAUACGAGUUUUUUUUGUGCGUUUGCACAAGUGUCUGAUAAAAUCACAAGUCCCAAAUUAAAUUUUAUAUUAUAUAUAUAGAGUCCGGCUACUCUGCUAUUAAUAGCACGAAGCACUUGGUGCUACCAAAUUUUUCGCCAUUAGAUCUACCUUUUUGAUCAUUUUUAUCCGUUAGAUCAUACUAUUCAACCAACCACCCAUUCAACCCUAGAGGUCCCACAUCAUCCUAACCGCACAUCUCUUAAUCCAAUGGCCAAAAACUUGGGAGCACCAAUGACUUGGUGCUAUUAAUAGCAUAGCAGUCUAGUUCUACAUAUAUAUAUUAUUUGUCUAAUAUUAAUUUUGCAAAUUACUAAGAUAUUAAUAUGAAUAAAUUAACAGACUUUAUAUUAUACAUGUAGAUGAAUUAUUAAUGCAAUAUUUUGAAUUAUAUAUAAUAUUUUUCUUAAUUUAGCUAAUGUACUAACUUCUACAAAUCAAUUUGUAUGUAAUACAUCAACAGUUCGUGCUUCCUAAAAAAAAUAAUUAGUAUAGAUUCUCAAAAUGUCGUAUGAGAUGUAGAGACUGCAAACAAGGUGAAAAAAACUUAACAUAUAGGCAUGACAAAAGGCGAGCUUCUUGUGUAACCUACAGCGAUUUUCUUAACUUUUUAAUUGGAUGGUAAGUUUUCUUUAAAAAAAAAAAUGAUUUGGUGGAAGGUACGAACAAUAGAAUAAGGAUUACUGUUCAUGCAUGNGUCAUGGGCACGCAUGCAUGCAUGCAAACAUAAAAGCAAACCUCCCCCCAAAAAAAAAAAAAAUCAAAAUCCACGUCCCUUUCUUGAUAACUGUUUUCUCUCUAACUGCUUGCUAGAGCAUUCUUUACAUAUGUUCCUCCAUUAAUUGCUCUAACGCAUCAAUUGUAUUAAAUUAUUAAUUGAUUUAGAGACAGUUGUAUUAAAUUAUUAAUCAGUUUAGAGAUACGGCAAGAGUAUAAAUAAUAGAUUAAUAGAUGAACAUAAAGGACUCAAAUUGCACUUUAAAAAAAAAAAAAAUAGCAUGCCAUCCGCUCCAUUAAUUUAUUGUUUAAAAAUAAACUUAGCUAGAGAAAUAUAGCAUAUUGUCCACCCGCUUUGUUUAUUUUUAUAAAUAAACUCAACUAAAAAUAUAAAAUAAUUAGACUUUAAGGCAUGUUUGGUUCACCUAUUUUAAAUUAUGGAAUCGAAAUGGAAUUCAUUGAUUUUGAUAGUUAUCGUUUGUUUUAUAGAAAUCAGAUUUCGAUUCCUAUUUCACUCCGGAAUGGGAAUGACCAAAUCCAUUUAUGAUCCCAUCUGGCUUUGAAUUCCGGAUUGGCUCAUUCCAAAAUGAACUAUUCAAAAUCCUCUUUCACCAACACCUACCUCCUCCCCCUUCAUCACUUUUCUCUUUCAUAAUCAAAACCCUCUAUCAAAAAUUUUAAAUUUUCAUUCCGAUUUCUAUUCCAAUAAUAAACCAAAUAUUUUUGAAUGAUUCGUUAUUUCAUUUUUCAUUCCAAAGCAAUUCAAUUCUAUUUCUUAUUCCUAUUCCAAUCAUGAACCAAACACGCCCUAAAUUUCGAACUUCAGACUUCAAACAUCAAGUGUUUAGUCAACCGCGCUAGUUGUGAUCGAUUUCUGAUGGCUUAUUUUGAAUAGCACAUUGUUGGUUUUUAAUCUAAUGUUUUGUCUUUAUAGUGCCGUCCUCUAAAGUGACCGAGUCCAAACAUUGACUCUAGUCAACAUACGCAACAAGUUUAGCACAACAAAUAGCACUCCACUUACUAUAUAAUUGCUCUUUCUUCACCUUCACAUAUCUCCCCUUUCCCCAUAGUUGUUUCUCCUGUAGCUUCAUCAAUGUCCAACGCCACAAAAUCCUCCCUCGGUUUGGUCGGAAUUGUCGUAGGCUUUGCGGGUAUAAUAACCACCUUAAUGUUCGUAUGCUCUUGCAUCAAACGGGGCAUCUUUCGAAAAACCAAGAAACUAAUUGCUUUUAAAGGUAAGCUAAGUCAUUCAUAUACAAUAGUGUAGUACUAGCAAUUAUAUAUAAGCCAACACUAACAAAUAUUUGCUUUUAUAGGGAACAACUGGAAGAAAAUGAAGCUUAGAUGUUUCUCUUUGAGUGAGCUUGAAAAGGCCACUAAGAAGUUUAGCGAGGAGUGUUUGAUCGGGUCGGGUGCAUUUGGAACUGUGUACAAGGGAGUGUUUGAUGAGGCAUGUACUCUUGCUGUAAAGAGAUUGCAUGCGGAUUUAUAUGAAAGUGUCGAUGAAUUUAGAAAUGGUACGAAAAGGAAAAAAACUACAUAUAUGAGUAUAUGUAAAGCACUUAAUUGAGUUACAUAUGUAGUUAAGUUUCUUGUUCAAUAAUAAUGAGCCUUUAAUUAAUGAUGAGAUGUGUACAUGUAUCAGAGAUUGAGCUGCUUUCAAGAGUUCAACAUGAAAACCUCGUUACUUUAGUUGGCUAUUGUGAAGAAGCCGGUAUGCCUUAAAAUUUAGUUUAAACAAAGAUUUAAUUUUGUAUACUUCAUGAAUUGUUAAUUUGCCAUAUUACCUACAGCAAUUCUUUUUCCCCUCUAUGAUGUUAUCUACCAUUUUCAAUUUCAUUUCUAUCUCACGUUUAGCUACUUGGCUUAUUUAUUGACUAAUGCACAGUAACUUAUUAAAGAAUACUAACCCUCGACUUAUUGCCUUUUUUUUUUAAAAAAAAAAAAAACCUCUAUCUUCUCUAUGUAGGGCAGAAGAUACUGGUUUAUGAAUAUGUUCUCCAUGGUUCUCUACUAGAGUACAUAGUUGGUAAGCUUGCUCCAGUUGCAUGAUUCUCCAUGGUUCUCUACUAGAGUACAUAGUAAAAUACUAUUCCACACAUCAAAAACUAAUGCGGUUCGGUUAACGAUCAAAAAUACCAACGUAGGGAGGAGAGGGAAGAUUUUAACUUGGAAAGAAAGAGUAAAUAUAGCCAUUGGAGCAGGAAAAGGUUGGUUACCCUCGAUCAAAAUUUUCGUUACAUGAUUUGUACAAGAAAGAGUUUACUUUUUCUUGUUUUGUUUUUUUGGAAAAACCAGGAAUAGCUUAUCUCCACGAAGGCGUUCGACCGAGCAUAAUCCACCGAGACAUCAAGCCAAGCAACAUCUUGGUAGGGGACGGAUUUGAGGCGAAGGUUUCAGACUUUGGAUUGGUGAAAUCCGGCCCGACAGGCGACGAACCGCACGUUACAAGCCAGAUCAAAGGAACUCCGGGCUAUCUCGACCCGGCCUAUUGUUCGAGUUCUCACUUGACUACUUACAGCGAUGUUUAUAGCUUUGGAGUAAUGCUCCUACAACUCGUUGCUGCUAGACCAGCUGUGGUUACUUCAGGACCACAUUCUCAACGUCAUAUUGUUGAUUGGGUGAGUUAUCAACAUUAAAGGGACCGAAAUUGCUUAUUAUUUUAGAAAGUCAGAAAUUUUUCAGGAUAUAUAAGUAAUUGCUCCUAAUUUUUAUUAUCCUUACAAUAUAUCUCUUCAACAAAUACUAUUUUUUAUUUAGAUGAGGGCAAAAGGUCAAAAUUAUUUUACGGAGCGGCCAUUCAUAUAUAUAUAUAUAUAUAUAUAUAUAUAUAGAUAGAUAGAUAGAUAGGUAGCAUUACCUAGCUUCGUUUAUUUUAUUUAAGUUGAAUCAACUAGGAUUCGAAUUUAUGAUCUCGGGUACCAAUCACCAAGCCCUUUGUCACUUGCGCUAGGGAUAAAUGUGAAAUAGGAAAGUAAUCAUUGAGUACAUAAUUUUUCAUGCAAUGACCUUUUUUCUGUUUAAUUAACAAAUUAUAGGCAAGACCAAGUUUACAGAAAGGAACUGUGGAAGAGAUACUGGAUGCCAAUUUGUUACUUGAUCUUGAACCUUGUAAUAUGGAGAUGAUGUUAAAGAUUGGCCAAUUGGGCCUCAAAUGUGUUGCGAAAGAGCCGAGAGAUCGGCCCACAAUGAGCCAAGUCGUCAGAGAGCUCGAGGAGGGAAUGCAAUUGUCGGCUUCGUGGAGAUUAGUAGGUGAAGGAGAAUGGCAAAGUUGUAGCUUCAAUGCUGUGUGCUUAGAGAGAUAUCAUCUGGACAUAGAUGAACUCUUGAUUCAUAGUCCAAGAAUGAGGUGCCUCGAUGUUAAUAGCUACAGUGUUGAUAUUGAGAAGCUUCGAAUGGUACAGAUUAGUGAGGAAUAUGAUGAAAUAUGUGAAACAAUUUUGAGCCACUAAUUGUGACUUUAACAAGACUAUUUGAUUCAUUCAAUAGAAAACAAUUUAUAAAUAAACAUUUGUUUCCAUUCUUUUUAGCAAAUAUAAAUCCAAUAGCCAUAGUUAAAGAAAAAAAUUUGUCAAUUUAUAAUAUUAAUAACAAGGGACGUGAUCCCCACAUCCUAAGAAAGUAAAAGUGAACGAAGAACCCCUCAACGACACUACAUUUUCAAAUGGCAUCUUUAUAUAUAUUUUUUUGAAAUGAGACUUCUUUAUCUUUGAUUUUUUUUUGAGUAAAUUUAUGGCCAAUUUGCAUAAAAAAUUCACAAAUUUUGAGCUUUUGCAAAACUGGGCCGUCGUUUCGAUUUUGCAGGUUUGGUUCAAAUUUUCAAUAAAGUGACUAAAAUAUCUUUAUUGCUUUUUCUCUUUCCUCUUUGUUUUCUCUCGUUCAUUUUUUUUUCUCUCUCUGAAGAAAGCAACCAAGGCAGAGGCAGAGGCGGAGGCGGAGACGGAGACGGAAACAGCCCGCCUCGCCUCUCACCCUCAUGCCCCNUCUUUCCUCUUUGUUUUCUCUCGUUCAUUUUUUUUUCUCUCUCUGAAGAAAGCAACCAAGGCAGAGGCAGAGGCGGAGGCGGAGACGGAGACGGAAACAGCCCGCCUCACCCUCACCCACGCACCCGUCGCCCUACUCGCCUCCGAUCCCGCCGAGGCCGCACUGCGACCCUCUUUUUUUUCCUCUCCGAUCCUCCUCCACCAUCUCCGACGACGACGCCUCUUUCGCCCUUCCCCGCCCUUCUUACCCUCUCCCUCUCCCUCCUCCUCCGUCUUCUCCGCCGCCUCCGACGACGACGCCUCUCUGCCGACGUCGACACCACGCCGCCGUAGCCUCGGAGCGGGGGUCCUUAGCGGCGUCGUCGCCGGUGCCGUGGCCAUUAGCGGAGAGGCGUGACAGAAAAAUUAUAGAAGAAAAAAAAAUAAAAAAUAAAGACAAAAAAUUAUAGAAGAAGGAAGAAUAAAAUGAAAUUGUACUGUUAAAAUAAAAUCACACUGUUUAAAUUUUUUUUUGCACUGUUUUAAAUAAAAAUUGCACUCUUUGAUACAUAAAUUAUACUUUUUGGGAUUAAAUUUACACUUUUUAGGAUAAUUGCACUAUUUAGGUGUAAUUUAUAUUAUUACUCUUUUUUCUUUUUCUUCCUUCAAUUUACACCAUUUUUUUUUCUCUUCCUCUUCUUCCUCUUCCUUCCCCUCCACUUUUUCCCUAGCCGCCCCUCACCCUCGCCUUCACCACGACGGCGAGGCGGGCCCUUUUUUUCUCCUCCUCUGCCUCCGCUGCCUUCUUCGAAGAGAGAAAAAAAAUGAAGAGAAAAAAAAAAGGACAGAGAAAAAGUAAUAAGAGUAUUUUGCUCAGUUUGCUGAAAAUUCGAAUCAAAUCUGCAAAAUCGAAAAAAUGCGGCCAAUUUUUGCAGAAGCUCAAAUUUUGUGGAUUUUUAUGCAAAUUGGCCUAAAUUUAUUUGAAAAUUUAGAAUUUUUUUCAAAUUUAUUAAUGAUUUACCAAAUUUAUUGGCUUUAAUUUUUUUGGCAAAUCUAAUCAAUUAAUGGCUAAUAAUUAAUUAAGAAAUUAAAUUUAAUAAAUUUUUUUAAAAAAAAUUAGAAGUUAUAGAAGCUACAAACAAUUAAUGGCUAAAGAUAAUCGACUUUUAUUUAAAUUUCAACUAUAUUUGCGAAUAUAUUUGAAUUAAUAUGAAAUUACAAUAUUUUUAUGAAUUCAUUCUACAUUUGAAAAACACAUUUGAAAUUACACUAUAUUUGAAAGAUCAUUUGAAAUGCUACCAUGCAUAUUUGUAAAACUCUUUUGAAGUAAUACCACAAAUGUGAAACCUUUUUUGAAAUUCAAAUCAUACCAGUAGAAGCUAUCUCUAGAAUCCCGCAUCUUUUGAUAAUUCUAGUUAUACUCGUAGCAACCAUUUCUACAAUCUCACAUCUCCUGUUAAUUUUAGUUUAUGUUUGUGCUUAAGUUUCACAUUGUGUAGUAAUUUUAUACUAUAUUUAUGAUUAGAUCCACACAUCGAUAAUUCUAAUUUAUGUGUGUGAUUAAACUUGGGCGAUGUGUAAUUCUACUCUAUAUGAUUAGACACUGAAGAGUAAUGUUGAAGAAUAAGAAAUAUAAAAUUUCUUUUGAAGAAACAUAACUAGAAAGAUAUUUAUAUUUAUAUUAAAAAUAUGAAAAAGUAUUUAUAUUUCUAUAAAAAAAUGGCUACUACGUGGACAAGCCUACUACGUGAGGAUUUACCAAAUAGUACAUUUUUUUCUAAAAAAGCAUUGGUCUCACUUAUUCUUAUUUUACGAUUGUGUAGUUUUGAAAAAUACGAUGAAUGCAUACCGGCUCAAAAAUAUACUCUUUUUCACAUUUACAAGGACGAGAAUUUGUACAAUUAUCCUAUUCUUUUUUCUUUUUUUUACUGCUCUUAAAUACCUCCAAAUUGUACAACAUUUUCAUUGUUUUUUUUGUUGUUUGUUUUUUAUAGGUAGUUAUCAUCCAACAUAUACGGCAAAACUUAUUCAAAAGUGAGUAACCGAUGUUGUCAUCUACAUUUUUCUAUAUUUUUCUUUCAACAUGAUUAAAUAUCAAAGUACUAUGUCAACUCAUUAAUGAUAAUAUUUGCCUAAGUUCUUGUGAAGCUAUAUUUUUUACAUAGAUGAUUCAUAGUCUCCUCGAUAGUGUGACAGAACCAGCAAUCUUGACUUCGAAUAGCAUAUUGGGAUUUAAUUAGUAAUUAAUAAAUAAUAAUCAAUAAAAUUUUGACUUCAAUGGAGCAUAAGAGUUCCAUUUAAGUUUACAAAAUGAAACAUUCUAUCAAAAAAAUUAUAUGGAGAAACUAAAUAGUAAUGUUGAGGAAGAAGAAAUAUAAUUUUUUCUUUGAAGAAAUAAAACUCGAAUGAUAUUUAUGCUUAUAUUAAAAAUAUUUAUAUUUGUAUAAAUAACAUUUAUGUUCGUAUGUAUUUAUGUUUGUAUGAAAAAAUAUUUAUAUUUUCUAUAAAAAAAGAAGUUGAACAAACUUAUAAUGACUUUUAGGGGACAAGCAUGCUACGUGAGGAUUUUACCAAAAUAGUACAUUUUUGAGCUGAUUGAAAAGAUGAAUAUUGAUCUAUAUUUUGAAAACUAUAUAAAGUUGUUUGAGAUAAAAAAAAAUUUCAAAUUUCAAAUUGAAGACAUAGAAGGCAAAAAAAUAAAGUGCGAUUUGAUUGCUAUUUUUCUUAGAAGGCUAGGUAUCAAUAAGGAAUGAGAUAAGGAAAAUAUUGUUGCCUUAUCUUCCAAGAUUUUUGAAUUAUUUCCUAAAGUGAAUAGUCCAAAUAUCAUUAUAAAUUGGACCAUAGAAUUCAAAAAAAAAGGAGAGCUUUCUUGAAAAAAAACAAAAAAAAACUAAAAAAAAACAAAAAAAAAGAAAAAAGAAAAAAGGGAGAGAGAACCACGAGAGGAGGGGGUUCCCACCCCUCCCUCUCUUUGAUUCGUACAGAGAGAGAGGGGUUGGAGCCCCUCCCUCUCACAGCAAAAAAAAAAAAAGGGAAAAAAAAGAAAAGAAAGCAAAAAAAAUAAUAAUAAUAAAGAGAGCGACGGCGAUGACGGCGAUGGCGACGACGACGACGGCGAACGACGGCGCACGUGCUGUGACAACUUCGACAACGACAACCGCGAUGACUUCUACGACAACAAGAGAUGUGCAUGCAUAUGAAAAGCGUAAGAACGAUUUUUGUUGGUUUGAUCAACCCGACCAUCUUCGUGAUAGAUUUCGAACCGAUCAAAUCUAACAUUAAAUCGUCGCUUCCGUCGUACGUAUGCAUCGCUAAUCUCUAAACCAUGCGGCCAUCUUCGUGAUAGGCUCGACAUGGUCGAACAAAUACCGGAUAUUUUAUUAUCUAAACCGUGCGGCCAUCUUCGCAAUCGGCUCAACAUGGUCGAAAUUGUCGGACGAACAUAUUUUACUACGUAAACCGUGCGGCCAUCUUCGUGAUAGGCUCGACAUGGUCGAAAGGGUUGACCGAGCUCCGACUAUUUUACUACGUAAACCGUGCGGCCAUCUUUGCGAUAGGCUCGACAUGGUCGAAAGAGUUGACCGAGCUCCGGCUAUUUUACUACGUAAACCGUGCGGCCAUUUUCGCAAUAGGCUCGACACGAUCGAACCCGCCGCAUAUUUGAACAAUAAAAAAAAAAAUAAUGACAUAUUCGAUUUGCCAUCUUCGCGAUAGGCAUUGUUCGAAUCAUUCGCCAUCUUCGUGAUAGGCACGAUUCGACUUGAUCAAUACGACCAUCUUCACGAUAGGCUCGGACCGAUCAAAUAAAAAAAAAUAAUUAAAAAUAUGAUGAACAUAUUUUAAUUUGCCAUCUUCGUGAUAGGCAUUGUUCGCAUUAUUCGCCAUCUUCGUUCGAUCCGAUUGUAUGGCUCGACGUGAUCAACUUCGUUUAUUUGGACAAAAAAAAAAAAAAAAAAAAUAAACAAAUUAAAAAAAAAAAAAAAAAACAAAUGAACAAAAUUUGAGGAAUUUGGUUUGAAUCAUUUUUGAAAAUGUUUCAAUCUAUCAUGAGUCCAAUGAACAAAUAAAGCACAAAGCCUAUACGCAAAUUCGGGCCCACAACCUGUAGAGCUCGAAAUCCAUCUUAAUUCACAUGCAGAUUUGGAUCCAAACCAGACUAAAUCCGAUCUGAACCGAACCGGAUCCCGUCUGAACCGAAUCAAGAAGCAUUCGACUCAAGCCGAAAUGGAGCCGAUUCGAACCAAACCAUAAAGCAUUCAACUUGAACCGACUCGAACCGAAUCCGGUUCAAUCUGAUCAGAACCAUAAAGGAUCCGACUCGAACCAAAGUGGGUCCAAUCCGAACCGAACAGGAUUCGACCUGAACCAAAGUGAACCCAAUUUGAACUGAACCGAACCGGAUCCGAGCCGAACCAGAUCCUGUCUGAACCGAAUCAUAAAAGAUUCAACUUGAACCAAAGUGAGUCUGAUCCGAACCGGAGUGGGUCCGAUUCGAACUGAACUCAACUCGAACCGAACCAUAAAGCAUCUGACUCCAACCGAACCAAACCAUGAAGGAUUUGACUCGAACCGAACUAAAGCAUAACGGUUCAAUCCAAAUCAAGUCGUGAUAGGUCCCGAACCAAAGCAUAACGGUUCAACCCAAACCAAAUCCAAACCGACCAAACAAACUUGAAGUCGCCCAACUCAAACCAAGUCUUGAUGGGCUCCGAACCAAAACAUAACGGUUCAACCCAAACCAAGUCUUGAUGGGUCCCGAACUAAAGUAUAACGGUCGACCCAAACCAAACUUAAAAGGGGUAAACCAAGUGAAAACUAAGGCGGUUCAUCCCAAAUCAAAUACAAGAGGUUCAAGCCAACUCAAAACCAAAGUCCACAAAAAAAUUCCAAAACCCAAAGUCCACAAAUAAAUCCCAAAACCCAAAGUCCACAACUAAAUCCCAAAACCAAAGUCCACAAAUAAAUCCCAAAAUCUAAAAUCCACAAAUAAAAUCCCCAAACCCAAAUUCAAACGACCGAAACGUCGUUAAACUAAACCCGAACGACCGAAACGUCGUUAAACUAAAACCAAAUCCAAUUUUCAUGAACAUCUCAAUUUCAGUCGACCGAAACGUCGUUAAACUAAACCCAAAUCCAAUUUUCAUGAACAUCUCAAUUUCAGUCGACCGAAACGUCGUUAAACUAAACCCAAACUCAGUCGACCGAAACGUCGUUAAACUAAACCCAAAUCCAAUUUUCAUGAACAUCUCAAUUUCAGUCGACCGCAAAGUCGUUAAACUAAACCCAAAUUCAAACGACCGUAAAGUCAUUAAACUAAACCCAAAAUCAACGACCGUAAAGUCGUUAAACUAAAUCCAAAUUCAUCAUGAACCUUUUUCUACUCUAGCACAUAUACUUAGAGUAGAAGAUUAAAUGUCGACUACCCCUAAUACAUAUACUUAGGGCUAAGUCAAUCGCCUUAGCACAUAUAAUUAAAGCAAAACAUCUCUAAAUCGACAGAGUUCUAAGUCAUAUAUUUAGAAUUCAGUCAAAUGAUAUCAAGUUUAUUCGAACUCUAACAUAUAUACUUAGAGUUCAUCCGACUAACCCUAAUACGUAUACUUAGGGUCUAGUCAGCCUUUUGCUCUAGCACAUAUACCUAGAGUGGAAGUCAAACCAUGGUCGACUAACCUUAAUCCAUAUACUUAGCGUCAGUCAGUCUUUUGCUCUAGCACAUAUAUCUAGAGUAGAAGUCAAAUCAUGCUCGACUAGUCCUAACCCAUAUACUUAGGGUCUAGCCAGCCUUUUGCUCUAGCACAUAUACCUAGAGUGAAAUCCUUACCCAAUCGAGCUCUAAUACAUAUACUUAGAGCUCAAAUCUGACUACUCCUAAUACAUAUACUUAGGACUUAGUCAAAUCUACAUUCUAGCACAUAUAACUAGAGUGAAAACUCGGCUAAUCCUGAUACAUACACUCAGGAAUUAGCCACUCUCGGGUAAUAUCAAAUUCGACCCACCUCAAUACAUAUACUUGAGGUCUGGUCACAUCUCCACCCUGGAAUAUACAACCAAGGUGAAUAUAAUCAGACUCUAAGACAUAUACUUAGAGCCAUUUAGACUCUAAUACAUAGAGUUUAAUAUCGACUAGGUCUUAACACAUAUACUUAGGAUCUAGUUCGACCCACCUCAAUACAUAUACUUGAGGUCUAGUCACAUCUCCACCUUGAGAUAUACAACCAAGGUGAACCCGACCGCCAUGUCAUCAAAACUUCAAUCGACCACCGAUUCGCUAAAUUGAAAUUUCAUAUACAGUGGGGGUAUGUCCCUGCUUAAGCCAUGUACACAGCAAAUCAUAUUAAUAAAAGUUUAUUUGCCUGCUUGAUCUCUUUUAUCAGCAUUUAUAUUCGGUCUCUUAAUCGAGAGUUCCUUAACACUGAAAGUGUGGGGUAAUUAACAACAGAUUCUUGAGUCUGUUGGAAGCCAUGAACCUAUAAUCCUGAUUUCAAAAUAAAAUUCAAACAAAUUUAAUCUCUAUCAUGAAUGGCCACUCGCCUUAGAAACAACUUACAGCGGGGCCGGUUCGUUCGCGACAGACAAAAGUAAGUGUGCAAAUUUCUUUAUUUUAAUAUAUGAUUGGUUCUCUUGGAAGAUCGUAAAAGCUAAUAUUUAUAUAUUUACGUAAAAUAUAAGGAUCCUAAUGUUCUGAAAAUUAUUGAAUCGAUGCAGCAACCGUCUUUGGUAGGUCACAUUUACUAAAAUAUUUUGAUUUUAAUAUUUUAUUUGAUUUUUUCUGAAAGUAACAUAAUUUUUUAGCUGCAGGAGAAAGUGAAGGCAUAUUUUAAACGGACACUUUUGGAGUCUAUUAAUAAUUAAUAAAUAAUAAGUAAUAAAAUUUUGACUUCAAAGUAGCAAGAAAGCUCCAUGUAGGUUUACAAAAUGGAACAUUCUACCAAAAAUUGUGCAUAUUAUAACUACUUACUAUAAACAAAGUUAUUACCGUACCACCUCCAGAUAACAUUUUCUUCUUCAUCUAUAAGUUGCUACUUAUAAUUUUUAUUAAGUUUGCUUGUGUUAUUUACUAACAAGCUAUUGGCAAUAUUUCUAACCAUUAAUAACUAUGCAUUUGCUUUGAUUUCUUUUCUUUUUUUUUGAUUCUUUUCUACAUUGAUUCUGACAGAAAAAGUCAUGAAAGCGCUGAAAAGGAUAUUGAACAAGCUAAGAAUAAGAUCAUUGCAUCAUAUUUUGAAAUUCUUGAUAACUAUGUGGAGAAGCAAAAGGAUGAUGGUCCCGAUUUGAAGUAUAUUUGUAGAGUAGAAGCGUGCUCGCAUGCUUUCUUGUCUCUGCUUUUGUUCGCAUACAUAUUAGGUUCAACCAUCGAUCAUUUGUUGAUGAGCUGAUUGAAAAGAUGAAUAUUGAUCUAUAUUUUGAAAAUUAUAUGAAGUAAGUGUGCAGAUUUCGUUAUUUUAAUAUAUGAUUGAUUCUCUUGGAAAAUUGUGAAAGCUAAUAUUUAUAUAUUUACGUAAAAUGUAGGGAUCCUAAUGUUCUGAAAAUUAUUGAAUCGAUGCAGCAACCAUCUUUUGGUAGGUUACAUUUACUAAAAUAUUUUGAUUCUAAUAUUUUAUUUGAUCUUCCCUGAAAGUAACAUAAUUUUUGAGCUGCAGGAGAAAGGGAAGGCUUAUUUUGAAUGGACACUAUGAAGACUUUUAAUAAGAAGAAGAAAGAAUGGUUGAGAAGUAGACACAAAAGGGUCGAAGCGGCUCAGUCUGAGUUCCAUGCAGCAUAGCCGGACUCUCUCUUUAUAUAUACUAGUAUAAAACCCGCGCUUCGCUGUGGAUAAAUAAAAUUUUAAUUAAUUAAUAUAUAAUUAUUUAAAAUUUAAAAUUUGAAAUGUAAAAUUUAUUUUAAAAAAUUAAAAACAUAAUACAUUCGAAAAAAUCGUUAACUUCUCAAUAUCAAAAUAUUUACUAACUCAAUAUUAAGAAUUAAUUAAAAUUUAAAAUUUAUUUAAAAAAUUUAAAACAUAAUAUAUCAAAAAAAAUCGUUAACUUCUCAAUAUCAAAAUAUUUGCCAACUCAAUAUCACGAGUUUAUGUUUCAAAUAAAAUAAUUUAAAAAAAAUUGAAAAAAAUUCAACUCAUUAGAAGGCUAAUUAGAGAAAAAAAAAUUAGUGUACUUAAAAAAAAAAAAUGCUUCUCCCCUUUUCCUUUUCAAACAACCUUGGGAAUAUACAUGGAAAACCUCGGGAAUAUCUUGGGAAUAUCUUGAUCCAACCAGGUCCAAUCUUGGGAAGGAGCCAAGGAGCUGUCUUGGAAAACCUCGAGAAUAUCUUGAGAAUAUUUUGGUCCAACCUUAGGAAGAAGCCAAGGAGCUAUAUUUUGAUUCUUGACCAAGAUUGUCCAUUUGGAUCCUUCCCAUUUGACUAUUCACAGCACUUGUGCUUGACAGGGAUUUGUGGAAGCAGAAAAUGCUGCCACGUAUACCCUACAAACUACCAAUUAAUGUAUUUGUAUGGAAAUCGAUCUCUAUAUAUAUAAAGAGAGAUGGAGGGGGGAGAGAUAGAGAGAGUAUAUAUAAAGAUUUAUAGAGGGGGAAGAGAUAGAGAGAGAGGGAGAGGUGGGGGUGGGGAGAGGGAGAGAAAGAGGGAGAGGGGGAGGGAGAGGUGGGGGUGGGGAGAGGGAGAGAAAGAGGGAGAGGGGGAGGGAGAGGUGGGGGUGGGGAGAGGGAGAGGGAGGGGAAGGGGGAGAGAGAGAUAAUAAGAAAAUAAAGGAUUACCCUCAAUGCCGCGUUAUUUUAGAUAAUAAGAAAAUGAGAAUGUAGAAAACUGGCAAGGUUGAAGUAGUUAAGAAUACGUAAUAAAACAAAUCUAUUUAUUUGUCAAAUCAAGGAGAUUACUUGAUGAUUAUGCUUCAUGAGGAAGGGAAAGUAGCGAUUUUUAAAAGAGCUUGCUAGUGCGUCUGAAAUGUUAGUGCAGUUAACAUUUCUUUGGCGCCUCGUUUAACUCUUUGUUUCAGCACUUCUCUUUUACUUAAAAUGAUAGAUGAAGAGUAUGAUUAAAUGUGUUGGAAGAUACACCAUAUUUGAUCUUCAAGUUGGAAUAAGAUAUAAUUACAUUAUAUGGAAAAUACACUAUCCUAUCAAAUUACCAUAGAGCUAAAACCAAGCUCCUCUCUUGCAUUAACGAAAGAAAAUCAUCAUAGCACAUAAUUCAUAACUGAAUAACUUGUUGUCAUAUCCGAAAAGAACCUUAGCAUUUUCGUUCUAUUUGAUGAUUGGCUUUAAUCUAUACCUGAUGUUAUUGUGUGUUAUUUUACCACUAAUGUUGGUUGUUAACUACGGAGGCAACCAUGGUGUUGUAUGAUGUUAUGUGGAUUUUAAGACUUAUUUGUUUUGAAAUGUUAUUAACCGACUGUACUAUUUAGUUUCUAGACAUCCAUCUUAUUGCUGUUUCCUCCAUAGAUAUAACAAAUGUUGUAGAGGAUCCCUUAGCGAUUGUGUUUCUUGUCUUCUUCUUCCGGGGAAGAUAAGGCGGGGAUUUGAUGAUGGAUUGUAAUUCCAUGCUUAUGAGAAGAAAAACUAGGGGUGUACAAGUCUUCGCCUUUUCCUCCUUUAGCUCUGUACAAUGAUAUUAGAGGUAAUGAAAAGUAUAUGGAUUUCAGUAGUAAACAAAGUAUACAACAUCAGUUUCUUUGCCAAAGAAAAGAAAAAUUGGAAGAAGAAAGGAUCAAAUUUUCGUUUUGUGUCCAUUUGCUUCUACUUGUUUACUGAUUACAAGGGGGGAACAAAGAGGUUUAGAAUUUUGAUUCUUGAUAGAAACUGUAAAUUAAAUUUCCACUCUAAUGAAAUCUGAAACUAGUAAAGUUUGCCUAAGAUGAGGGAUGUUAGCUGCUUUAAGCUUUAAUGAACCCCUUGAGGUCCUGCUCGGUGGCCUUCUGAGGUACAAAGAUCCUGGCCGGCACAUGAAUGGGGAGUCCUCCAUGGCUGUUGUGCAGGCGGACAACUUUGCUUGAGGACCGGAGCCGGAUUGAAUCCAGGUCGUUGACCUUACUCUUGAGUCCGGGCCUCACGGACCUCCAUCAAGAUCUAUGACGGGCAUGGCAGCCUGGAGACUUCUUGCUGCAUCAUAUCAUCUCUGCCACAAUCCGCUGAAUAAGUUUUUUUAGUUGCAAUCUGGAGCUUUUGCUGAAGUGCUGUUUGAGUAGAAUCGUUAGAAGAACUGGGGACUUCUUUUUAUCGAAGCCUGUCCAGCAGCCUUUUGGUGUGGUAGUUUAGAAAACGCAUCAUCUAGAUUAAGCAAACCACUCGACGCCUACCAAAAUAACCAACCCAUAGAACACUAAAAAGAGAAUAAUGUUGAUUGCUGAUUACUGAUUUUCUAUACACAACUAGGGUGCCCAUGUUGUUACAGUUGAAGGAUCUGUGCAUAGUGCUCAAAAAUCAAGAACAGUUCGGCAGGACUAAUUACACGAAAGUUAGGUACAACACACUCAUAAAUCACACCUACCUCAAAUACAGUGAUACUAACAACUGUGAGAACAGAAUGAAUUCGCUUACGAUCACCGCUGGUGAAUGGAUACCAAAAAAGGGGACGAUAUCCACCUGUAACCAGUUCUCCACUGCAGAUCCGACCACCGCACCCACCACAAGUCCGCCAACAGUGAUCACUGCUGCCUUCCCUGCAGAAGACAUACCAUAGACUAAAACAUUAUUGCUUAUUUGAAAGAUGCGAGAAAGGAACAUCAUACUAGUAACAUGUUCUAUCAUUAUUGUAAAUUUUCAUUAGGUAAGUAGAAUAUCCAGUACCCUUCUUGGAUCUCACAUUAAAUUUUCUUUUCAAGUACUUAAAGAGUACAACAAGCUGCAAGUGUUUAAUGUAUUCUUACGCAUAAUGUUCUCCAAAAACCAAACUGGCUAGUGCAGGUAGUUACAAAAUAUGUCAGUAAUACAAACAAAAGUCUGAAGCUCAAGUAAUAGUGAACAUCAUCAAAGAUGAAGCUUCAAGCACAUUAUAGUUGCACUCUCAUCAAGAAAUCCUUCGCUCCGCAGGACCAAAAGUUGCUGGUGAUUUCUUCUAACGGACGUCGCAAGCUAAUUCAUCAUAUUAUAAAAGAAACAUAAUACAUAACACAACUGUUUUCUCAGUAGUUGAAAGCCAAACUCAGGUUUUCCUAUUCAAUGUCAGAACAAAUGUCACCCAACCAAAAAUGCAGCACUCCAGAAAUACUUUAGUGGGUCUAAGUAAGGGAAAAACACAGAUGGCUAAACUACCCUUACUAGGAAUUAAACAAUAAAAUAUGCGACAUCCAACUGUUAUGACUAUGUGCAGUAAAGCAGAAUGUCCAAUUUGAUGAAGUAACUCAUUCAUUUUUAAAGAACUACAAAAACUUGGGUAUUGUCCUAUACUAACAUGUUAGGAUUUUCAAAAUAUAAAAAAGUGUGGACACACACAAGAUAAAACCAGGAAUACAUAGAAUCAAAUCAAACAGGUUAGGAGUAGACUUGCUGGCAAAACACCAGGCAACCUGGCGUCAGACUAGAAAUGGUGGAUAUAGCAAGAGGUAAAGAACCAGCAAAAUUUACUGAAUCACUCAAAGAAAAAAAUUUAGCUUAUUCAAUCUCAAUCCGUUUUCUAUUGUCUUAAUAAUAAUACUCCGAAUUAAUAAUUUGUCCGUUGAAGCAAAUUAAAUAAUACGAACGACGAUGAUGGUUUCUACUUACUACUCAACUUACCUUAGAAAGACAGAAAAUUUUCAAAAACAAUCUAGUUUCUAGCAGCAGAAACAAAUAUCAUCCAAUUGCAAAAUUGAUAUUGAUCAGCAUACAGCCAACCUACUUUAAAAACAACCAAUAGAUAGCAGUCAGAAAUGAACCAAACAGAUUAGAAAAAUCUAACCAAACAGAUUAGAAAAAUCUAUUUGACAUGCGGAAGUAUAAAAAACAUAAAAUGAAGUCAAAGUGCAAGAUCAGCUACCUAGAGAAAUGUUCUUCUUUGUCAAAAAGUAUAAGGAAGCACCAAAUCCAGUAGCCAAUACUACUCCAGGAACGUCAGCUCCACUAUACGUCGCUGGGAUAUUUGCGGAGGUUCCACUAGCAAAAGUGAAUACCAUCAUUGCCCCAUAGACACCAGCCUGAACUGCCAAAUUGCUUGGAGAUGGAGGUUCAAUUGAGACUGGAAUAUUCUUCAUAGUUGACUGUACCCACUGUGGCAUUGGACCAGUACCCGCACUUCUUACGGGUUUAACAUCAGCAUAACGGAUGCUACUAUUUGCAACUUUGCCAGACCUGCGUUGUGAUAGACUCUGCAUAAGCAGCAUAUCAUAUGCAGCCUCGACCUGAGACAGAAAAGGUAAGAGUAUUCAAGAGACCAAUAGGUGAGCAUAACUAAUUUAUGAUCAAGCGAAAUGACACUCUUGACUUCCUUGGAGGAUCUUUUCUAGACAACUUUUUCUUGCAAAGCUUGUCAAUUGUGUGAUAAUGAAUGACCUCUUCUUGAGAUUAGAAAAGCUUGAAAGAACCACUCCCAAAGGUCAUAUUAUCUACUACUGUAUUGCAUCAUAUUAAUAUUAAAAUUUGUGAAAGAUUAAAGAGUGAUAAACACAAUACACUUUGAGCAGAAACCUCACGAAUCUCAUUAUGAACUAUUCCCAAUACAAAAAUAAGAUGCAUACAUGUUAAAGGUACACGACCCAAAUAUGUACGUAUCUCAUAUCAACAUACUGAUAACCAAUUUUAAUUUUAUGCCAACAAUAGGGAGAACGGAAAGUACUAAUAAUAUUGUUAACAAUGACAAAAUAAUGUUUCCUUCCUGUUCGUACAAACAGUGUAUUUGAGAAUAGGCAGAGAACUAAGUAACCUCACUGAACAUUUCAACAGCUUCUAAGGAAAGAUGAGUUUGUUGCCAAUGAGUGUUCCAUGAUAUGUCGCUAGUGCAUUGCAUUUUUCCAGGCCCCCCAGUUAGCGCACCUUUAAACACUUGGCCACAAAAGAAACUGACAAACUAACACAAUAUUGAGUGCCAGGCUUUCGUGUUCUGUGUAAUGCCAAUGACAUUGCAAAGAAGUGUGGCUACUUUAUCUUCUGACAUUUUAAAGUGUCCAAAUAGUUUAGUAUGGAAUUCAAUAUCCCUUCCGCACCAAGUUUAAAGUUUUCUGUUGGUGCGGAGAGAUAAGAUUACCAAGUCACAAAGAAAAGAGUAGUAGGUGCGUUAGCCAUAUUGAACUCUAUGCAUCACAUAUGUCAUCACUCGAAUGCAGCAAUUUAGAACAUGGAAAUAUACACUCCAUAAAAUUGGUUCAAAGAGAAAAAAAUCAUGAUUUGUAAGAGAUUAACAGUUUGGGAUUGAGGAAUAAAAGUUUAUUUCGGUUUACAGCAUGUUGAUGUUAAAUGUGAGGUGGUUUUUUAUAUCGAUUGGACAUAACGAAGUGUAUGAGCUCUCAUGGAUAAUCUUACGCUAGAUCAUCUAUUGCACAGUAGAGCAAAUGAAGAAACUUUUUGAAACAAAUGCCUCAAAGGAAAAGCUUGCAUUAUGUUGCUAAGUUUUUAUAAUGAUUAUCGAACAUUUAUUCAUAUGAAAAAAACGUGCAACCGAAACAGAUGUUGUCCCAAUGAUAAGCCCACCAUUAAAAAAGAAAGCAGGGAGAAAAUUGCAUUUAUUUAAUCAGCAAAUUUUUCAUCAUAGAAAUAUCUCGUACAUUUUAAAUUAAGAUUCGCAAAAUUCGGGAUAAUACAUCAUUCAAUAAAAAAUAUCAAACAAAUCUAAUAAAAAGAGAGAUAUUGCAUUACCCCUCAAUCACAGGUAAAUUAAUUUGCCAUUAAAAAUCAGAUACACAAAUCCGCUACCCCAAAUCGUCCUUUUCUCGUCCAAAAACCUAUUUUUUCCCCCAAAAAAAACACCAAUAAAAAGCGAAAUAUAGAUCAAAUCAAUACACAAAACCUGGGCUACUGCUUCGGGAUCGUCCUUGCAGGAGGCGAUGGUGGCGUUCUUGGCUCGGAGGAUGUCGUCGAAGGAGGCGCCCUCGGAAACCCCUAGAAGCUUCAGGGCGCUCUCCACGGACAUCUCGAAGGGCGCCGAGGAGUCGUCGGCCUUCGACCCCGCCGCGGGGAGGGGCGGCGGAGACCACCGCGGCCUCCGCCGCCACGGGGCGAGGAGAUUCGCAGCGGCGGCGACGCGGUUCCCGCGGAGGAUGUAGCCGUUGUUGAGAGAGAGAGCUGUGGCCAUUCGUUCUUUUUCCCCGUCCCACACGCGUGCUACUGAUUUUUAUUUUGUGCAGAGUAACGAGAAAAAGGGAGAACAAAAAAAUAUGAUUUUUUUUUUUUUUAAAUCGAGUUGUCCUAUUUCCUGGUACAGAUGUGGAUCUGAUGCUGAAAUAGCGGGUUCGUACUGGGCUUGAUCCGUAAUUAGUGUUCGCCGAAACCCGAAUUUUUUUUUUUUAUAUAAUGAGCCGGAAAUUUAGUAAAUUUGACGUGUCCGCGUCAAGAUUAAUAUGCUGUCCCUUAUUUUUUUGAAAAUAAAAAAUAUAUUUGAUUUUUAAAAUUAUUUUUUUAUCUGGAAUAUUUGUUGAAUGUAUUUCUACGUCAAAACAUUUUAUGCGUAUUAGAUAAUUCUAUUAUUUAUCUCCUAUGAAAAAUAUUCGAGAUAUUCACAUCAUGUCAAAUCAGUUCAUUACAUUGAAAACUUCUAUGCAUGGCUCUAAAGAAAAUUAUCUUGUUUUAAAUGGAUCUUACAAUUUCAUUUAUUUUGUGUAACACAUUUCGAAAUCAGUUUACCUAUUAACCAUUAAUUAUUAUGAAUAUUUUUAAAUUAAUAAACGAAAAAAAGCAACGGCCAUUUUUCUGAUGAUCUAUUGUUCAUCUGGAUCAUGCCAGGCCCAUUUUUGAGGCGUAUUUAAUUUUGAUCAAUCCAAGAUCAAUGUGACCUAAAUAUUGUGCACAUUUUCAAAGUUCAAACUUGUACUAAAUGGGCUAAAAAAUGUAUUAUAAAACUUUGAACGGGCCGAAUCAACUAAAAGAAAAUAAAAAAUUACGAUCCCAGCCCAAAUUUUAUGUCUCAAACGUCGAUCCCAGCCUGGCUAAUGGAUUCGCAUCGGGUCCAAUCCGAUAAGUCGCAGACCGGUUCUACGGGUCGGGCUGGUUUGGUGGGUCCGAAUCUAAUCUCCAACUACCACGCACCUUAUGUGGACUCAAAACAAUUGCCCCGUGCACGUGCCUCCCUCUUUACGACUGUACGAGUACCCGCAUAGAUUAGAAUAUAGAGCAUAGUUUCGGACCGUUUGGAAUGGUGAUAUUGUAAUGGACGGUAGGGAUUACAUUUCCGUAUGCGGACGGUUCGGACAGAAAAACUCUAACCAAAAAGGGCGACGCCUCGGUCCAGCUCAGAACUUUACCUUACACCCGGUGCAUGUAUUUAUUUUAUGCGCCGUGUCCUUCUAAACCCCGAUGUGAGAAUGGCAGCGAAUUUGCGGUGCAGGAUGUGUUGCGUUGCACCGGGUCCAGGGAAAAGCCAUUGCCAAAGUUCCAUGCGCCUCAUUAAGUCCACAACCCUUCGUCUUCUACUCCAAGCCAUAAGCCUCAGGUUUUUUUUAGGGUUUUGGCGGCUUUGGAUUCGCCACGAACCCGCUUUCUCCUCUCGGAUUCCCGUCGCCGGUCCCAGGUGCAAAUUUUUGCCCUAGUUAUUCCCUAAUCCCAUCUCAUAUCUUUUCUUUUUGUCGAUGCACUUUUGCUCCUGUUAGACUCAAUCCCUUUGGUAUAUUAUACUCGAUUUGAAGCUUACACUAUCAAAUAUUUUUACGAUCCUUUAUAGCUCCAUAUGACAUUGAUCGAUAUGUGAAUCCUUAGUUUUUUCCAUGAUUUUUUUAGGCUGAAAACCUUAGUUCUUUCCGUGAUUUUUAAGCUGAAACCUUGUUUCAGAUCAUAUUUCACAAUAUUUGGAAACUAAAAACCCAUUGCGAAAAUGUAAUCCUUCAUCUGAAAUAUAUUUUGUAUACGAUGUGUUUACUGUGAAUAGAUUAAACAUACGGUUUCAUUUAUUGUGGACUAACGAAGGACGCAGUUUUUGAUUUUUGGGAACCCUAGUUUAAUCACUGUGCAUGAGCUUAGAAUGAAAUCACAGGCUUUACUUGCUCUUGUUGCUUGAUUCAUUCGUUAUUGAAGUUUGAUUUAAGGUCCCUCUAAGUUGGUGGACUUCUGCAGAAGUCCUGUUUUUGAGAUAUUUGAUAUUCAUUUAAGAACCCUUUUGUUUCUUUGGGCAGCUAAGUGUUGCUUUCGGUAAAGAUGAGCAGCGCUCCAGUUCCAUUCUCAGAUAUUGGUAAAAAAGCCAAAGGCAAGUAUUAAAAGCUUAGAAGUUCAUAAUUAGUGUUCAAGAGGUAGGCUAAUAUUUGCAGUCAUGUGGCUAUGUAGCAUGGUUUGUGUACUAACAAGCUUGGUUAUUUGCUGUUAAUCUUGUCUUGCAUUGCUUUUUGCUAUUUAAUACGUUGCCGAACCUUUUUUUUGACCCUUCUUUAUGAUAAUGAAUCCUGUCGUUGAUGUAUUUCACUAGAGGUAUCUUAUACUUGGUACAAAUAUACUUUGUAGUCCUUUUGUAUCAAAGACAAAGUACAGUUCUAUUUACGGGGGGCAAAAUAACAUGGUUUUGGCUCUUUUCUUUUCGGUAUUGUUGUCUCACUGUCUGAGCCUGUUUAUAAUGUUAUAUUGUAAAUGCUAGUAAUUCUUUUUGAAACAUGAUGAUUUGCUGUCAUUAAAUCCAUACGCCGCUGGAUAAAUGCUUUUUAGUGCUUGGGCAUCUGUAAUAUUCUCCUCGCUGUUUGCCUUUUUAUUUAUUUUCAUAUCUAUCUUCCGUAUGAAUGGUUUGUUCAGCUCUUCAGUGCUCAAAAAAUUUCCUGGUUAUUAAGAUUGCUGCUUUGUUUCUUCUUGCAGAUCUUUUGUACAAAGACUACUAUUUUGAUCAUAAGUUCUCUUUGACAACAUCAAGUGAUUCUGGACUGGUGAGAGUAAAGAUUUUUUCUUCUUGAAUGAAUUUCAAUAUCUCUGUUAACAUAUUUGUUGUUAGGACCCUAGACCUUAUAGAAAUAUCUUUUUUGUUCAGUUAUAUUUGUAGAGUUUCUAAGGAUUCUUUUAUUACAUAUACGUUGUUGCAGUAUAUGUUUAUUGUCAAUUUAUGCAUAUUCAUAUUUUUCAUUUCAUACUUUGCUGUCUAUAAUGGAGGAGUCAUUAGUACCAGUCAGCAUAUAGGAAACAUUAAGAUAGACUAAGAGCUUGUUCAUAUAAACCAUGCUUUUACAUUGUUUUUUCUACUUGACGAAUAGCAUCGUUUUGGUCAUAUUCCAUUUCCAUCCAUAGGAGCAAAGCACCUGACAACACAUUGUUUACUGUCUCACAGGGACUCGCAGCAAGUGGACUGAAGAUUGAUCAACUGUUCAUUGGUGACAUAAGCACACAAUACAAAAGUGGUAGGACAGUUGUUGAUGUCAAAAUCGAUUCCAAUUCAAAUGUGAGUCAAAGAAAAUAGGAAAUCUCCAUGUUUUCAAAUGUAUACUAUGUUCUCCUUUUGUGAAAUGCGAUAGACCUUUUCACAAAAUGCAUCCGUUAUUUUAUGUUAGACAAAUUGCUAUAUUUAUAUGAGCCAUCAAGUGUCCCUUCUACGUAUUCGUGCUUGCUUAUUCGAUGAGAUGUUAGUGGUCAUAUGAAUGAGCCCAUUUACUUGGUUACGAAGUGUGUACUCUGUUUAAUGAUUUUUAGCAUCUGAAUAUUAGCAUUUUCCUUGACAGGUUGCAACUACAGUAACUGUCAACGAGAUAGUCAGUGGUUUGAAGACUUCAUUCAGCUUCAAAACUCCUGAUCAAACAUCUGGCAAGGUCAGUAGUUUAUAGAUGUGCAAGAAAGGACACGGUUUUCUAAUAGGUAUUUAAUAGUAUGCAAUGUUUAAAACAUUUAUCUAUCUCUUGCAAUUUAAAAUCCGUUGCCAUCUAAAUUGUGGUCACAUUCUUCCCUUAAUGUAUGCCUAAAGUAAGUUCUGGCUUGGCUGCUUUUAAAAGUCUUGGUUAAGUAUCCUAUAAUUGCAGAAUUUUUCUUUGUUCCGCUUCUCAACGCUUUAAUGCCUAGAAUCUUAUACUUGCUGUUCUUGUUCCGCAUGAUCCUUAGGAUGUACAUUUAUCUCUCGGAUGUAUUUUGGCUUAUACAUUUUGCAUCUUUUUUCAGAACUGUAUAUACCUUUAUAUCCUAUUACUAUGUAAUUAUAUUACCUCAAAAAUAUUGAAAAACUUACAGGAGCUUCAUUUGUACUCAACUCAACUUUCGUAAGCAACUACUUAUGUUAUUACUAGGCUAUCAAACUAUUUAAUUUGACUAACGAGUAACGAUCAUCUGACUUCGUAUAGGAUCAAAUAUUGAUUGCUCUAAAUUUGGUGAGAUUUUAGUUAAAAUACUGCUAGAUUUUUCUCGACAUCUCCUAUAUUUUGAAAUCUGUUUUAGCCAAAAGUUCACAGCUCUUUAUCUUCCCUAUCCUUGUUGGCUUACAGUCAGCUAAUGUUCAAUGGGGGAAAAUUUUCUCCUGUUCCAUUACAAUUGAAGCGUGUAUUCAGAAAUCAGAAGCAUGUAAUUAUUGUCAUGAGAUUUUUUUUUUUUCCUGUUCCAUGUACUGGGGUCCUGAAAAUUUCUUUGGAAAUGAUGACAGCUUAACUGGAAUGGAAAAAUAAAAGCUUGGAUGCUAUUACAUAUUUUUGAAUAGCACGCAUAAGAUUUAAUAGGAAGGUGCGUUCUGACAAUUUUCCAUCAUUCUUAUUUGUAGGUCGAUGUGCAAUACCUUCACGAACGCGCUGCAAUAAAUUCUAGCAUUGGUUUGAGCUCUACACCUUUGCUGGAGUUGGCAGCAACAAUUGGCACCAGAGAACUUAGUUUGGGGGCAGAGGUUGGAUUUGAUAGUGCUUCGGCAUCUUUUACCAAAUACAACUCUGGGAUUGGCUACAACAAGCCAGAUUUCUCUGCUUCUCUAAUAUUGUAAGUCUGUUUUCAUGUCCUUCUUAGUAAUUUCGUUAUUCUUCCAUGAUCUUUACGAUGGUCCAUCGUCUUUUCUAUACACUUCCGAUUGUAUUAAAUAACUGGUGCUUUUGAAUCCAUUUUUAGUUCUGUUUUAGCAUCAUAUUUCCUUUCUCCAUGCCCAUAGCAUCUGUUUUGGUGUAGAAUUUUUAAUUAAGAGACCUGAUUCUGCAAUAUCUGCUGUUAAAUUUAAAUUUUACUGAGCAUCAUAUCUGACUUGAUUUUUUUACUUUUUAACAUUUGGUAGCCUUAUCUGUGAGAAAUAAAGGGAUCAAACUUUUACUCAAUCCAUUUUGUAUCAUCUGGUCUUUUUCAUUGGUUUGCCAUUCAUUUUCAUAUUGAUGGAGUAUUCUUGGGUAGUCCUCUUUUUCCAUGGGUGGCAACUCUAAUUUAGCGGCUACUUGCUAAUUUUUUAGAAUGAAUGCUGAAUAGCAAAUGCUGUCGAUCAAUCACUUACUGACUUAUCCGAUUCCUUUUUGUACUGAAGAAAAACUGGAUAUAUGAUAUAUUAUUCAUCCAUAUAUUAGAUUAGCACUUCUAAAAUUUUCGUGUUCUGCUGGAACCUCUUACUUAUAUCUGUUCCGUAUUACUUUAAUCCAGAGCUGACAAGGGAGAAACAUUAAGGGCUUCUUAUUUCCACUUGUUCAAUCCAGCCAAUGGAGCUGCUGUUGCUGCUGAAAUAAGCCACCGGUUUAAAACGAGUGAGAACAGCUUCUCUAUCGGCAGCUGUCACUCCCUUGAUCAUCUAACCACAUUAAAGACGAGAUUCAGCAAUAGUGGCAAAGUCGCACUUCUUUGUCAGCACGAGUGGAGGCCGAAAUCGUUUGUCACUCUCUCUGCCGAAUACGACCCCAAAGCCGUAAGAGCGCCUUCGAGGCUGGGGCUUGCAGUAGCUCUCAAACCUUGAAUCGUUCGAAAUCAUCAUCUUUGUACCAGUAUAUUUCAUGCCUUUAUUUUUAUUUACCUGUAAUCUUGGUUGAAAUUAUAGCCAAGAAACCUCGAGUUCAUUUAUUUAAAGAGUUAUGUCCGAACAAGCACGCCGAAAUUGAGACUUAAAACUCAAUUUUGAUGGGGAUUACUCCAGAGAAACAUGAGUGGGUGAAAAUUUGUUAUAGGUGAGUACGGACAGUUGGUUUGUCCAUGGGGUAUGUAGUUUUAUUGGAUGUGGCGACUCUGUGUUUCUUGUUUAUUUUGCAUUUGUUCAAGACGUUCAGCAAAUACUGGUGAGUAACACUCACCGAAGAAACCUUUUUAAGACCUUUUUUAUGUGCAUCAGGUGAUUUUUCUCUGGUUUAUGUUAAGUACUAGAAGCACUGAAUCAGUGUUGUGAAUCCUCUUCGUUCCUUUUUCUCUUUCGCCAAAUCAGUAGGACAGCAUCUCAGCUUCUACUUCUCUCUCUCUCUCUCUCUCUCUCUCUCUCUCUCUCUUUAUUUGGUCAUGAUUGGUUAGCUUGUAAUUGCAUUCAGCUGUGUAGUGUAUAACAACUUUUAAAAAACUAAAAGCAAAAUUAUUUUUCUAAAUUUUUGGGUUUUGUUGGCAAAUAAAUAUCUGAAAUGAAAAAAAAAAUACAAGCAUUUUAUUAUCCAAGUGCCAUGGAAGAGAAUGUACCUCCUGUAUACCCGUGAACAAAACACAUUUGUAUUUGGUUGGUGGACAAAGCAUUUUCGCCGAGAGAAAAUAUGGAAUCAAAAAGCUGAUUGGCGGGAAAAGGAGGCAUCAUCGAUGUUUCACCGACAUGGGUUAGGUAGGGUGCCGAGCGUGUGCGCACCACGUGAUCGGCCGCCUCUCCUCCACGAUCAUCUAUCCUCACUUGGCUACUUAAUUGGCUUCGCUCUUUCCACGCUCUCCUCUUCCUGGUCGCUCUCCACUUCACAAAAGCAAUAGAAGCAUCGCUCUCCACUUCACAAAAGCAAUAGAAGCGAUGGCGAUUCUCUCCGCCCUGCGGGUCUCCAUGUUGUAUCCUCCUCCUCCUCCUCCUCCUCCUCCUCCUCAUGCUCAUGCUCAUCUUCCUCGUGCUCGUGCUCCUAGCCCUACUCCUCAUGCUCAUCUUCCUCGUGCUCGUGCUCCUAGCCCUAAAAAACAAGAGUCUCGCAUCGGAGCAUCGCGAAGAGAGGAUGAAACAAUAUGCAGGGAGACGUGCUUGUACUCGGUUGCUCCCUAUCCCCUCCUGUUUGCGGCUGCCCUACCCGGAGGCGAGCGCUUCUUCCUGUUGUUUGUUUGUUGUUCUUGUUGUUGUUGUUUUUGUUGUUGUCCGAAUCUGAAGAAGGAAACGCGUAACGAAUUUGGAAUUCUUUGUGUGCGUGCGCGCGUGCGUGCGCGUGUUCUGUUUCUGUAGGUGAGGCUGUGAAGUCGAUAUUUGGACCUUUCGCGGAGCUCGUGAAGACGUGGAACCUUCCAGAUUGGCUUGUGCACUGGGGUCACCCCGCAAAUAUGGUAAAAGCCCAACUCGGCCCAUUUUUCGUGCCAUUAAUUCGCUAGCUGUUCACGUUUUGAUGUCACCAAUGUUGUAGCGAAAGCCUCUGAUUGAGGAACAGUCUUCUUACUUCGUUUCAGGAGCUCGGUAUUAUUAUUAUUAUUAAUUGUUAAGAGCUUUAAGGUUGUUUGCAGUUGUAACUAAAUACGGAUUCAAAUUUUAUGUUUGAUUUUAUGUACUUGAAUCAAACUGCUGCAGUUGGAACUACAUGAGGAUGCCCAACUGCAGCAAUUAGAAUGACCACCGGCUAAUGAUUUUAAAAGUAUGAAAUAUUUUUCUUUUCUACAUUGGAGAUAAUCUCACCGGUCCAUCUUAUAUAUAAAGUGAUAAAAUUUUUAAAUACACUUAUCAACUACAUGCAACCGAACAAAUUAUUUAUAGUUGCAGUAUUUUCUGCUAUAUCUAACUAAACAGGAUGUAUGUUGUUGUUACUAUUGUGUUUCUAACUAUUUUGCGUUUCUAAUUACAUCCAAUUAAACAACCCCUUAGAAGUGUAUUUCUAGUGGGGACCCACAUACCAUAAAAUAUGGAGGAUGGUGUUGUAUAUAUAUAUAUAUAUAUAUAUAUAUAUAUAUAUAUAUAUAUAGUUGAGCUAGGAUACUUUUAGAAGCACCACCCACUUGGUGCUUCUAAGUUUUUAACCCUUGGAUCCACUCCAUAAUUACUAAUAUCCCUUGGAUCAAACACUAUUCCACCUACUACCAUCUACCACCACCUACCACCAUCAUCUCAACCUCACAUCUCACCAUCCAAGGGCUAAAAACUCUAAAGCACUACCCACUUGGUACUUCUAAAAGUAUUCUAGCUCCACUCUAUAUAUAUAUAUAUAUAUAUAUAUAUAU